rnacentral:lncRNA from 1 species
GGGUACACUUGCUAGUAUACAUCUAAAAUUAUAAGACUAAAUCCUUUAGUUCUUGGAUUCAUCUAAGAACUACUUAUUCCAGCAGAUGUUAUGCUUGCACUACUAGAAUUUAUGGCUUGCCCUGUCAACUAUUGCGCGACAGAAGACUUCGUCGGUUUCACCUUUUUUAACCGACAUAAUAUAAGUUUAGUAGGGCAAAAUCAGUCAACAAACUGGGUUGACUGAAUAGAUUUACAGGAUGUCUAGAGUUCGUAGGUUAAGACAUCAGUCGUUGGGCAAACAUUUGGAGCGAAGAUGUGAGUGUUUUAACUGACGAAUAAGCUGGUCGUCAUGUAGAUCUUCUUUCCCGACUGAUGGUUCAACGAGUAGCUCUUUGGAUAACAAUUCAUCUUCAAGGGGAACAGGUUGCCCCUCAAAUGAAUGGUUAGAGGCAAUUGUGAGACUAUAAUUUUCUAGGGCCGGAAUAUCUAUAACCAUCCACCAAAUACCCCUUCUUCCCUUUCUAUUUCUCUCUCAGUAAUUUCCCCUGACCGAAUCACACAAUCCAACCAACUCUCUUUAAGCCUCACUCAUCGAUUCCAUGGAUUUCAUGGACUUAUCCCACCCUCUCUCCUUCCCCCUAUAUAUAGCAAGUCCCCUUGCCUCAGUGUCCCUGGCAACAAAAUUUAUGGCGUGUAUUCGGUCUUUCAAUUAUUUGAAAGCUUCCCUGCCUUGCAGUCUUGUACAAAGGCGUAUGGUGUUUCAUUAGUUCCAUUUGGUGGUUGGGUGGGAAAUGAAAUUAAAACACUGCAUUUCCAAUGGUCUAAACCAAAUUGAAUCAAAUGUGAAGCAAAGGGCAAGAAGUGUAGAUUGAAGAACAAUGGCACCAAGAGCGAAAUUGAACUUGUUGACAGGAGGAAACCAAGUAAGGAUAACGCGUCUAAAUCUUAUUUCGAAUCCAUUCAGCUCAUGAUGUUUUUAAUGAUGAUGAUCGGUAUACUUUGCUACAUGCUGUGAUUUUUCCGCUUUCAUGUAAUUAACGGCUUAUAUUUGUGGUAACGAUAUUGAUUAAUUUUGAGAAAUGACAGUCUAAUUUUUGCAACUGUCUUUUGCAGGCAAAACAAAGACGUUUGCAAGGGUGAGUUAUGUAGGACCAAUGUUUAGCUUUGUUUCAUGUCCAAAUGACACUUGAGAAUAAAUGUUUACUCAUGGAUAAUAUCUAUCUAUUUGCAGGAGCAACCCUGGGUUUAUUUGUUCUUUUACUACUGGUCAUUGCCGCAUAUCACGCCUAUAGCACUGACAAAAGUAAAAAGAAAAUCGAAUGAAAUUUGGUAAGUUUUCAGCGGACUACAAAGAUCUUAAGCCAAGCAUAUAUUCCCAUUCAGAUAUUAAGAGGUUUACAAAUCAAUUCAAGUACAAGUUGGGCCAAGGAGCAUACAUAAUUGUUUUUAAAGGAUAGUUUUUUUCUGAAUGCUUUGUUGCCAUGAAAGUACUUAACAUUUCCAAGGGUGACGGGGAAGAGCUUGUAAAUGAAGUGGGGAACAAUGGGCCAUAUUCACCAUGUCAAUGUGGUUCACUUGGUUGGUUUUUGUGCUGAUGGAUUUAGAUGAGCUCUGGUUUAUGAGUUCUUUUCCUUUGGUUCACUCCAGGAUUAUAUUUCAUCAGUAGAUAGAUUUCUUUCCUUGGUUGGCAUAAGUUGCAAGAUAUUGCUAUCAGCAUAGCCAAAGGAACCAGGGAUGUGAUCUACAAAUCCUCCAUUUCGAUAUCAAACCCCAUAAUGUUUUGCUCGACCAAAAAAUCACGCCAAAAAUCUCUGAUUUUGGUCUGGCCAAGUUAUGUUCCAAGGAUCAAUCAAUGUGACUAAAGCAAGGGGGACCAUGUGACUAAAGUACCCGAAGUGUUUUCCAGGAAUUUCGGAAAUGUGUCUUACAAGGCAGAUGUCUUGAAUGCUGCUGCUUGAGAUGGUAGGAGAAAAGAAGAAUAUUGGUUCAACUAGAGGACACAACAAAUGAAAUCUACUAUCCAAAAUGGAUUUAUAAUCUUCUAGAGGAAGGAAAUGACCAACAGAUCCCUAUUGAGGAAGAAUGUUAUGGUAAGAUUCCAAAGCAACUUGCAAGUUUAGGGCUCUGGUGCAGCCAGUGACACUCGGUGGAUCGGCAGUCCAUGAAAACGGUGGUUCGGAUGUUAGGAGGAGGAGAAAACUUGAUGAUGCAAGCAAUCCUAAAAGCCUCAUACAGUUAGAAGUAAUUGCUGAAUUAGAGUAACAUAUGUAUAUGUAUACGCACCAACACUAGUCGUUCUUAGAUGAAUCCAAGCCAAACAAUUACAGACAACAGUUAUUCACUAAAUCACUUUAAGGCAAGAAUUUAAUUAAUAAUACAUUACUGCACUUUCUUAACCAUUUGACCAUCACCUAGCAGACAAUGAACACGUUAGCUCCGCGUUAGAACAUCUUGGGUUCAAUUCAUUGUCUUGAAUAUCACCCUCUGUCACAGGCGUCUCUAGGGGGCAUAGAGAAGGCCUGAGAGGCAUUUGCAGACAUUCAACAUCACCUCCAAGCAUUUUGACAACUUUGGACAUCGAAGGGCGAUCACUUGGUUUCAUUUGAAUACACCAUAAGGCGGUUAUAACCAUCCUUCUUAUUACUUUCUUUUCCUCCUCUGUAACAUUGUCCGUUUCCAAGUUAUUUCCCACAAUAUACUGAUCGUAUACCCACAUUGGGAAGUAGAUUUGGCUUGAAUGCUCUACCGUUGGAUUCAAAUUCUUCCUUCUGCUUGCCAUCUCCAUCAACAACAUUCCAAAACUAUAGACAUCUGACUUGUAUGAGACACCUCCAAUAUUUUUGUAGAACAACUCAGGAGCAAUAUAUCCCAGUGUACCUCGUGCUGCCGUCAAAGAGACAAUGCUAUUAUCUACAGGAUACAAUUUUGCAAGCCCAAAGUCAGAAACCUUUGCUUUAAAGUUCUCAUCAAGAAGGAUGUUAUGAGGCUUGAUGUCGAAAUGUAGAAUUUGCAUUUCGCAACCUUGGUGUAGAUAUUCGAUCCCUUGAGCCACUCCAAGAGAAAUCUUGUACAUGUUCUUGAUAGUUAAGGGGACACUUCCUUCUUUGGAAUAAAUGUAUUUAUCAAGAGAACCAUUAGGCAUGAAGUCAUAUACUAGAGCGCGUUUUGAUCCCUCAACACAGUAUCCAACAAGUUGCACCACAUUGGCAUGGUGAAUCCUUCCGAUUGUAGCUAUUUCGCUAAUGAAAUCUUGGCCAUCAGCUUUGGGCUUGCCCAAAACUUUGAUUGCUACAAAUCGACCACUGCGUAGCUUUCCCUUAAAUACAGAGCCAAAGCCACCUUCGCCCAACUUGUCCUUAAAUCUGCGAGUCAUUUUCUUGACGUCCGAGUAGGAGUACCUUAUAGGCAUGAAGUUGUUAUUGCAUUGCAGAAAAUCUUCUAUUGUGCUAUACAUUGAUAAAUGUCUUCUGCGCCAUGUGUAGAUUAGAAAUGCAGUCACAACUGGAACUCCAAAAACAAAUCUGGCUGGGAAAAAUAACCCUGCAUGCAUUGACAUUAAUACGUUAGAUCCACUGUGUACUACUUUUUCUUCCCUUUCUUUCCAAAUUACUUUGUCUUUGAUGUAAUUAAAGAGAAAGAAUGGGAAAUCUACAUAUGUUGAUAAUACAAUCUCGUCUUAGUCCUUACCGAUGCAUAUGAGUAUAAACCAUCUACGUGCUGUAACAAAAUCAAUCGACUAUGAGUUUGAAAAGUGCAUAAAGUGAAAAAUAAAUAAAUAAAUAAAAUCAAAGGGUGCCUUUAUUGACACCCAAAUUUUAGUUAGCUUUACUCAACUAAAAAAAUUUUGUCAAACUUUUUAAUUUGCCGUCGAAAUUGAGUUCACCCAACCCACAAAGCAACAACUACCACUCACCAAAAAAACCAACAACACACAUCCACCAGUACCACUCACCAAUAGAAAGAGAAGGAACACACAGACCCACCAAGGAGCCGGCAUCGACGCAUCUACGAGGGAGGGACCGGAGGGUGGUGUAGUUUUGUUGGGCGCGCGGUAGUUGUUUUGUCUGUUCAUUUUCUCUUUCUUUUGGUAGGUGGAGGCUGCUGUGGAUUUGGGCGAACUUAAAAAUGAGGGGAAACUAUGAAGUUUGACAAAAUGUUUUAGUUAGGGGAACUUAACUAAAAUUUGGGUGCCGAUAAAGAUACCCAAUAUAAAAAAUACUUGAGCGUAUAGACUAAUUAAAUGAAGUUGAUCUUACCGAUCGGGUGGCUGUAUGAUGAAUACAACUUGCCAGCUGCAAUAGAUACCACAGAAAAGUGAGCAAAGACAUACAGUUACUAGGUUUAAGAAGUACAGAUAGAGCACACAAAAAUAAAAGAAGCUUUUGGAGAGAAACUUCUUACGCAAAUAUAUGUAUUCAUGACCUACAGUGAAAAUUGUGAAGAAGAAUACACAACAUUAGCAAUAGCUCACCCAGUCUUCAGAAUUUAAAAAAAUCAAGUUUGUCGAUCGAAAACUUGUAAAUAAAACAAAAAGAGGACCCCUUACUGAUUUGUUGCCAUAGAUAUUGAAAGAAACCUACAAGAACAAAGAAAGAACAAGACCACAUGCAUUAGCAUAACAAGUGUGAGGUGUAUAAGUCGUUAGAAAAUAAAUUUAGAAUUCUAGUGCUGUCAAUACAUUGAUAAUAUAAUAUAUAUGUGUUAUUUUUUCUGAAAAUUUAACUUUCCCCCUCCAAACUCAUUUUUCUAGCCUCUAGCCCAUCAUAUAAUAUUUAUCCGAAUAAAACCCAAUGAUUAGGAUCCAACUAAGAAACUUACCAAAUUAAGUUUGUGUGUCCAUUUUUAUAUUUUUUGGAUCGCUAAUAUACCCCAUCUAAGCCAGUAUGGAAAGUUCUUGUAAUUUUGUUUUAAUUGAUCACGUGCAUUGAAUUUGGCAAGGUCUUGUAGCCAUGAAAAAUGGUUCUAGAUGGAGGAAUUAAUUGGGAUUUUUUUUUUAAUUUUGACAACAAAUUUCAAUUUGAAUAUACCUAAUUUAGUGUUUAUUUUCAACAAUAUCUAUUGUUUAAUUUUAUGAAAAUAAUUUACCUACUAUGAAAAUUAAUUUUAUGAAAACAAUAUCUAUUGUUUAAUUUUAUACCUAUAGGAUAAUUACAUGAAAAUAGUUUACCUACUAUGAAAAUUAAUUUUUUCAAAACAAUAUCUAUUGUUUAAUUUUAUGAAAAUAAUUUACCUACUGUAUAAUUACAUGAAAACUAAUGUGCCUAUUUUUUAAAUUUGUUACAAAAUUAAUUUACCUACUCUUUAUGGUAUUAGUAAUAUAUGUCCGUACGUAUUUGAUCUAAUUAGGUUUUGGAUUGGAGGAGUUGACACAAAAUUAUAAAUAUAUUAAACAAAUUUAUCUAUCCUUAAGUUGGAGGGGAAUUGGCCUGCACAUUGCUACGGUAAACAAAUGCCACUCGAUUUCACGUUAUUUACAACAAAGCUAUCAGAUUUGGGUUGGGUUGGAGGGUAAUUUUGUGCAUAGGGUUUAGGUGCCCUCCUAUAUAUGACCCUUGAUUUUACUUUAUUUACACCACUGCCAUCAAAUAUGUGGCUGAAUUGGAGGGUAUUAUUAAAAGUUAGGAGGAUAGUUUUGUCCAAGGGGUGGGGGCGACAUUCGCAGACAGGGGGCGAUGGGAGCCAUGCCCAUUGCACAGAAACAAAGGGAGUGAUGGGGGAAAUUACAGACAGAAAAGGAAGGGAUGGGGGGAUUUGAUGGGUGGUCACAGAGAGAUUGGGUGAGGGAUGUGAGGGGACAUUACAGAGAGAUAAAUAAAAGGGAGGGAUCGGGUGAUUUGAGGGAUGGUCAGAGAGAGAAAUAGUGAGGGGGAUGUGGGGCUGAUUUUCGGUUCCUCCUUCCAGAUUUGUUCCGUAAAACCUGUUGGGUACAAUUCAAUCCCUCCCCCUUUCCCCUGAACGAAAAAUUCGAAACCUACAACUCAAAACUCACUCAUUUGUCGCCCCUCCUUGGCUUUCCGCUUUAUUCAUCUCCCGGUGUUUCUUUCUCUCCAUACGAUUCGAUUUCGGUGAGUUCUUCGUUGCCCUCAUGAUUUCCCAGUUUGAUUUUUUGAGCGUCCUUAGUCGUUGUUUUUAUCUGGGUUUACUGCGUUGUUGCUUUUAGUUUCUGGAUUUUUAUUUUUUCCGCGGUUGGAUGAAUCGUGGUUAAUAAUUUCACACCAUGGGAUUUUCGCACUUCUGAUGGAAUUGAGCGCGGGGAUUCGGGGUGGGGUUUUACUGAUAAUUUGUCUUCAUUCAAAUGAAUGGUUAAAAUUUCUGAAGUGAGUGUGCAGGUGGGCCCGUUCACUAACUAAGCUUUCAAGGGAACCCAUCAACGGUUUGUUUGCUGGGGGAAUUCGGAGACUACCAGUGUAUGAUUUAGUUAUCAUUUAUUUUUUUACUUAAUUUUAUCCAUAUAUAAUAUGUGGGUAAAUUUAUACUAAACAAUUGUGAUAAGCCAAUAUGCCAUACGACUUUGAAAGCAUUGAUUUUGUGUUUAGUUUGCAUUUUUGCAUUGUGAAUGUUGAAUUUUGUAUUUAAUUUGGAUUUUGUGUUUGAAUUUGUAGCAUGAUCUUCCGCUGCAGCAUCCAAAUUUUGCAUUUGUAAAUUGUCAAAGAAAAACGAAGUAUGAGGAAAUUAUAGGAGAUUGUGUCGGCUUUGGCCAUGAAGGGUAUCAGCAGCUUGUUCCCCCAUACAGGUGAUUAAUCGUUUUUCAGUCUCUGUUCUAUUUGGAUGAGAAAGUGAUUGAAAAAUAUGAUUUUUUAUUUGUUGGUUGAUUUUGUAUGGACGAUGUAUUAAUUUUAUUUUUUUUGGGAUUUUGUGUAUUGGGUAUUGUGUAGAACCAGCAAUGCAAGAGCAGGAUCUGAUCAGUCACGCCCGAAAAGGGGUUUGUUUCUCAAAUCACAUUAAUUAAUUAGAUUAUUAACGUGCGUUGGAAGGCUCUUCAAUAUGAUUUCUAAUUUCUCCUUUCCAGCAUUCUCUUUUUGGUUUUUGGAGUAUGUAUGUGAUUUGUAUUUUUUUAUAGAAUAAAAAUUAAUAAAACACGAGAUGCAGCAAUUAAUUUGCAUCCUUAUGACAACACAUAUGAAAGUGCAUUCAAUUUCAAUGUGCGAAUGUGUGACAGGAUGUGCCUGCCUCCUUGAAAACACUUUAUGUGAACAAGUGUGAGGUUCUACAUAAAAACAGGGCCAGUAAUACCCUGAACGUGGAAUCCUUACGAGGAUCUCUUGAAAAACUGACAAUAAAUGGAUGCCCGGGUCUCUCAUUGUUACUAGAGUCGACGGAGACGCUGCCGUCGCUUCAGAAGCUUGAUAUUGAUAGUGUUGGUGGGAAAGAGUUGUUGGCGCAAAUGGUGCACAACAGCAAUCGUCUUCAAAGUUUGACUUUAUAUAAAUGUUACUCACCCUUGUCGUUCCCUACAAAUGGUCUGCCCACCACGCUGACGUCACUGAGCAUAACAGAUUGCAAGAAAUUAGAAUUCCUAUCACGUGAGAUGAUGGCCAAAUUGACUUCCCUUCGGUCUUUGCGUCUAUCCAACAGCUGUGAACGCAAAGGCUUGAGUAUUUGCAGUUUAGUUUUUUUUUUCUUCAUUUUAGAGAUUUUUCUACUGUUUGGUUUUUGGGUUUUGUCUAAUUUUUGUGGUCUGCUUUAUAGAUUGUUCUCUUUGGAAGCUUCUUUCCAGCCUUGACCUUCUUCUUGCCUGGUGCCUUCUCAUUGAGUAUUGGAGGAGCAUUAAAACACAGGUGUGUGUGUGUUUUGUCGACGUAAGAGAUGAACGACAUAAAAACAUCCAUCUCUGUAUUUUUUUGUGCUUUUUCUAACCCAUCAAUUUCUUUUGAGUCAACCAAAUAGUCCCAAAUUGCAACUUAUGUUGUGAGGUAUUAUUGUCUAAAAUUAAGUAUGCAUGUAUAUUUUAUGUUUAUGCCCGCGCACACCUCCGCAUGGUGUUAAUCUCUGUGGGUCAUCUAUGUAUAUGUAGAUAUAUCUAUAUGUGUAUGUGUGGAAUGCAACAUAUCGGAUUUAGGUUAUACUGUGCAUAGUUUUAUUGCCUGUUAUUAUCUACGAUAUCACUAUGCCAUUUCUAUACUGGCUCUGAAAGUUAUUCAUGAGCUUAUAAGCACUUACCAUAAUUUAAGCAGUCUGUUUUGGGUUCUUUUUCAUUAGGUCAUUAGCUACAGAUUAAUGGAGAAACGAGGACCAUGCCACUGAUUUGGGUUCUUUUUCUAAUUUUCUGAUUUUGGGGUUUUGCAGGGAGUACUGAUGUACUGAUUUUCUGGGAUUUUUUUUUGUCCUUGCAGGAUUUUUGGUCUUUGAAAUGGGUAUGUGUUGUUUUUAAUGUUUCAGUUCUAGCGUGUUCCGUUCUUCGUUGCUUCGUGAUUCUCAUUUUUCAGUGUUGGGUGAUGGAAAUUUGUUAAAGUAGUUGGUAGUUUUUUGAGAAAGUUGGCAUUUUUAGUUAUAUUUUCUGUUUAAUCCUAAAUGUAAGACUGGAAAAUCAUUGAAAUGAUGGUUUUUUAAAAACUCAUAAUUUUUUUGUUCUGGGAUUUAAAAGCAUCUUUUCCAGAUUGGUUACAAGGGUUAUGUUCUCUUCAAUUGGUUCACCUAAUUUUGAUUAGUUUUAAGUUUUGUCCUUUUAAGUUUGUCUUUUAAGUUUUGUUCUUUAAGUUUUGUCUUUUAAGUUUUGUUCUCUAAGUUUUGUCUUUUAAGUUUUGUCUUCUGUGCUGUAAUGAGAGAUUUCUGUUGGCUUUUCGGAUUUUGGCAUGGGAAAGUUCACUUAUUUGUCUAAUUAGAUUGUGUAUGCCUUCGAUUCUUUAUUUAAUUGUUCUGUUUGCGUUCGGGUGUGAUGAUCUAAAUUUCAUAUGUUUGGAAUUAUUUACUUAACACCAAUUUGUUACAUUCAGAUCUCCACCCCACAUUUCACUAGUUGAAAUUCCAUAGAAGUCGGUUACUGCAGAUUGCGUCUACAAUUAGAUCAGAGAUCAACUGCUCUUUUGUUAUCCUGCAGAAGAUUGCUUUUGGGAAGGAUCUGAAGUAGUUUCUCUCUGUAUGUUUAUUCCCAUGUAGCUCUGUCUUUUCUAAUUGUGUUGAUAUUACACUGUAAUUCAUGAUGAUGAUUUAAUUGUUUAUUGAUUUGUAAUUGAUUGUGAAUAAUGUGGCAUAUAUGAAUUGCAAUCUGUGUUUGUAUGAAAGGGAUGGCAUAUUAUGUUGCUGACUUAAUUGUUUAUGUUUUUCAUAUUUGCAAAUGGUGUUAUGAUCAAUUAGGUGAUUGCUGACCUGUGACUUUGUUUGGAGCUCAAAUUUUGUGAGCAUUACAUUGGAUUGUUUUGAUGUUGUUUUGGUUAACAAUGCAGCGAUAGGAGAAACAAAGAGGAUGACACUUAUAACUGCCCUUCCCCAUCGGCCGUCUUCAAAUUUGGAUCACAAGAAGGGAGCAACAUAGGUGUUUUCCUUCUUCAUUUAGAUAUGGUUAGUGUAAAUAAUUGGACAAAAGAGCCAAACAAACCCUGUUCUCUCAAAUGGAGUCGAUGAUGUGGUCGACGGCCACCAGCCCCAACUCAAGAGUUUGGCCUUCAUAUAAUUGGAUUGUAGUAUAAUUUUAUUUUGGUUCAUUUCUUUUUUCCUUUAUAUAAGUGCAGGUGUUGUGAUGUUUUGAAUAAAGGGUGAUGAAAGGUGGUUCACACACUUCCUCCUUACUUAAAGCAAGUGGAGAUGACGGUUUGUAUAAAAAGAAAAACUUGCCACGUACUUCAAUUUUCUAUUUUAUUAAUUAUUGUUUGGUUUUCCAAAUGUUGUAUUCACUAAGAGACCAAUUAUGUCUUUGAGAAACAAGUUUCUUUGUCUACAUUGCGAGAAUUUGCAGUUUGCAACUUUCAUUGGUUAUUAUAUUUGAUUGAGUUAAACUUGGAUUUCUGGAUUUUGACUUUUUCGUUUGUUUCUUUGUUGCAGAGUUGGCUUCAUUUCAUUCCAGGAACUGUCUAAAUAGGGCCAAGAACUCACUAAUAGGUAGUCAAGAAGAAUUCAGUGUUGCCUUCAAUUUUUGCCUUCUGUUUACAUUCUUCCUGGAUGCACUCUCACCGCUUCUCUCGCUUACCACUUUUGUCUCACUCACCGCUUCAUCUCUUCUGUUGCUUACAAGGUCGUGUCAUAUAUUUUUUUAAUUUUGUGUGGUUUAAUUUAUUGAAUAUUUGAAAAAAGAGAUAAAAUUUUCAAUUUACAAUUACUGAUAUGAUGUUUGUUUUGAAAAUCAUUAAGGUGAAUGGAGAGAUUUACAACCAUGAAGAGCUGAGGAGCCGUUUGCCAAAUCAGAUUUAUAGGGCUUCAUCAAUUAUAAAUAAACGACUUUUCAUUCCCAAUGACCUUUAUCGUUUUUCUUAAUGGGUUAGCUGAACAUGAGGUAGAUGCUGACUUUAUCAAAUAUGAGAAUGUUUUAGGAUUUCAUUCUAAUUUUUUGGCUGUUUGAUUACUUUGCUUUUCGUAAUUUGAUUUGCUUAUCGUCAAUUGGAUGGGAUAAAACAUAUUUUUGUAACCAGUUUGUACUUUUUUUUUCUUUUUUUUGUGGAAACUAACCAGUUUGUACUUUUACCAAUUACCAUAUCGGUUUUGAUGGAAUUGGAGCUUUCAGUAAUGGGUUCUGAGGGAAUUGGAGUUCUGAGUAAUGGGUUUUUUUUAACAACUAUAGUAUCAUUUGUGAUUCAUUUAUUUAUAAGAUAUUAUAUAGGAAACUGUUUUUAGCACUCUAAAAAUCUUAUUCUACACUCUCGACAAAUGUAUUUUUCUUUCUAAUUAUGAAAAGUUUGGAGGGCAAAAUGAGAAUUGUGGAGUGCCAAUAACAAUUCCCUAUUAUAUAUAGCUCUACUAGGAAGGCGACUGUAUGUCUUCAUCCUGUUAAAUUGUAUAUGGCUCUUGAUGUCGGCUGAAUUAAAUCAAAAUGAAAACCAAGCUGCUGAUCUUACCAGCCCAUAUCACUUAUCACUUGCUUAUUUAAAUUAUUUGAAGAUGCGUAUGUGGAUUGGUGAUUUUGUUGGAUUCACUUGGCUCAAAUAUAUGUUAUCUGAGUCGCUACAUUUGAGAAUGUGAUUUUGUUCCUACCACCAUUUUGCCCACUUUUUGUGGAAAUUAUUUCUGCUUGUUGUGAAUGAUACAUUCAUCCCCGGCAGCAAAGUGCGAAGUGCGGGCGCAUUUUCUAGUUUAAGUAAAUCACACAAUGGGUCAUCAAUAAUAACAAACUUGUCAUUUAUGAGAGUCAAACAUGAGGCCACCUACCUACUAGUUUAGUGGAAUACCACAAGUGACAUGUUGAUACCUUUAAAUCUCAUAUAAUGGAUUGCAGAAUUAGGAUAUUCCUAGACUAAUUUAGUUAGUGCGUGAACCCGAACAAUUAACAAGGGUUUUAUUCUUGCUUGAAUGUUUGUUAUAUGUUCCUAGUUUGACAAGGCAAUUAUAUUUCCGACUACAAGUUAUUAAUUUAGUCGAGAAUUGACGCACCUGAAAUGGUGUGAGGAAAACAUGUAUCCACAUGAGCCGCAGUCCACUGUCCUUGGCAUCUAUCUUUAAAAGGCUCGAAAUGAAGCUCAAAGCCAUACAUGAGGGCAUUGUGUAUGUCUUUAUAAGAGAAGUUGCGGUAGUCCUCAACGUAGCCGGCAGCCAAACUCAUCCACUCUACACUGCAACCAUCAUCCAAUUCCCAUACCUCCCUGAACCUGUCCCCAACAUAUUCCCCGACCAUGACAUAGCUAUUCGUUUUUGGUUGACUCGAAGAAGAAGAAGAAGAAGAAGUAUUAUUCAAGCAUGGAGCAGUGUCCACGUACAGAGAAGAAUUCGAUGGAUUCGAACACUUCAAGUAAUAUAUAGAUAGAGAAUUAAUGUCAUAGGCGGGCCAAUAUAGAGAAUUGAUGUCCUCGGUGGUGGGCGGAAUAUUUUGAGACAUGGAAGAGCAAUUGUUGUUGUCAAGCCCAGGAUCUCGAAGUCGGAUUGUUUUGUUAUUAUAGUUGAUUGCCUGGACAUGGUACUUUCCGAAAGAAGGUAGGUCUAGUACUGUAAUGUUGCUCUCACAGGACAGAGUAUACGAUAUGUUGCCACAGUACUUUGGAUCAUCGUUAAGUCGAAAAGGAUGGCUUAUGUUGUGGAUAUGGCCGCAGGAUGAAGUGCAGGACUUGGCACUACUGUUGUCAGCGUUACAAGUUUCACUGCAAAAGCAAAGAAGAAGAAAGGCUAAACUUAAGGUGAAGGACCUGGUUCCACUAAUUUCCAUUGCUCUGAGAGAGAGAGAGAGAGAGAGAGAGAGAGAGAGGGUACCAUAGCUUAAACACCAAGGAGUUAUAUAAUAUGGGAGGGGUUAAAGCACCUCGCUUACAGUUGCAGUAAGCCCGUCAAAUAUCCUAGGGAAAAGUCGGUCAAUGGUGUCCUAUAGAGAAAAGUCGGCCUUGGUGUUUGACACGGUCACUCAACUCUCUCUCUCUCUCACAUUGACGAGGGACACUGUAAUUGAAAAAAAAAAAUGUUCUUCAGAGAUAGAUCUUGAAAUUCUUAUUUUAUAUAAAAAAAACACCUAAUAUUAAAUUAUUAAUCAUUCAAAUGAAAUUCUUAAAAUUAAGUAUAAAUAAUACAUAACGAAAACUGAGCACAUACAAUCAACGGUCACGAUCGUGAAAUCCUCCGGAUCCUCAGAAAAAAAUCCGACGAUGAUCUUUUUCUGUGUAAAAUAAUUUGAGGGUAUAAUACUGGAUGUGGAGCCAAAAAUAUUCGCUAGGCGACACGUGGACUUUUGGACAAAAGAGGACAAAAAUACCCUCGAAGCAUACAAGGAUUCCUACGCGCGAGCAGUGGGCAAUCAUCUUUCAAUCAAGUCAAAAGUGCCCAAAAAAGGUAACAAUUAAAAACCUCUCUCAUCAAAUCCUUUCUAUAAGGUAUUUCCCAAAACCUAGUAUUUUCUAUUUCAUUAUUUAGCUAAUCAAUUAGCUAAAUAAUAUAAACCUACCAUAUCUCCUAAAAUCACCCAAUUAAUAGCCCAAAACCGGCCCCCACUAUUCACAUCCUCAUCUUUCCCAUUUUCCUUAUUAAAAUAAUCAUUCAUUUUUAUAAACCACCCAUUUUAUUAUUUUCAUAUUUAAUUAGCCAAUAAAUUGGCAAAUUAAACAUGAAAUUAACCCCCACAAAAACCCUAUGGCUGGCUACUAUUAUUCAAAAUAGGGCAAACCCUAACUCUAUAAAUAAACACAUAUUCUCACCAAAAAUUCAUUCCAACUCUCUCACAAAAAAUCACAAAUACUCUAAACACUAUUUCUCUCUAAAAUUCUAACUUUGGCAUCAGAGGUUCUUCGGCCAAAGCCCCCCCCAUUCAUCGUGGGCGCGUGAGGCUCUUGGCCUUAACCUAAGGUGCUAGUUGUUUUGUAGGUGCAAAAUCGUCCAAGAUCGAAGAGGAGAAAAUUUGCAUCCACAAAUUGGUGCUUUCAUUGAGAGUUGAAAUCCAUACUCGUAGAAGACUCUCGCACAAAAAGGUUUUUUCUUUUAUUUUCUAGUCCAUUUGAAUAUUUUUCAUACGUUCUUAUUAUUAGAAUUUUUUUACUUGCAAAGGUUCUUUGAUAAAACGUAUAAGCAAAAUAUAAUGGCUAGAAAUUUAGAAAAUUCCACAAGUGAAAAUUCUAAUGUUCAAGAAAUGGGAUUGCGGAGAUCCGUGAGGCUAAAUGCGACAAUAAGGGGAGCGGCAUCAUCAUCACGAGCUUCCACCAUGGGAACCACCAUGGUGGCUACCUCGGUAGCCACCCGCGGCGAGGUCCAUGGUGCCUUCACCACGGCCACCAUGGGAACCACCGCGGUGGCUACUUUGGUAGCCACUCGUGGCGAGGUCCAUGGAGCCUUCACCACGGCCCGGAGAUCCGUGAGGCAAAAUGCGACAAUAAGGGGAGCGGCAUCAUCACCACAAGCUUCUACCAUGGGAACCACCGUGGUGGCUACCUCGGUAGCCACCCGCGGCGAGGUCCAUGGUGCUUUCACCACGGACACCAUGGGAACCACCGCGGUGGCUACUUCGGUAGCCACUCGUGGCGAGGUCCAUGGAGCCUUCACCACGGCCCGAGCCGUGCCAUCCAAGGCUCACGGUACCAAGACCACGAUCCAAGCCGUGCCAUCCAAGUUUACGUGGACCCAAGCCCAAGCCUCGCAUUCACAUGCACCGCGCAUUGAGCAGCCUGUUCCCGUGAUCCAGCCUGUUCCCGUCAAGCAACCCACUCUCACGGCCCAACCUGCUCAUGCCGAGCAGCCUGCUCUCGUGACACAGCCUGCUCCCGACGAGCAGCCCACUCCCGUGGCCCAGCCUACUUUCGUCGAGCAGCCCACUCCGGUGGCCCAGCCUGCUCCUGCUAAACAGCCCACUCCUGUGGCCCAGCCUCCUCUUGCUAAGCAGCCUGCUUUCGUCGAGCAGCCCACUCCGGUGGCCCAGCCUGCUCCUGCCAAGCAGCCCACUCCGGUGGCCCAGCCUGCUCCUGCCAAGCAGCCUACUCUCGUGACCCAGCCUGCUUCCGACGAGCAACCCACUCCCGUGGUCCAGCCUGCUUCUUUCGAGCAGCCCACUCUCACGGCCCAGCCUACUCCUGUGGCUUUCCAAGCAGCCCAAGUCGGCCCAAGACUAUCUCCCGGACCUACCAUCGAGCCGAGGGCAUUCUCACCACAUUUUUUCACGGAUUUGACAUUUCCCAACUCAAAUCUCGCGCCCGGAGUCUACCACAUUUCCACUGCCCAAGGAGGCGCAUUCCUUCCAAGCUCUUCCAAUCCAAAUGGCGAACAACACUUGUCUCGACAAGUCAUAGAGUUGACGAGCGCCCUUGCACAACAGAAAACCUUGGUGAAUCAACUUUUGCAACGUAUCGGGAUCCAACGUGCCCCGGACGAGGUAUCCCGAAGUAGGACAAGGGCAAACGAACAUUUCCAGCAGCCACUCGACCAGCCACGAGCCGAACGUUUGGGCAGUGUACAUUCCCGUCUUAGAGCGCGAGGGAGCAUGCACUCUCGACUAGGCCCACGGAUGAGCAUACAUUCACGGUUGGGGUCAUACUCCGAUAGUCAACAUGAGCAACCUUCCGGGCAAAGUGUCUAUUCGCAGCUAAGCCCACAAGGAGCGUCAUCCACCUCACAUCAGAGUAGGCAGCACGACGGACGGAGAGAAGCAGUCACUCAAUCCAGCUCAAGUUCAACCAGCAGCCUGCGAAGAACUCGCUCGCCUACUAGGAACGCACCACAUGCACUGCAUUCGCGGCAUAGACGAGCCAAACACAUGGAAGAGCAGCUUAGACCAGCAAGUCAUGACUGGAGGCAGCCAAGAGCUCCGCUACCCCAACAAAGGCAAAUUCAGGAAGAAGUAGAGAGACUCUUGACCAAGCGAUUGCAUGAUUUCCAACGCAACGAGGUCACCGACGAGGCACUACGACGGAACAUGACCAACAUAAGCAAGCAGGUCACCCUUCACGGACGAGAUCGAGCAGGCAGAGCCUCCACGAGAGUUCAGCAUGCCACAUUUCACAUCUUUCAAAGGGGAUGAAGACCCGGAGAGACACUUAAAGCGCUACCGAAGCGCAAUGAUCCUUUAUCGAAACAACGAUGAGCUUAUGUGCAAGAUAUUCGCCACCACUCUACAAGGCGAGGCGCAAGAUUGGUUCUACACCCUGCCGUCACAAUCCAUCCGGAAUUUCUACGAACUUUCUUUGGUUUUCACCAAAGAAUAUUCAUCCUAUCGCUCGAUCAAAAAGAAAUCUGAUCAUUUGUUCAACGUCAAGAAGAACCCAAAGGAGUCAAUUCGCGACUAUGUGAGGAGGUUCAAAGUAGAGAAGGCAAAAAAUAGUCGGAUGCAACGACUCGAUAGCUAGAGCAGCCUUCCAAAAAGGACUUCCAGCAGACCACCCGCUAUUUGGAAAAUUGAUCAUGAAAGAAGAUCUAACUCUGGCAGACUCUUUUGCUUUGGCAGAGAAGUAUGCACUUUGGGAUGAGGCUCGCCAAUGCACAUUCAAGGACUUGAAGAAGUACCCGACAUCACCUCCCUAGAAGCAGCGGAGGACUUAUUCACAUGUUUGACGAUAUCUAAAGUAGCAAUAAGCUCUACCAUCAUGCGAGAAGAGAUGGGGGCCCGACUACCUGUAUUCCACAGUUACCUGUAUUCUACAGUUCAAAAGCUCUCCUCGAUGUUAUUAAAAAUUCAAAAGCUAACUUUGGUGAUAGUUGUUGCAACCCAGAAGCACAAGUUUUACUUUCAAACGCAUGCAAUCAUCCUAAUGACGUACUAUUCUGCCCAAUCCAGACGCGCGACGAUAAAGGUGUAGACCAUGGCGGAUGUAAAGUUUUCUGACGAACGCAACACUAGAAGGACACACUCGAAAGCAAGUUUUGUCCUCGUCACCCUAAAAGAUUCUACAUAGGAGCAACAUGUACCGGCAGUUGAGUACCAUUUCUUGCUGCGCAUCACACGGCCCUAGCCGACCCUUGCUCAAUGAUUCAACUCUAGAGUGGCCCAAUACCGGCAGUUGAGCAUCUCCUGUUGCGUAUGACAUGGCCCCAUCUCCACAGCUCCCUACUGCGUCUUCACGCCGAGCCUAAGUGACGUAACAGAGCAGCCCAACGAUGCCUCAGAAGUAGCCGAGCACACUCUAGCUGCGCCUACUCCACCCGAUGGAGACUUUUGGCAUUUGCAUGUCGACGACGCAGAAAAGCCUUCAUCACUGCCGGCAGAGAAGGCUCCAAAAAGAUGGAUCCCAUCUGGGAAGGUCCGUACAAGAUCAGCAGAGUAGGGGGCAAGAGUAAUUACACCCUCACCACCAUGAAGCAGCAAAAAUAUUGAAAAGAAAUGGAUGGCCUACAAUCUGAAGAAGUACCAUGUGUGACCUCCCGCUACAUCAAAACCCGAAGACUCAAUAAGCUCGACGGGCACCACCUCACAAGCUGGGGACUAUCCAGUUGUUAUGCAGUUCCUACCUUACAGCUAAAGUUCUCGUUCGUUUCACUCGUUUUUCAAUGAGGAAUUUAGAAGUAAUCACAACUUGGCUUGGUUGCAUGCUUACAACAACUAAUCACUCCUGCACUUCAAAAGAAGAUUGCGCCCUUCUUAGGGACUCAUCGCAGGAAUUGCGCCCCCCGAGGGACCAACCAUGCUCUCCAGUGCGAGAGGGUAAACCAAUUCUCCGACACCCAUAUGGGUCAGCUCUCCAAGACGGGAGGAUAAACUUUACACUCCGAAUAUCCAGACGUGGAUGAGCCUGGCUGCCCUAGUAUAACUAGAUGCACGAUGGCUUGCGCCGGGAUUCCUAGAAGUAGCCGCAAUGGUCUUUUUCAAGGCUUAGCUAACUGAAGGAUUUUGGGUCUCUUGGCCUAAUCCGUGGGGAACCGGGCCCUAGAGACGGAGAGGGCACAUUACGCAGUACAUCCGAUGGACGGCUGCCCUGGAAUCCUAAAGCUGCUACCGAGUGCACUAAGGUAGCCUACGGAUUCCGGAAGACUGCCUACGGCUUGCCCUUCGAGCAGUGAAGCCGCACUAGACUUAUACAACCGCACAUUCUUGUGAAAGGUUAAACAAGCUAGCGCGCAUAUACGAAGUUUUAUCCACUGCCGACAUGCUAUGUAGUUGAUAAGCUUCACCUCUGCCAAGCGCGGAACAACCUACACCAAGUCCUAAAGUGUUGUGAUACUUGCUACGCAACCUACGGAAUUGAAAAAAGUCAAGGUUAACAGCCGAGUGGUUACGCGGACUUGUCUACUUCUGUAAGUAAGGCAUCCGGCUGCCAACCCUAUGGCUAACAACUUUGCAAAGUUCUACACCAACACCUACGGCUGCAUAGGCUACGCGAGUUUGUCUGCUUAUAAAAAAGUAGCAUGCCUGCCACUGGUCUAUCAAGUCUAAAGGUUAGGGCAUGAACAAAAGAAGUGAAGAUGAAGAAAAACGAAGGAAAACAUGUUUAUAAACAACUAGCAAAGGCCGAAUGAGUUCAAGCAAAACAAGAGCUACAAGGAAAAACAAAGAAAAUCCUAAAGGCUACCUAAAAUACUACACUACAGCAGCUUGGACAUCCCACGACUACUCGAUCGCCACACCUUCAACAGCCGUAACGCUCUUAGCAGCGGCAUCAUCCGGCGCUUCACCCCCCGGCUGCCCUAGUCUGGGCACUAACUUCUCCAACUACUUCACCAAUGGAAGCCUUAAAAGUAAAAGCAAACAAGUCUUCCGGAGAAAUAGAGAAGGUCUUAAAACCUCAAGCCCAUCCUUCUCACCCUUCAGCUGCUCAUUCUUCUUAAGCAGACUAACACGGACGCGCUACAGCUCAUCCACUCUCUUCUUAGCAUAAGUAGCGAAACGAAGCUCAGAAAUUGCAAGCUUAAGAUCUUGAAUCUGAGGCGAAUCAAUCUCAGCAGCAAAGGGAGCAGGCUUUGGCGCCACUUUAGCAGCAGAGUCCACCUUACCACUCUUCAUAAUAGCAAGUCUCUAAAAAGGUGAACCGGACUUGGCUCCCAAAGAACGUCCUGGUACAAACUUCGGCACUGGGGGCAUGAUAAAACCUUUACGCUGAGUAAUCUUAUCCACAAUUGUACUAGCCAUUCUCAACAUGGAAGACGCCACAUGCUCAGAUCUAGCAGCCUUACAUUUCUUCCCAUUGGAAGAAGUCAUGUCAAUCACAUACCUCUCGGUAGCAAGUGGACCAUCAUGAGCAGCAGAAGAAGUCUUCAAUUUUUUCUUAACUGGCAUCUCAUGAGCAGGUGGGGAAGAUCUCUUCUUUCCAUCUUCAUUCAUAGUAAGCUCCACGAUAGCGAUCAGAUGAGCCAAUGCAUCCGCCUUGAUCCUCUUUACCUCCUCUUUCCGGAGCAGCCCACAUUUCUUUCAGCAAAUAGGACUAAGCAGCCAACGACAUUCAUGGUACUCAGCAGGGGAGCUCAACCCAGUAUUCCAGCAGGCAGGAGGCCUGCAUGCCCAACAUUCCAGCAGCCCGUGAGACCCGCAAUCUCCUUAUUUCUCUCAAUCGCAAGCCUGGCCUGAGUCAAGUCCAAUAGCCCAAAGGACAUGAGUCAUGCGAUUCGCCUAACACUGCGCCUCAGCGCCACAAUCCUCGACCCCAGCUGCACAAGCUGCCCUUGGUUCUAGCCAAGUCAAGCAGCUUAAAACAGUGGUCCCUACCACAAUACCUCAUCGGCCCAUGUCGAGCCGACUCCUGGCCUAUGCCAGCCGACGUGCCGCACCACCCCGAUGGCUGCCCUGCAAUAGCACUAUCCAAGAAGAAGGCAAGAAAAAUUAAAUUUUUCUUACAUCGGUGCGGCACGAAAAAGACGAAGAAAUCAACGAAAGACGGUCUUUUGCACAGGCAAGACGUAGAAGAUUGCUAGAGGAGAGGGAACAAAUAUCCUCUAACUUUCUCUCUCUUGUUGGGUAGAAUAAAUCGCUCUCCAAAGUUGAUUUAAUAACCCACUUAAGGUGGACUUAAAUAGGCUUUGAGAGAAAUUUAUUUCCCUUUCCUAGAAGGAUCUAAUUUCCAUUUAAAGAGAGAAUCAACAACAAAAUAGGAAUCAAUUUAGAGUUGCCUAAAGCGAGAAAAUCUCUACACCUGUUGCCCUUUUCUGCAAGCAGCCCAACAGGUGUGGGGGCAUUUGUGGAGCCAAAAAUAUUCGCUAGGCGACACGUGGACUUUUGGACAAAAGAGGACAAAAAUACCCUCGAAGCAUACAAGGAUUCCUACGCGCGAGCAGUGGGCAAUCAUCUUUCAAUCAAGUCAAAAGUGCCCAAAAAAGGUAACAAUUAAAAACCUCUCUCAUCAAAUCCUUUCUAUAAGGUAUUUCCCAAAACCUAGUAUUUUCUAUUUCAUUAUUUAGCUAAUCAAUUAGCUAAAUAAUAUAAACCUACCAUAUCUCCUAAAAUCACCCAAUUAAUAGCCCAAAACCGGCCCCCACUAUUCACAUCCUCAUCUUUCCCAUUUUCCUUAUUAAAAUAAUCAUUCAUUUUUAUAACCACCCAUUUAUUAUUUUCAUAUUUAAUUAGCCAAUAAAUUGGCAAAUUAAACAUGAAAUUAACCCCCACAAAAACCCUAUGGCUGGCUACUAUUAUUCAAAAUAGGGCAAACCCUAACUCUAUAACUAAACACAUAUUCUCACCAAAAAUUCAUUCCAACUCUCUCACAAAAAAUCACAAAUACUCUAAACACUAUUUCUCUCUAAAAUUCUAACUUUGGCAUCGGAGGUUCUUCAGCCAAAGCCCCCCAUUCAUCGUGGACGCGUGAGGCUCUUGGCCUUAACCUAGGUGCUAGUUGUUUUGUAGGUGCAAAAUCGUCCAAGAUCGAAGAGGAGAAAAUUUGCAUCCACAAUGGAUGUGCGAUUAAACCGAAGAACCCACCACCUCCAUCUUCUCCGACCAACUUGAACCCAGCCACUACUACAUGUCAUCCCGACAACCCACUCUCAGCUUCCCAAACCGCCAUUUUUCACCCACUCACUUACCUCUCUCUCUCUCUCUCUCUCUCUCUCUCUCUCUCUCUCUCUCUCUUACCCAAGCCACUGCCAUUAUUCAUUCAAUCAACCCAAAACACGAGAGCCACCCCAUCUCACCACUCGAACAGAUGCAGCCACCCACCCAUUUAAUCCCAGUCCAAAAUCAAACCCUCUCCUAAACCCACCCCAGAAUCCAAUAAUUUCAAAAAAUGGCUGAUUAUAUCAUUUCAAGAACCUCACAAUUCCAAAAACUAAAAACCCACUUCAAAGAUGUAAUAUUUUUCUCUCUUCCUCUUUUUGGGUUUUUUUUUUUUAUCAAUUCUCUUCUGGGUUUUUGUUUACAGUGUAAAAUCAACACUAAUUUACUAAUUUUGCUUUGAUUUUUCAAACACUAUUGAGGCGUGAUAACCUGUUGCAAGCUCAGCCAUGGCGGCUACUGCAAAAUCUAACGGAAAAACCAUCACAGACUCUGCCAUUUCAUCCAAGGUUCCGACAAUAGCAAACCCUUUAACGAAUAGCUGUCGCAGAUUUCUUCCAACAUCAAUCACCACGCGAAAUUAAUUGUCAAUGAAGACGAUCCCAUUCCCCUUCGAAAUCUGCUGGGGGAAAGAGGCCUUCUUUCAUAUCUGCUCUGAGACCUGUUUAUGCGAGAGAGUGGUGAGCCUGACGACAGAGAGAAAGAAGGGCAGGAUUGGAAAAUUGGAAAGUUCAUUUAUUGGUUACUGUUUAUCCGUGUUUCUUCGAAAUAAGCUGCUUUUUCCAGCUUUGGGUUUUCAGUAUUUUUUUAACCCAUAAUUUUGAAAGAAAAAAAACUGAUUUGAAAUGUUAUCAAACACUUAAAAUGUUCCAAUCUUUUUUCAUACCUAUUUUUUUUAUUAAAAGUUAAGCUAAACAAAAACCAGGAUUAAGUUUACUACUUUGAAGUUUCUUGCUUUUCAACAUUUCAUACAUUGAAUUUUUCUCAUCCAGUGUCAUACCUAAGGUGAGAAUUGUGGGACACUUUUAUACAUCCGUUAGAUUUUCUGUGAAUUAUGGGACACUUUUAUACAUCCGUUAGAUUUUUUGUGAUAACCUUCGCUGACCCACGAUGCGGCAUGCAUGUGGACAUUAAAAAAAAUUCAAAAAUUCAAAAAUUCAAAAAUUUUAAAAUUUAAAAUUCAAAAAUACUAAAAACCUAAACUUUUCAUAAUAUUGAGUUGAGAGACUGAAUCUUUUCACACUCGGCCAAAUUUUCUUUGAAUUUUAAUUAAAUGAAACAAUGAAUCUUGAACAAAGCAAAACAAAACGUAAUAUUGAGAGAUUCAGUCAUUGAAGUGGACGUGGAUGUUGGGUACUCAAUAGUCCAAGAAUGAAAAUUCUCAUAUCAGUUUCUAUCCAAAAUUUUGGAAUUAUGUGUGUUGCAACGAUUGUCCAAAGGAUUAUUCUUCUUUUAUUAAAUUUCCAUGAAAAAUGAGCAUGGGGGCAUAAAAAUUGAACGAAUGAAAUUUCAACGAUUUGAAAAGGGUUGUGAGUUUGACACGUCAUUUUUCUUCCUUUAAUGCAAUCAUGUUUAUUAAAAGACAAAAAUAAAUAUGACUUUACAUAAGGAGAGAGAAAGAAUAGUUUUCUUUGAAAAAAUCAACCAUUUAUUGAAGAGGGAUGUUGAUAAGGAGAUGAGACAUUCAUUAGAAGCUAGAAAAAAGAAGUUAAAAGUGAUUUAGAAAAAAGCAAGAAAGCCACAUUUUCAAAGUGGUGGUCAUUGCACAAUACUUAAUUAGAAGAAAACUCAUAGUAUUGUAUUUACAAUUUCAAGUCUUUAUGGGGAACGAGAGUGCAAAUUUUCCAAUUGGAAUAUGAUAUGAAAUUUCUAGAUAACUAUAUAUGACAAAGAAAGAAGUCUAAGUUUCUAAGUGGUAGGGCUUCCAAUUGAUGUGAGUUUGUUGAGAAAUGUAGAUGAAGAUGAAUAUUGUUGUUGAUGUUAGUGAACAACAGAACAAGUUGCUUCUCCUUUGGCCUUCUAACAUGAUAUCACGGAAAACAAGUUGUUGCUAAUAAAUGUAUCUGAUUGGUGGACUUAGACGUGCGCGGUACGAUUUUUGAUAACGAGAAAAGAUGGACAGUGUCAUGACAAAAUUUAUCCAAGUAGACCCAAAGGAAAGACUUAGGAACUUCAUAUGCAGUGGGAUAAAAUCUUAAGCUAAUUUCCUUACCUAUUUUAUAGUCAUUAAGUAAAAUGUAUAUGUAUAUUUCUAGAUGCUGACACACCAAUGUACUUACUAUUAACUCCUUUCAAAUACCCAUUCGCAGAAACGCAAAUCUCUCUUGCAUGCUUGUUGUAAUGCUCAUGUAGUGCGUAUCUAAUAUCUUAUGUGUAUAAUUUUUUGUGAUCCAUUUUUUCAUCACUAUGCCAAAAUCCCUUUAGAAUUUGCAAUUUAUCCAUUUGGUUAUGGUAAAAAAAAAAACUCGGAAUUUCAUUUAAACUCAAAAAUCUAGAAUUGGGAAAGCAAUUUUCCCUUGUUCGGCAACUUGUAGCGAUAGCAAAGGCAAAUUGUACAGGAAAAAAGUGGAAAUUGGGGAUGAAGAUCCAAUUUUAAUUUCGUCAAAAUAAGUGUAAUUUCACAAUUCCAACAACGUUGAGAACAAAUGCAUUGCGGGGAAAUCUUGCGACCACCAAACUUUACGAUUAGAGGGCCAAAUUUCAUGAUAAAACGUAAUAAGGGUUUAGGACUGCAUCGUUCACUUUGUUAACUCUCCAAUCUUCGACGGGAUUUUCAACUCGUGCAUCAUCUUUUGCUUUGUUCUAGGUCAAAGCCUACUCUUUUCUUUCUUGAAUUAUUUUAGCUUUGAGGGUAUACUCUUUAGGCCAAUUGUGAAUUUUGCUAGUUAUUUUUAUUUUCUGAUGGUCAUAUGUUUGUUUUGUUUUUUUUUUCUUCCAAUUGAGAUGUGUAUUGGUUGGAUCAGUAACUUUUUUUUUGGAUUUUUAUUUUUAUUUUUAUGGAUUUUGGUGUUAGUUCCUUGUUAUAGAUGUUGUGGAGCAAAAAAUAAUCUCAAAAAUCGUGGAGGUGACACACGGAUUUUUGGACAAGAAUGACAAAAUUAUCCUCGAAGCACAUCAGGAUUCCCACGUGCAUGCAACGGACAAUAACGGCUCAAUCAUGGAAGAGUCAAAGGUGAUCAAUAUGGUAUUUAUUCAAAUCCCUCUCAUCACUCCUCAUCAAUCCCUUUUUUAUUUUAUUCAAAAGGUAACUCCCAAAACUUCCUAUUUAAUUUAGGGAUCAUUGUCAUGUUAAUUGCAAGAUAUUAUUUCACAAAAUAUCUUGUAAUUAUUCUUCAAUUACCACCAUGUAUGGCCGGCCACUCCUCACAUUAUGGGCCGGUCACUCCUCACCCUAUGGGUCGGCCACUCCCUAUAAAUAGCCCUAUUAUUCCACUAAUAAGGAAGCCAUUUGCUACCCACAAACUCCUAAACACAUUCUUUCAGAAUUCUAACUUUGGCAUUGGAGAUUCUUAGGCCAAAUCCCCCCUCCCAUUCAUCAUGGGCGCAUAAGGCUUUUGGCCUUAGUCUUAGGUAUUAUUAUUUUGCAGGUGCAUUUUUGUCAAAGACGAAGAUGGUGAAAAUUUGCAUCCACAAAUUGGUGUUUUCAUUGAGAGUUUGAUUCAUAAGCUCGAAGAAGACUCACAUUCAAAGUUUCACAUUUCUCAUUCAUAAGUAAAUUUUUCAUACGUUCUUAUUCCUAAAAUUUUUUAAAUCUUUGAAUAGACGUAUGAGAGAAAUACAAUGGCUAGAAAUUUAGAAACCACGACGAACGAAACUUCCUACGUUCAAAGAUCCAGAUAAAAUGAUGGAAAUUGCGAUGUAGCCCCACCACGACGAUCCACGAAGCUCAACGUGGUGGCAAAAUGAGUAACUUGGCCACCACGGAGUACCACCACCACCAUAGCCAAGGCAACCCAUGUUGCAGUGGGGAGUGGGACAGCUUCAUGGCAGCAAAGCCACGAAGCAACAAUAAAUGCCAUCUUGCAGUAAUGAGCCCAGGCCCGUGUCACAAGGCAGUCAACCCAGCGCUAGGUAACCUAGAUCUAGUAGGCCCACGACGUUGCCAUAGCAGCUGAGGCCUAAAGCAAGGCCCAAACAGUUGCGGUUGCGGCAAAUGGAGCAGCACAACACUGGCGGGGCCAAUGCACCCUUGGCCUAAUGCUAAGCAGGCUAAAUCGCACCACACCCACUAUUCAAACUAACCCUAAGUUGAGUAAGUAGCAUUGAAGGUUGUCAACCGCAAGGCGUUGAAGUACGAAUAAAGUUACACACCCCGCACAUGACUUGGCCCACUUCCGCGGCCCAACUUGCUCGCAAGGUCCACCUAGUGAUCCCGACUAGUCGAAGGCCAGUUUAAUCAUCCCAUCUUCAGAUUUCUGGACUGACGAUUGAAUCGGGGGUAUUUUCACCCCGAUUUUCUACAGAUUUGACAUAUCUCAACUCAAAUCUCGCACUUGGAGUCCAUUGCACUUCCAUUACUCAAGGAGACGCAUACCAUUUAAGAUCUUCCAUCCCAAAUGGCGAACAACACUUGUCUCGACAAGUCAUAGAGUUGACAUGCGCUUUUGCGCAGUAGACGACCUUAGUGAAUCAGCUCUUGCAACGCACAUAGAUGCAGUGUGCCCCAGACGAUGUGUCCCGAAGUAAGACAAGUACAGAUGACGAUUCUCUCCAGCAGCGUCCCAACAAGCAGCCGCUCGACUAGCCACGAACCGAGCGUUCUGGCAGUGUACACUCCCGUCUAGGUCCUCAAGAAAGCGUAUACUCUCGUCUUAGCGCGCGAAUGAGCGUGCACUCAUGGUUAGGCCUAUGGACGAGCAUACAUUCACGGUUGGGACCAUACUCUUAUAAUUAACAUGGACAACCUGCUAGACGAAGUGUUCAUUCGCGGCUAGGCCCGCAAAAAGCAUUUUCCACCUCAUAUUGGAGUAAGCAGCACAGAAGACGAAGAUAAGCAGUCAAUUAAUCUGGCUCAAAUUCAAUCGGCCACCUGUAAGUAACCAGUUCGCCUGCCAAGAACGUAUCAUAUGCAAUGUAGCCACGACAUAGACUAGAUGAGCACAACGAUAAGCAACCUAGACUAACAGGUUACGACUGGGGGCAGCCAGAAGCUCUGCUGCCCCAAUAGAGGUAAAUUUAGAAAGAAGUUGAGAGGCUCAUGACCGAACAAUUGUGCGAUUUCCAACGCAACGAAGCUACUGACAAGGCGCUUAAACGAUACACGACCAACAUAAAUGGGUCACCUUUUAUUGACAAGAUUGAGCAGACAGAACCAUCCUACAUACACUGGCGGAUACAAAGAUUACAUCUAUUUUAACAUAUGCAUCAACUCAGCCUAAUGGCGUGUCGAGGGCAAAUGGGUACCAGAAUGGCACACCAGCCCAACCACCAAGAACCAGGGCCAAAUCUUAUUUUCAUCACUCCACACGAUUCAAUACUUGAGCAGCACAUCACCAGUAAUCGAGCACCGCAGACCUAAUGGUCCAAUUCCUCCUGAUGCACACAAGCUCACCCCAGCUCCACGCUCAAAGCCUUGCCUACCUGCUCCACAACACUCAGCCACCCUUGAUUUGUCACCAUGGCUCACAAUUAUGCCAAUUUUGCACCACAGCUCAUAGCCGUGCUAAUCUUGCCAUGCGGCUCUUAACUACGUUAACCAAGCCCACGAUACUUUAUACUUCAAAGCAUCCAACGACGGAGUAGAACACGAGGCUCUACUAGCAGCCCCUGCUAGUGAAAGACUUUGCGGUGAAGAGGCUUCCAAUCCAUUCAAAUUCUCAGUUGACCACCUGUUGGGUUUUACGACUCAAAAUUAGGAUGAUGCAAAAAAAAUUGUGUUACCUAUUUGGUUUUGGUGUCGUAUUUGGGUUUGGAUUUUGACCUCUUAGUUGGUUUCCGUGGUGGAGAGAUUUUGUUAAUUACCUAUUUGAUUAGGAUUUGGAUUUACUUCCUAUUAAGAUUCUUAUUGUAACCUAAGUCUUAUGCACUAUAAAUAGGACCUCAGGGUUAGUGUAUUUUGUGUGGCUCAUUCGUGUGGCAAUUUGGUGAGAGUCAAUUUGUGAGUUUGUGAGUUAGAGAGCAAUUUGGGAGAAUCUUCUCCGUUAGUUUUGGGUUCUCUACUCGUUUGGUUUAGGGUUUGUAAUUUGUGGGAUUUGGAUUGUGAGAGUCUGAACACUAUUUUGUAAUCUCCGUUUGUUUAGUGAAAUUUCUUGUCAUGCUUCGCUCGUGGACUUAGAUUUUACACCGAACCACAUAAAUCUCUUGUGUUAGUUUGAGAUUGUUUGUUUUAGUUUUCACCUACGACGUUGAUAUCGGUACUUUGUUAGAAUUCGCUUUCCUUUGCUCAUAAAAGUACAACAAGUGGUAUCAGAGCCCGGCUUUCGGCUUGGGCUUUGCUUGGCAAUCACUAUGAAGCCUUCUGUGUCGUCGGUGAAAGUUGAUAUUGAAAAGUUCGAUGGCAAUGACUUUGGUAUUUGGCAAUUGAAGAUGCGUACUUUGUUAAUUCAACAAGAGCUUUUAAAAACGCUAAAGGGUGUGAAGGCUUUCCUGAAUUCGUGGACUGAUGAAGAAAAAAAAAGAUGUUAUGGAGCGGGCACUUGGAACAAUCCUGCUAACUUUAUCGAAUGAAGUCUUGCGUCAAGUUGGUAGCAUCAAAUCUGCACCGAAGUUGUGGCUAAAAUUGGAGAGUUUGUAUAUGACCAAAUCCCUUGCUAAAUGGUUGUAUUUGAAGAAAAGUUUGCGUACUCUUCGUAUGGAUGAAGGUACGUCAAUUCAUAAGACCAAAUCCUUAUUGCUGCCAAAAGUCCUCAACAGUUCCAAGGGAGAUGGGUAAGAGUUCGUAAUAGUGAGAGAUUGAAUCUUUUCACACUCGGCCAAAUUUUAAUUUUAAUUAGAUGAAACAAUGAAUCUUGAACAAAGCAAAACAAAAUUUAAUACUGAGAGAUUGAAUCAUUGAAGUGGACGUGGAUGUUGGGUACUCAACAGUCCAAGAAUGAAAACUCUCAUAUAAGUUUUUAUCCAAAAUUUUGGAAUUAUGUGAGUAUUGCAACGAUUGUCCGAAUGAUUAUUCUUCUUUUAUUAAAUUUCCAUGGAAAAUGAGCAUGGGGCACAAAAGUUGAACGAAUGAAAUUUCAAUGAUCUGCAAAGGGAUUGUGAGUUUGACAUGCCAUUUUUCUUCCUUUUAUGCAGUCAUGUUUAUUAAAAGACAAAAAUAAAUAUGACUUUACAUAAGGAGAGAGAAAGAGUAUUUUUCCUUGAAAAAAUCAACUAUUUAUUGAAGAGGAUGUGGAUGUUGAUUGAUGCGCAUUGUGAAUAGGAAAAAAAUAACCUUGAAGGGAGACGAGACAUUCAUUAGAAGCUAAAAAAAAGUUAUAGUGAUUUAGAAAAAAAAAGUUUUAACGAAACAUUUCCGGUACUGUUUACUCUUUACGAAAAACCACAUUUUUACCUUUCCUAACUACUAUUCACUACAUCUUUAUUUAUCAUUUUUCAUUAAAACUAAAGUUUUUGUUUUAACUUUUCGUUAGUUUCCUUUAGAAAAAAGCAAGAAAGCCUCAUUUUCAAAGUGGUAGUCCUUGAAACAAUACUUGAUUAGAAGAAAAGUCAUAGUAUUGUAUUUACAAUCUCAAGUCUUGAGGGGUAACGAGAAUGCAAGUUUCUAAUUGGAAUAUGAUAUGAAAUUUCUACAUAACUAUAUAUGACAAAGAAAGAAGUCUAAGUUUCUAAGUGGAAGGGCUUCCAAUUGAUGUGAGUUUGUUGAGAAAUGAAGAUGAAGAUGAAUAUUGUUGUUGAUGUGAGUUAGUGAACAACAGAACAAGUUGCUUCUCCUUUGGCCUUCUAACAUGAUAUUACCGGAAAACAAGUUGUUACUAGUAAAUGUAACUGACUGGUGAACUAAGACAUGCGGUACGAUUUUUGAUAACUAGAGAAGAUGAACAGUGUCGUGACAAAAUUUAUCCAAGUAGACCCAAGGGAAAGACUUAGGAACUUCAUAUGCAGUGGGAUAAAAUCUUAAGCUAAUUUCCUUUUUAAUCUUAUAGUCAUUAUGUAAAAUGUAUAUGCAUAUUUCUAGAUACAUACACACCAAUGUACAUAAUAUUAACUCCUUUUAAGUAGUCAUUUGCAAAUCCCUCUCGAGUGCUCUUUGGAAUGCUCAUGUGGUGCCGUUCUAAUCUCUUAUAUAUAACUUUUUGUGAUCCAUUUUUUCAUCAAUAUGCCAAAAUCCCUUUAGAAUUUGCAACUUAUCUUUUUGGUUACGGUAAAAAAAAAACUCGGAAUUUCAUUUAAACUCGAAAAUCUAGGGAUGUGAAAGCAAUUUUCUCUUGUUCGGCAACAUGUAGCGAGAGCAAAGGCAAAUUGUACAGGAAAAAGUUAGAAAUUUGGGAUGAAGAUUCCCAAUUUUAAUUUCGUCUAAAUAAGUGUAAUUUCACAAUUCUAACUACGAUGAGAAUCACAAAUAUAUUGCAGGGAAAUCUUGCGACAACCAAACUUUACGAUUAGGGUGCCAAAUUUCGUGAUAAAACCUAAUAAGGGUUUAGGGCUACAUUGUUCACUCUGUUAACUCUCCAAAUCUUCGACGGGAUUUUCGGCUCGUGCAUCAUCUUCUUGCUUUGUUCUAGGUCAACGCCUCUACUCUCUUCUUUCUUGUAUUAUUUUAGCUUUUCAGGUAGACUCUUUAUGGCUGUUGUGAAUUUUGCUAGUUAUUUUUAUUUUCUGAUAGUCAUUUGUUUGUUGUGCGUUUUUCCUUCCAAUUGAAUUGUGUAUUGGUUGGAUUUGUAACAUUUAUUUUUUUUAUUUUAUUUUAUGGAUUUUGGUGUUAGUUCUUUGUCAUGGAUGUUGUCCUUUUGAAGGUUAACAAUAGCCAAGACUAAACAUGAUGAUUUUGGUGUUAAUUACUUUCUCAUGAUACUAAUGCCAUAUUGUUCUCUAUUUUGCACUCACAAGUAAAGAGAAAUAUCCUAGACCCUAACUGGAUAUGUUAUUGUCAUGGUCAUGCAUUGGUAUGGUAACAAUAUGUUUGGAUAAGGAAAAUAAACUUAGAAUUUGACAAAAGAUAAAAUUUAUAAAUUGAUACAAUCAAUUCCUUUGUUUAGAUUCAUAAACAUAGAAAUUUAAACUUUCCGCGUGAGAAAAAACUUGGAAUUUGGGACCUUCAAUUCUCAUGUUUAAAUUUUAUGUAAAUAGGUGUCAUUUCUAAAUUUCAGUAAGUGAGAAUUUAAAAAUAACAAACAUGUAUUCAAAUUUCAUUCAUCUUUUAGGUUAACCAAACAAGAAAUUUUAUAAAUUCUAGAAAAUAAAAUUUCGUUAUUUCAAUUUCUGUUAUUUUAAAAUUAGUAAUCUUAAAUUUUCUCAUCCAAACAAAAAGUUUCCUUGUCAUAGAACUUUCAAUUGGGAUCAAGGAAGACAAUCUUUUCACAACUGAUUAUUCUCACCAAAUUUUAUUAUUAUUUUAAAGCAGAUCAAUACCAAACUUCAAAAGCAAAGUAGGAAGGCUAAAAUUAAGGUGAAGAACCUACUUCCACUAAUUACCAUGGGAGGGAGAGAGAGAGAACCAAGCGAGAGAGAAGAGAGAGAAAACACCAAGUAGUAUUAUAAUAUAGGUGGGGUUAAAUCACCUUUCGUGAAGUUGUAGUAAGAGCAGCUCCAGCGGGAGCUCCAACUUGAUGUACCGGUGAGAUUUCCUACCCAAUAGCCCCAGCUCCUUGCUCCAGUCCAUGCGGGUGAUUGGGCUGAGGGGGGCCGAGUGAGAGGCCUGACUCGAAUCGGUGGCCUGAGAGCCUGAGACCAAAAAUUAUCUUUUUGGAUAAUGACACGUGGUGCAACGAGAACGAUUAAAAAUCUUAUCCGAAAUUACAAAUAGAAUUAUUUUGUAUUAUUUUAUAAAAUAAAAAAUACUAAUAUUUUAUUGCUUAUUGACAUGACUAUUCAAUUACGGGUGGAGAUGCAGAAGACAAUUAUUAUUCAUUAAAGGUAAUUAUUGUUCAUUGGAGGGGAUUGAAUAUGAAGUUGCACUAGAAGGCCUUUGUCACGGCAAUAGGCAAUUACUGUUCUAAGGACUUCUAUCCUAGAAGAGAGACAAAAACACCAAGUAGUAUUAUAAUAUAGGUGGGGUUAAAUCACCUUCCGUGAAGUUGCAGAUAGAGUAAGGACUUCUAUCCUAGAAGAGAGACAAAAACACCAAGUAGUAUUAUAAUAUAGGUGGGGUUAAAUCACCUUCCGUGAAGUUGCAGAUAGAGUAAGGACUUCUAUCCUAGAAGAGAGACAAAAACACCAAGUAGUAUUAUAAUAUAGGUGGGGUUAAAUCACCUUCCGCGAAGCUGCAUUAAGGACUUCUAUCCUAGAAGAGAGACAAGAACACCAAGUAGUAUUAUAAUAUAGGUGGGGUUAAAUCACCUUACGUGAAGUUGCAGUAAGGACUUCUAUCCUAGAAGAGAGACAAAAACACCAAGUAGGAUUAUAAUAUAGGUGGGGUUAAAUCACCUUACGUGAAGUUGCAGAUAGAGUAAGGACUUCUAUCCUAGAAGAGAGACAAAAACACCAAGUAGUAUUAUAAUAUAGGUGGGGUUAAAUCACCUUCCGUGAAGUUGCAGUAAGGACUUCUAUCCUAGAGAAAAGUCGGUCAAUGGUGUUUGACACAGUCAGUCAACGAUAAAGACAGAAUUGUGUAACCAUAAUUCUCUCUCUAUCUCUUUUUCAUUAACGGAGGACAGUGUAUAAUUACUACGUAUACAUCUCUGCUCAAUUAUUGAAAAGAAAAAUCCAUGUGCAUUAUUUUUAUUAUUAUUAUCUCAGAAAUGCAGAAAUUGAUCAUCUCUUCCUUCUGCAUAUUGAUACUGGUUUUCUUCAAACUAGUUGAAGCAAGCCAAUAUGUGUGCGCGAAAUCCAACUGUAGCAAUGAUCAACGCCCGGCUAUCCAUUUCCCAUUGAACAUCAGGCGCACACAUCAUUGUGGAAAUUCUGGGCUUGAAUGCAAUGGGAGAUAUGGGCAGCAAAUACUAAUAAAAUUAUUUGUCAAACACAUUGAUUACAAGCGUCAGGAAAUCCAAGUCUAUUCCCCAAGUAACUGCCUGCUGCUAAAGCAUGUUGAAAUCCCAAACAUGCCACCCUCUCCCUUCAACGUGUCAGUCGAUGACUACAUGAGUACCCUUACCUUAUUCAGUUGUCCUACUUCUGUUGCAAGACGAGAUACGUAUCAAGUCCCCUGCCUCGGCGACCCUGGCAAGAAAACUUAUGCCAUUCGUUCUUACUAUGAUUUUGGAACUCUCUUCCAGAAUCUACAAUCCUGUACAAAAAUGUAUGAUGUUUUAUCAGUUCCAAUAGCCUAUGAAUAUUAUGUUUUUCGUUUCAAAUGGUCUAUACCAAAUUGCAGAAAAUGUGGAGAGGGAAAGAAGUGUGGAUGGCAGAACAAUGAAAUUAAAUGUCUUCCCUGGAGGAAACCAAGUAAGGAUAACAUAUGUAUUCAUUGCUAGUUUUAAACAUCUUUACAUUUAUGUCUUAGUAAUUAUUAUUUGAAGGAUGUUGUCCAAUCCAUUUUUACUAGGAAUAUUACCUGACAGUCUCGUUUAAAUUCGCAAUGAUCUUCUACAGGCAACACAUGGAAAAAAGUGGUUACAGGUGGAAUCCUGUGUGCUUUGCUUCUUGUUCUACUGACGAUUGCAGCAUAUCGGGUAUAUAGCGCUGAUAGAAAGGAGAAAGAGAGUCGAUUAAGAAUUGAAAGAUUCUUGGAGGACUACAAAGCACUCAAACCAAGCAGGUAUUCGUACGCAGAUAUUAAGAGGAUUACAAAUCAAUUCAAGGACAAGUUGGGCCAAGGAGCCUAUGGAACUGUCUUCAAAGGAAUGCUCUCUUCUGAAUUUUUUAUUGCUGUCAAAGUCCUCAACAGUUCCAAGGGAGAUGGGGAAGAGUUCGUAAAUGAAGUGCGAACGAUGGGUCAUAUCCACCAUUUAAACGUGGCUCGCUUGGUUGGAUUUUGUGCUGAUGGAUUUGUACGAGCUCUUGUUUACGAGUUCUUCCCCAAUGGUUCCCUGCAGGAUUUCAUUUCAUCUGCAGAUAGUAAGAAUUCAUUUCUUGGUUGGGAUAAACUGCAAGAUAUUGCCCUAGGCAUAGCCAAAGGAAUUGAAUAUCUUCACCAGGGAUGCGAUCUACGAAUCCUGCAUUUCGACAUCAAACCCCAUAAUGUUUUGCUAGACCAAAACUUCACUCCAAAAAUUUCUGAUUUUGGUAUGGCCAAGUUAUGUUCCAAGGAUCAAAGCUUGGUGUCCAUGACUACAGCUAGGGGGACCAUGGGCUACAUUGCACCUGAAGUGUUCUCCAGGAAUUUCGGAAAUGUGUCUUACAAGGCAGAUGUCUAUAGCUUUGGAAUGCUGCUGCUUGAGAUGGUAGGAGGAAGGAAGAAUAUUGGUUCAAUCACGGAUAACACUACAAAUGAAAUUUACUAUCCACAGUGGAUUUAUAAUCUUCUAGAGGAAGGGGAUGACCUACGAAUCCACAUUGGGGAAGAAGGAGAUGGUAAAAUUCCAAAGAAACUUGCAAUUAUAGGGCUAUGGUGUAUCCAAUGGCACCCGUCGGAUCGUCCUUCCAUGAAAAUAGCGGUUCAGAUGUUAGAAGGAGGAGGAGAAAGCUUGAGUAUGCCGCCUAAUCCCUUUGUGCCUACUGGUUCUACAACUAGGAAUGCAAGACGCCUAGAGCUAGAAGCUAUUGCUGAAUUAGAGUAAAAUGUAUAUGCAGAUAUGUAGACGUAUAGAUAUAGUAAUAUUUAUAUUGAAUAAGAGGCCGUUUGAUAACCAUUUCGUUUUCAGCUUUUAAUUUUUAUUUUUCACUUUUUUGAAAACUAAAAACUAAAAUCUUGUUUGGUAAAUACUUUUAGUUUAAAAAAAUUAUGAAGACUGAGAACUAAAAUGUGAAAGCUCAAAGGAAGUAGAUUAAAAGUAGUUACCAAACAAACUGGAAUCUCAAUAAUAAAAAAAGAUUGAAUUGCACAAUGCAAUCCAAACCAAUCAAAACAUUAAAAUAGCAAAAAAAAAUUAAAAUUCUAGUUGAUUAGAUUCUAAACGUAGUAAAAAUGAACAGAUCCAAUGAAAAAACAAAAAAUUCUCAAAUAAAAAUAGGGAUAAAGUAAAAUAUUUAUAAAUAGCUCUUUGUCUCUUAUGUCAUCAAUUAUUUCUAUAGUAUAUACAGGUUUUUGGAAAAAUUAGGUUCUCAUCCCUUAUUUUCAUAUUACAUUGAUUGAAAUCUUAUUAUUUUUCUAUUUUAGAUCAAGGUCCCUUGACUUAUUCCAUGUCAUCAUUUUAGUAUUUAAAAUAUUACACGUCAUCAUAAACGAAAUCUCAUCCCUUUCUGCAUUUAAGGCAAAAUAAACUAUAUGAGUAAGUUUAAAACAAGGAAAAUCCAUUUGAACUCCUCCAUUCUUCUUCUUCCCUUAUGCACAUCUGGAAUCUACAACACCCCAAACCCAAUUUUCUCCAUUUUUUCUCCAUUCCUGAAUUGAUCCAAUGCAUAUAUGUUGAAUAAACCUAUUGUGAUUAAAAUACAAAUUAGCAUCAAUGGUUUUAUCGGCUUGUGAGAUUUGUGUGGCAUAGGCAAGGCAAUGCAGGCAUUGCUUUCUCAAGGAAUCUGGUUGAUUCAAACAUGCAGAGACUGUAGAGUGAGCGGGCUAUGUGAAAAUUGUACCAUUCUGAAGUCAUUUUCUUUUGUUCUUUAUAUUUUUUUUCUUUUUCUUUUAUUAUUAUAUAUUAGUCUUGGUUAUUCAAUGUCUGGUUGGCUACACUUAUAUCCAUGGGUACAUUUUUAAUCUACAUGUUUCGUUCUAAUAUAUCUAUUGCUAUAAUAUGUUUUGGUUGGUUCAAAUUUGUUUUACAUAAAUAUAUGGGUACAAAGUUUUUGGAGAAUAUUAUGUAAAAUGGUUUUUAAGGUUGCUGCAUUUUACGUUCCCACAUAUGCAUGUCUAUAAAACAAUGUGGUAUGAUGUACAUUCUUUUCUUUGAGUUUUUAAAUGUACCCAUGAGUUUUCUUGUAAAUUCGUAUGUACCCAUAUGCUAUUUAUGUUAUGGGUACAUACAUUAUUUUUGGUCUAAGUUCAGGAUACAUUGCUUUUGUAUGUAUGAAUUCAUGGGGUACAUUAUUUCCCUUAAUACUACUCAAUAAAAUUCACAAAAAUAUGUGUAGUGUGCAUGAUUUUUUAUUGUAGAAAUUGUUUGUUUUUUUUAAGUCUCAUAAUUCAUGAAAUUUGUACAUAUAUGAUCCCAUAAAUUUUUUAAUUUUAUUAAAUUUCUGUUAGACUUGAUCGAUUGAUUGAAUCUCAUAAUACUAGGAUUUUGAAUUACAUAAAUUCUUGGAUUUGAAUCCCUUAAAUGUUGGACUGCAAUCAAUAUUUUAAAUUACAGUUUUUUGUUUAAGAUAUCAAAAAGAUGACAUGGGAAUAUAGUAAUACUAAAAUGCUGAGGUGUACAAAGUCAAGGGACUUUGAUCAAAACAUAAAAAACAAUAAGAUUUCAAUCUAACAAUUGAAUUGACUAGGGACCGGAACCAAAAUGACCCUAGAUUUUUAUUGAGUUUAAUCUUAAUCAAAAAAAGACUUCUUGUAUCACAGAAAAUACAAGAACCAUUAUUUGAAUGAAAUAAAAGCUAUGGGAUGGAGAUAUAAAUGGAUCCUUUUAUUCACAAUCGGAUUAUAUUUAUUUGAUACACUGUUGUCAAUAUGAAUGUUGAGAAAAGACUACAAAAGAAAAAACAAUUUAUAAAUAUAACUAAAAAUUCCAAUUUCAAUCAAUUAGAUAAUUAGAAUUAUAAGAAGAAAAAAAACAGAAAUCUCAGUUUUCAGUUUAAAAAAAAAUGAAAACAAAAACUGAAAACUGAAAACAAAAUGGUUAUCAAAGCCGUCCAAAUAAUAGAAGUUUGUUUCCACUCUUUGUUUAAGCAUAGAUGCCAAUUUUUGUUUAUCAUUUUUUUAACCUCUAUUUUUUGUUACAGUAGAAGCCCUAGAAGGAAAUCGAGCACUGGACUUACCAAACUCUUAACUUAUUUCUACACACCAAGAGCUUGAUUUCGGUUCUUAUUUAUACUAUUUAAGCUAUAAGCCGUGAUAAGAAUUAGAGAACUAUCAUUUGUUGUGAGCUUCAAUUGGUUAGCACUUUGUAUGUUUUCAUUAGAAUUUAUAUUUCACUUAGACUUUCUUAUUAAAAAAGGGAUCAUUUGGUGACUUCACCAUGACAGUCCAAUUUUAUGGGGGCCAUGAGUACUCACAAAGGUAUUUCAGCCUCCCCCUAUAUCUACCGUCGCGUGAUUCACCAUUGCCGGGAAUCGAACUCAAGACGUGUUGUAUAGAAUACAAGCCUAAAAUUCGUUUCUAACCACUGAGUCACCCCGCGUUUGAUUAUAUUUCACUUAGACUUAUCUUGCGGUAUAGCAUGUCAUCCCCGCCCAAGUUUUUCUGUUCGCAUUGAGUUUGGGAUACCAAAACUUGCCAAACAAAGUAGAUUGAUUAGUAAGCGAAGCUAAUUAUUCGACUAAACAUUGUUUAGAAUUUUAAUUAAAAGAAACAAUAUGAAUCUGUUUUUUUUUUUUUUUUUUGACAAACUAUAACGUUAAGGAGUUAAAUUGUUAGUUGUUAAGAGUACAGGGAUAGGUGAGGAUCGAACCUCCACCAGAGUGCAUAGACAUUAUUGGUUCUACAACUGCGGUAAAUCACAUAAAACAAAACGUAAUACUUUGAGGAUGGAAGACACUUCGUGGAUAGCGGGCAAUCAACACUAUCAGUCGCUAUCCAAAACUUGGAAUUAUGUUUAUUGUCCGAAGGAUUUUUCUUCCAUUAAAUUGCUAAGGAAGAUGAGGAUGGGUGGAGUGUCUAAAUGUCAAGGUUGAUAAGAAAGUGUAUGGUGUUCAGCAUGCGAUUGAGAUUUGUUGAGUGGCACAACAAACCACAUAAAAUUUUCUAAAUGAUAAGCAAUGAUAAGCUUGAGUAUAAUUUUUUACCACGUAUUUAUCUUUAAAAUCAUUAUAAUUAGAUUUUCUCUUAAUUAAUAUAGACCGUUAGAUUGACCCAAGUUUUUUUCCUCUUUUCUUUCCCCUCGUUUUUUUCUUCUCUGAUUUUCCAUUCACCGUGUAGCAGUCGUUCUUCCCCAACUAAGUUUCUUAUUUUUCUUCACAAAAAAAUUGUAGAAAAUAUUAAGAAAAGAAAAGUCAUCAAUAUCAGACUCGAUCAGGUAAUCGUUCCAACCUUCCCAGCAACUCUCAGUCUUAACAAGGCACCAAAUUUUCUCCGCCACCUAACUCGUCAUUCAUUCAUGGGUGUUUCAAGCUUGGUGAAAAUUGAUAGAGUUCCAUGUGUGUACAGGGAUGUGAACAUAUUGGCCACUCUCUAAGAAUGAGUCAUUGGAAAAGUUGAAGGAAAGAUGUAACCGAUGAAAUUAAUGGAUUGGAAUUACAAUGAAGUCUGUGUUGGUUUAUCACAAAGAACCCAGAAACAAAAUUUUAAAAGCAAACAAUUACAACUUCUCAAAUAUUAUGUAACAAACUUUCAAUGAAAUGUUGCUCAUAAUUGAAAAAAGGUUGACGAAGGACGGAGUUGGGAUUAUUUUAGAUGGGGAAGAGUUAAAAGAAGGAAGCACCAUUUAAUUACUAAAAGUAAUUGGAGAAAUGGUAAUUCAAUGGUGGGCGUUUUUAAGGUGUGGACCUUGUGUCACACCCCGAUCCCAACAUACAUUGAGGAUCGACACCUGACAUGGGGACCUAGGGGACAUAAAUCUUACGUAAGAUACAGAAUGAAAUACUAUAAAUAAUAUCCCAAAAUGAAUAUGAUAGUGGGUUCACCCCCUAUAAAAUAUAUACAAGUUUGUACAUUCACAAAAAAAAAAAAAAAAAAAACACACACACACACACACAAAACUCUUGCUAGGCCAAGACUUGCCCAUGGUUCUCAAAGGAAAGUCCUAAAAGAAAUAGUACAAUGAAGGAUAAAGGGGUAACCUAAACACUCCAAGUCUCUGAUCUCUGCACUGCUACCCCCACCGGCUCCUCGUAAUCUACCUCAGACCUGUCACUUGUACAAACAGUGCCUACAUUGUGGGAAUGGUGCACCGGGCAAACAAAAACCCAGAUAAGCUGCAAAACUCGUGUGGUAGCCGGCCUGGGACAUGGGAGGGGGCCGAGUCUUUCAGAAACCCUUGGGUCAUUGAUCUUCAAGCUUACAUGGAUGGGAUUGUCUCGACGUUGCUUUAGGAAGUCUCGACAGUCGUGAAAGACGGCUUUCGAUCCUUCCACUCCUUCUGUAAGAAGGUGUCUUCCUCCACUCCUUCUGCUUCGGGUUGAAGCAGCUGGGUUGAGAGAAGUCUCAUGUUGGUCGCGAUUUCGAUGAGUAGCUCGCUCCUCAACAGGAAUACCCAUGUCGAGGGAAAAUGAGCCUCUGUGUUGGAGGCACCCAGUUGAUGGUUGACUUCCACAGGGGUGAUGAGCUCGUGUGUUUUAGUAUAUCUAGCCUCGUGGAGCAUCUCGAAGACCUUUUCAUACUGCUCUUGGAGGAUCUCAUUCUUCAUCGCUAUCUUGUUGUUCUGAGCCUCCAGCUCAUCGACUUUAGCCUGAAGAGCAAACUUCUUUUGUUCCUUCUUUCGUUGUUUCGCACCAGGUGUAAGAGGGGUGUCAUUCUGUGUGCCGUGGCUUCCUUCGCUCCCCAUGUUAGAGAGGGAUGCCUGGUCAAAAGAGAGAGUACGAAUGGUGGAAACCAGCUUGGCAAAGCUAAAGAGAGUGGGAAUAAGUGUCGUUCCCACAGACGGCGCCAAAUGUUGAUGCACAAAAUCAGUGAGGACUUUGGUACAACAGAAAGUGUUAAGUUUGUGUCCUUCGCUAGAUUGGUCCGGUCAUUAGUGUGGAUAAGUAUGUAAAUGGAUAGGGACAGGGAAGCAAACACAAGAUGUAUGUGGUUCACCCAGAUUGGCUAUGUCCAUGGAGUGGAAGAGUUCUCAUUAAUUGUGAAGGGUUUACACAAGUACAUAGGUUCAAGCUCUCCUUUAGUGAGUACAAGUGAAUGAUUUAGUACAAAUGACAUUAGGAAAUAUUGUGGGAGAAUGAUCUCCUUUUAUAGAAUAGUUUCUAGCUUUGUUCUGACAUUGACACGUGUCAUGCUGUGAUUGGCUUUUGAUGUUGACAUGUGUCGCAUUGUGAUUGGCCUCCUGGUUUGAGGGAAACUCUUCUGGGUCCUUGACAGUAUAACGUUGACAGGUGCUCAGUAGUUUCGGGAUUGGUCAAGUAUGGUACAAACAAAGUCACUGAAAACUUCGAAGGAGUCACCCAGACAUCCAACGACUUUUCUAAAUCAAAUCUCAGAGAUUCCCAAAACUAUCGUUCACAAAUACACUAAAAACUAAGGCUAGAGUGACACAGUUUGGCCAAAGCCUACAUAAGUAACCAAAUAAGAAGUGGCCCCCCCAUAGCGGAUUAAUCAAGUAGAGCCACUCCUGAGAAAGUAACCAAGUAGGUAGUGACCCCAUCACGAAUUAACCAAGCAGAGUCACUCCUACGAAACUGUUAGGUAGUGAUCACCCAUCGCGGAUUAACUAAGCAUGAUCACCCCUAAGUACGUAUGGCCAUACCUAAGAAAUAAGGAUCGCCCAUCGCGGAUUAACUAAGCAUGAUCACCCCUAAGUACGUAUGGCCAUACCUAAGAAAUAAGGAUCGCCCAUCGCGGAUUAACCAAGCACAAUCCAAAAAUAUUAUGGGUCCCCUAUCGCGGAUUAACCAAGCAGGACCAUCCAUGUACCACUGCUACAUGGUGCAGAUUCGGUGUCACCUAACCCCGUGACACUAGGGUAACGGUCCUCUACUAGCCCUCACGUUUUUCAAACAUUUCAAAUAUAUAAUUUAAAACACAAUUCAUAAACAUUUCGAAUAGGGAAGUCACAUAGUGUUUAAUAAUGUAGGUCAAUGGAAAACUUUAAAAACAAUUAUUUAGCAUAAAACAUAUUUUAGAAAUCCAUGCUGUAUCCACAAAGUAUACUAGCACGGGAGAUUUUCAGGGUAAUAACUCUAUCACAUAUAUUAAAGUCACUCACCUGGAGUCCGCACUAACGCACCCUAGCACGAAUAUCAAGAUGUCACGUACUAUCAUUUGUAACAUCCCACAUCAACCAACAGAGAGGGGGUGAUGUGUCUUAUAUGUACAUGCCCACCUCUAUAGCACGAGGCUUUUUGGGAGCUCAUUGGCUUCAUAUUCCAUCGGAACUCCAAAGUUAAGCGAGUUUGGGCGAUAGUAGUCCAAGGAUGGGUGACCCACUGGAAAGUUCUCGUGUGAGUUCCUAGAAACAAAACCGUGAAGGCGUGGCCAGGGGGGCCAAAGUGGACAAUAUUGUGUUACGACGGAAUUAAGACUGAGAUGUGACAGAAUGGUAUCAGAGCCGCUCUGCCGCGUGGUGCAAGUGUGCCGAAGAGGACAUCGAGCCCCUAAGGGGGGUGGAUUGUAACAUCCCACAUCGACCAACGAAGAGGGGGUGAUGUGCCUUAUAUGUACAUGCCCACCUUCAUUUAGCACGAGGUCUUUUGGGAGCUCACUGGUUCCGGGUUCCAUCGGAACUCCGAAGUUAAGCGAGUUCGAGCGAGAGCAUUCCCAUGAUGGGUGACCCACUGGGAAGUUCUUGUGUGAGUUCCCAGAAACAAAACUGUGAGAGCAUGGCCGGGGCCCAAAGCGGACAAUAUCGUGUUAUGGCGGAGCCGAGAUUGGGAUGUGACAUCGUCACCUAAGACAAAGUACAAGUCCACAUUUAGAGUUCUUCGAGUAUUCACAUAAUCAAAAAUUUACAUACGCACCCUACAACUAAUGAAGAGAAAUCGAGACACGUUGACAAAAAGUCAACCGUCGAUCAACGGUAGGGUCCACAACCCUACGUAACUUAAUCCGUAAGAUCCAGCCACUGUAUUUGUGAUUCAUAAGUUCCUAAGGUCCUCAAAUCUUACGUACAAUAACAUACUAAACUUUAGUGACGAUCUAAUGGUCGAAUCAUCAUUUACUAUAAUGUUCAAAUGACGCAAAUUCGUCAAUCGGAUGUCAAAUAUGGAAUCGGUCAUCGAAUUUAGCCUAGGAAGAUCAAGUGGUGUCUCAAGCCACGCACCACCAUGCGCAGCAGUUGGCAACCCAGAUUCGUCGAAAAAAUCACCUGAUUCCAAAAUGAAUGUCGUGAGACGUGGAGUAAAUUGUAUACCUGUGAGAAGCCCAAUUUGGCCAGGAAGUGGCCUGAAAUCACUUUAGACCGUCGGAAACCCUAAAAUAGGUGAAUCUCGAUUAGUCAUCUCUGGUAUUCCACCGUCCUCAAACUUGUUUAGGGUUCUCAAAAAAAUGCUAAUGAUGAUGGUGAUUGAAGGAGAACGUUUCAGAAAUAGUGAAUCGCCGGCGAGGGUUUCACGGAAUCGACAUGGGUGUUCCUCGUGGAACCAAGACCAAAUCUCAACGGUUUUGGCUAGAAAUGGAUGCUGGGAUGUCGUGGUGAGGUUUGGUAUUGAUGGGAGGUCGAAGAAAGUCAAAAAAAUCGACGAAAAAACUGUCGUCGGAGUCACAGGAAACGUGUUAGAAAAAUGAGUCGCCGAGUUUGAAACGGGUCGAAGGCUUUUGGGACAGCUACUUAAUCUCUCUUCUCUGAUUAGUCACUCCACUCACUCUCUCAUUUGAUUGGUCCAGCCUUCCCACAUGGUGGGAGUUCCCUCAUAUAGUAACCCAAAAUUUACUAUUUAAAUUUGGUAUCAAACGUCCGUAACUUUUUUGUUAUAGUUCCGAUUCACAAACGGCUUUCGCCUACGCGCUCGUAUGAUCGAAUUAUACUUGAAAACAUUAAUUGUGACCUUAAAAAGGUCUACAAGUUUUAAAAGAUUAAUUACAAAAAUUCACACCUUGUAACUAUACGAUUCAAAUUCUAAAAUUAACGGAAUUAAAAUAAACUAAAAAUAAUGUAAACACGAAAUACAGACUUUAAUAAUGAAAUACGUAAUUAAUAGUGGAAUUCUGGGGAUGGGAUUUCACACCUUGCGUCCGGACCUUGAGUGCGGAUCAGAAUCCAAAGGUCGUGAUCUGACGAGCUCAUGUAUAGAACAGAGUUGUUGUGACCCAAUGCAAUUCAAAACUUUUAUGUUUUUUUAUUUACUGGGUACGUUUUUGUAGGAGGAAAAGGGGAAGUCGAGGGAUUCUUUGCGCAAUAAAGAGGGAAAGAGAGAAAAGGGGAGCUAAGAGGUUCUUCGCGCGUUAAAUUUUUGCUUCUGAUUUUGCAACCUAGAAAUAAAGUAUUUUCUUUAUGGUUUAUGGUUCAAGAAUAUAAUGGAUGCAACCUAAAAAUGUUUAUUUUUUUAUUUUUUACUUUUUUUCUUCUUAUGUUGGCUUUUGGUUUAUUCUUAUAAUGCACUAUAUAUUAACUAAAUUUAUAAACAUUUUGUAUCUUUGUUGCAGUCAAAUUAAUCAUAUGGGUUGGCAUGACGAAGUUCGACUGAGACAUACAGAUGUUUUGCAAUCUUAAGUCUAACCUGACACACCCCGACCUCAAUAUCCAGUGGACACCAAAAUUGAGGUGUGAUGGCCAUCAUCCGGAUGGGUGACGAAACCAUUAUAUGCAUGAAAACAUAAUUACCCAAACACGUCUUAUUAAAAUAUUGAGUAAAUACCAUACAAGAUAGAAUACGUCAGAGCUGUUGCAAAAUACCUCAACGUCCGAUGUAAUCACUGAUAGAAUUACUGAAUCAUGUAUAAAUGGAAAGCUGAUAAAUACAUGUAAUUUGAGUGGAUACUUACCAGCAGCAUGGAUACAAUAUCAUCCACCAGUCGUAACUAGUGAAAGUUGGAUAAUAUAAUCAUGUCAUUGCCGAGUAAUCUCAAGGCAAUGACAAGAUGAGAAUGUAACUGAGUAAUCAUAUCAUUACUAAAUAAUCUCAAAGUAAUGACAAGCUAAGAGUAUAACCGUAUAAUCAUGUCAUUACCUCGUAAUCUCAAAAUAAUGAUAAGCUGAGAGUAUAACUGUAGUACCUCUUAUUAGUGCAAUGCAUGAUAUGAAUUCCAUCUCACAUAUAUAUGCAAGCCAUAAUCAAACCAAUAAACAUCCAACAAAAGCCACAAUCCUUUUAACAUUCGACCACAAGAUCAAUUUUCAUAUUUCCCAAACCUAGGUUCCAAAGCAUUGUUUCGAAUUAUUAAUACAAGAAACCACCACCACCUCAAUCAACUCCUAUUCACAAGUGUAAGCAAUUACUAAAUGCAUCACUUUCGACUCUAGUCUUAAUUAGAUUACUUGGGAUACUCACACCAUCAGAUCCAAGUACUAUUUUGAUAAACUUUAAAUAGCAUGGUUAAAAUAAAUGAAACACUUUUAGAAAAUAAGUGAAGAUGUUGUUUACAAAUAUAGAUGCAUCUGUAUAUAAAAGCUUUGGCGGUUGAUCCGUAUACACACUUCCAGAGAUAUAAGCAAGUUCAUUGGAAUAUACAUACAUAGUUAAUGUAUUACAAUAUAAUUAAUAAGAAAACAAUUGCAUCCCUUUCAGAUUAUAUAUAUAUAUAUAUAUAUAUAUAUAUAUAUAGACACACACAUACAUACACACAGGCCCUUUAUGCAAAGGAAUUUCCAUUUUUUUUCAAAAAUGGGGAUUAGUUGUGGGGCCCACGCUGCAUUGAACUUUAACGAUCCGAACAGUCUAUUUUGUAAGUCUCGAUUCAUAGAUCAUCCUUGUAAAAAUUCAAUUCAAUCCGAACCCAUUUGCCUAUUUAAUUAUCAAGAUAAAAUUUUAUUGUUUCUUAUAUAACAAAGUAUUCGUUAAUUUCUUUGAACUCAAUUAGAUAUCUUAAACAUUUCCGAUUUGGUUAAUAUUGUGUAAGGAUGAUCUAUGUGGUGCAACUUGAAAAAUAGACGAUUACGAUCGUUAAAGUUCGAUGUGGUGAGAACCCUACAAUUAAUCUUCAUUUUUAUAAAAGAAUGGGAACCCCUUCCCUUAAAGGUUUCCUAUGUAUAUAUUUGUUCUCCAGACAUAUGCAAAAGGUAAUGUAAAACCAAUGAGAACUUAAAUAGAUAUUCCAUACAUAGGACAAUUCCAUAUAUGCUUUUUCAACAUUUAUAUCGAAAAGCCAAAUUGUUUUGAGGAAAUUAAUUGUAGCAAUGAUCCCUUAACUUUUAUCUUAUUGGAGCAAUGGUCUCUCAACUAAAAAUUCAUAACCAUUGGUUCCUUAACUCCACACAACGUGUAGUUAUGGUCAUUUUCAUUAACUCCGUCAGAACUUUUGUUAAAACAAGUAAUGUUAGAAGAAUCAUUGCUACAAUUAAGUUAAAGUUGGGGACCAUUGCUCUAAUUAAAUUAAAAUUGAGGGAUCAUUUCUCCAAAUUGCUUAAAGUUCAAGGACCAUUUCUACAAUUUUCUCAUCUAGUUUCCCAUAUUUACCCCAUGAUUCAGCUUCACAUGCAUUGCACAUGACUCAUUUUGAAAUUUUUUUUAACGAAAUUGAUGAAAAUGACCAUAAAUGCACGUUUUGAAGAGUUAAGAGACCAAUGGUCGUGGAUUUUAGUUGAGGGAUCAUUGCUCCAAUUUAGUUAAAGUUAAGGGACCCUUGCUACAAUUUUCUCAAAUGUUUUGUAUGCGAAAAUAGGCAUUUGUAAAGUUUGGCUUGUUCAUGGCAUUAUUACUUUAGUCUAAAGUAAGGCUGGAAAUGGCACUGUAGAAAUGAAUAGUGUUCCAAUCCGAAUUUCAGUUUAAUUACAACAAUGCCAUUGCUCUUUGUGUUGCCUUUAGGUGAGCAGCCCGGCUUGCAGCCAGGCCCAAAUGUAUUGGUUUUAGCUGAGAAGCCCGGCCCUUAGUCAAGCCCAAAAUUUUAAAUUACAGUUUUGCCCAUACAAAAUAACAAUCCGAUUGUAUCGAGAAGGACAAUUUUGUCCUUUCAGUUUUGGGUGAGAUAGGGGGUAACAGGGUAAGUUUCAUUUGCUGUCGUUGAAUGAGGGUUUCGAGGAUGAGGGCUCUGUGUGUGUGGGUGUGUGAGAGAGAGAGAGAGAUAGAGAGAGAUAGAGAGGGAUAUGGCGAUGGAAGGAGAGCGAGGGGGAAGGGAAGGGUUCUCGGCACUGUUGCUGCAUGUGAAUUUCACAAGUGGGAGAGUGGGUAUGGUCAGAGAAGACCAUAUAGGUCGUUGGGAUUUCAGGGAAACGGGGUAGGGGUCAUGAAUGAACCCUGCUGAGAGUGGGUACUGGAUCUUGCGCUGCAUGCCUCAAAUCAAAGAUAAGUUCGUUUUUUUUAUUGUAUUUUUUAUGGUAGCUUAGCUUUUGGAAUUGUUUAGUAUGUUAGGUCCGAUUUUGGGGGAUUUAUCUUUUUAGAGAGAGAGAUGGACAGGGAGAUAGAGAUAGAGAGAGAGAGAGAGAGAGAGAGAGAGAGAGAGAUGAGGAAGCAUGACUGUGUGCAAUUUUUUAUGUUAAUUAAUGGGUUGGUGCGCAGGGUGAGUGACAGAGUGACAGAGUGAAGGAGGGACGUGUGGGAGGGUAUGAGUUUUCAGUUCUUUCUUUUGAUUCAACAGGUUAUACACUGUUUGAAAAACCUUUUUUUUAUUAUUUUGUUCUCGUUUGCUUUGUUAAAACCAUCAUUUGAAUUUUUGGGUUUCAUUGUGCUUAUUUCUCUGCUUCUUCAUAAUUUGCUGGUGUUUGCUUCUCAUCCCUCUGUUGGUAGAUCUUUUUCUCAUUUCUUGGUUCCUUAUGUAUUCUUUGGUACAAAUCUGUUUACUUUUUGGCUGUGUGAUAAUCUUAGCAGGUGAACUAUAUGAACGUUUUUUUGAAACGAGUUAAGAAGAUCCAGCUGAAAAGAGCAUACAAGAUAGAGAACUGGUAUGCUGCUCGCCAGGGAAAGGCUGCUGGAAAGGUUGAGACGGAUGCCUCUUUCAGAAACCAGGUCAGUUUCCUGCUGCUCGGCGUCUUAAUGUAUCCAAAUUGUUUAUCUUUUGAUGAAAUUAGCUGGCUAUAUUUUCUAUUUUAUUUAUCUGCAUAUUAUUUUGGUUUGUUGAAAUUUUGACUAUAGUCAUUGUCACAUGGGCGCCUAGCCCAACCCAAAUUAGUUGAGGAUAUUUAAAUCUUCACCAUGGUAUUAUAGUACUCACUCACAGUUGUGAAUACUAAGGUGCAUGCAUGGCAUGAAGAAGUGGACCGUGCACGCCAAGGUCAGAGGGAUGCAGAAGGCAAGCUUUUUUCUUUGGAGGUAAGUAUCCUUUGUUUAUUGCCCAACAGUGUUGUUAUUAUCAAUUUGUAGCUUUGCGUUCUGAAUUUUUUGCUUUGUCAAACAACCUUCUUGAAAUGCUCGAUUUCAAGCCGAAGUCCAAAAAAUGAAAGUUGAGAUGGCUUCCAUGAAGAGGGAUGUAGAGCAUUACUCGCGCUAGGUGAAAUCUGCUUCCUCUCUUUUCGUAUAUCUUCAUAUGAAGAGUUUUACUAAGUUAUAUUGAGAACUAUGUUAUUUAUAGGUUAUAUUUUCCAUUUUGCAGGAACACAUGGAGCUAAGGAAGAGCUAUCGUGAACUCACUGAUCUACUGGUAAUGUCACUCAAACUGCUUUAUUUGUGCAUGCUGCUACUAUGCGCUUGAAUGCAUUUUAUUACUGGCGGGAUGCGAAGAAAGCUAGAUAUAUGUGCUGGAUCGCUUGAUUAAUGUUAGGGUUUUAACAACUAAUUGUUAGCAGCUAGAAGCCCUGGUUAGAUUAAUGCUAAUUUGAUUUUCCUUACAGUACUUGAGUGCCAGUUUCAUAUUGUUUGUUCCCUGUUGGAUACCUGCUGUACAGUUUCAUUUCUGUUUCUUCAUAACUUUCUUGGCCCUGGGAUAUAUGCAUAUUGAGUACAAUGAAUAUCCAUUGUUCUCUAACUGUUGGGCUUUACUAUCUUUGUAGCAGCCUGCCUAACAUUUUUUAGGCUCUACACUCUACCAUCCAAUUUAUGAAAAAUUCAAAGAUUGGACGAUAUUGAUUGCAGAAAUGAAAAAAAUACUAUGAUAUUAGAAAGGUGAAUGUAAUUGUGUUAGAAUAAGCGUCUAGCAUGAUGGGUAAUAUUUUAAGUUUGUAUUUCUAAAAUUUUUUCGUUCUGGAGUAUGAUUUACCUCAAUUGUUUUGUACUUUAAUCUUUACUAAUUUUCAUUGUGGAGUAUGAUUUGCCUCAACUAACAACUUUUCAUUGUUUAACUUUUUCCUCCCUUAGAUAGUUGCAUAUGUUUGAUUUGUUAAUCUGCUUCUUACACAUGUUGUUUCCUAAUGGUGUAGGUGGGUUGUCGGAUGCAUGUGCAGAUUACUUGAAUAGACGAAGCUAAGAAUGACUUAGUAUUAAGUGAGACAGAAGCUUGGGUCAGUUGGAUUUUGACAUUUGAUUUAUUCAUGUUUUUUGUUGCUUGCAAUGUUCUCGCAUUGUUUGUUCUGAGAUUCUGUGAUCUUAUUUUUCAUAGGAACUGACAUUGGUUUGCCAUAUAAUGUUUCAGGAACUAAUACAACAACUAAUCACCUUGCUUAGCUCUCAAGACACAUACUUAACAGGUUAACAAACACUAACCUAUAAACUGAUCUGCUAAGCUGGACCAUUAACCUCUGUUUAUAUCCCUGCCACUCAUCUUUUGGCACUUAUCAAUAGCAAAAUCUAGAGUUGUUGAAACCCCAAUUUUAAUGAAUAUUAUUUUUAGUUGAUAAUUAAAAUUAAUUGAUGAUUAAUCUAUUCCAUUGUGCAUUAUUUUAUCGCCAAAUACUUUGAAUAUUCAUUAGCAAAAGAUAUAGGGUUCACUAUUUAAUGAAUAGAAUUUUGAUGGUGGAUUGCAUUUCCUGAGUUAUAAAUGUGGUGAAUCCAUUAUUUACUAGCUGAAUAAUCAUAAUGUUUUGGCCACUUACCUUGAAUUUUGUUCAAAUUGAAGAAGUCACAUGUUUCUUUCUGUUGUUGAGGUAAUCUCUCUGUUGAAAGCUUCUAUUUCUUUUUUUUUUUUCUUUUUUUCAUUUGGGUAGAUUUUUUUUUUUAUGGAUUUAUGUAUUUUUUUUCCAGAGAAUUCGAAAUGAAAUAAGAAUAGCGGAUUGAGCAUAAACAAAUUGAUGAAAUUUUUAUUUGAGUGUUUGUGUUAGUCCUUUUUUGAUUUGUUGAGGUUUGGAAUUAUUUGAGUUUUUUUGCUGUUAGUACUAUGAAGGAUGCUUGGCAAUCGCGAAAUGGGGGCUACCUCUUUGGAAAGAGAAGUCUCGCUAUCCAACCUCUCAUGAAUUACAAACAGGGUGAUUUCUUGCUGAAAAACCACUGAACCAGUAGAACUUUCCUCGGUUCUUCAAUUCGAUUCGAAUAAUUUUUUUACCCAGAAAAGCCAGCGUUUCCUGGUGGGUUUUACAGCUUUCUCAAUGUUUUUGUGAUUUUGGAUUUGCAAAUUUGUUUUCUGUUCAAAUUUCCUUUUGUGAUUUUGGAGGUUUUGUUUAUCGAUUCUCUCACUCAUCUCUCAGCUCUCUCUCACUUUUGAGGUACAUGCCGUUGGAUUCCGUUUGCUGCUGCUGAUCUGUAGGUAAAGCUUCAAUUACCAUAUAAAGUUUACAUUUUUCAUGAUUUCUUGAAUUUGGGUUUUAAACAAAGGAAAUAUUGCUAGAUUCUUAUCUUAUGUGCAAAUUACUGGCUAUUUGGAUUGGUGCCUGAGAUUUAGAGAAUGCCUCGCAGCUUUAAUUUCUUUUUCCUUCAUUAUUACUGUUUUCAAAAUUUUUAUUGCUGGGUAUUGAUAAUUUGUAGUAUGUGAGGGCUUCAAUAUGUUGGAAUUUUGAAUGGUUAUUGCUUCAUCGGAAUUUGGGUGGUCCAAAUUUUGAAUUAGAAGAAACCCAUUUGAUUAAUAUUUUUGGUGGAUUGGUUCUCUGUGUUUUCCUUGCUAUUUCUCCCCCAGUUGGAAAUUGGAAGCCCCAACUUUGAGCUCAGAGCUUGAAUUUCUCAAUCGUUCGUUUCUCUGCACUCUCAUCAAUCACUCUUGAUCCUCUAUCUAAAGAACUGGGUAAUUUUCCAGCUCUAUCAAGUAAUACUCCAUUUAAUUGCUUAAUUGAGGUUUUUUGUUUCUCUUUUUCGCUCUUUCAUCAGUUCAUUGACUUUGAUGUUGAGCUUAAGUAAAUGGGAGAUCAUUAAUUGGCAUUGUUCAAGAUAUAAUUCUGUGUUUUUGGAUUUGUGAAACGAUUUGCCUAAUGAUGAUAGUGGUUAAAAUAAAUUUUUCGUUAUGAAGAGAACAUUGUUCUUCAUUUGCCUACGGUUUUAACUACAAAGUUAAACUACUAUGCUUUUGUUCAAUUGACUGCAACUCAUGCCGCAGUUUGCUUCACAAACCUCUACGGUUAGCUUCCAUACAGUAUGUUGCAAGUUUGAGGAUAUCUUUACAUCUUAAUUUUUGCUCUCUCUGGUUGCUUCAAGUUUGUAAUUUUACGUGUUACAUUGCUACUUGAUUUGAUUAUAAAAAUGCAAAACAAAAUCCGUUUUGCUUUUAUUCAACUUAAAUGUAUCCUUUUGUUUGUUCAUAAUUGUGUUGAAUUUAUUCAACUUAAAUGUGUUUUAUUCAUCUAUUUACGCUUAAAACAACUGGUUCCCCUAGCAAUGCGCGGGCCUAAUUUCUAGUACAUAUACUAAAAGCCAGCAGAAAAUUACUGUUCAUCAUGGGAGAUAGAGCACUGUUCAUUAACAGUGAAAGGGCGAAAAUGCCCUCGGUUUCUUCUUUACUUCACGUACUGUUUACGAAUUGCUACAGUAUAAAGUCCGUUUUGUCCUUCCUGUCCACACAUCUUUCAUCGUCCGUUUCUCUUGCUUCGACCGUAUCUUUUUUGCUUUACCUUUCCUCUUCAUUUUUCGCAUUCGUUAGGCUGCGAUUUUCGGAGGUGGAUUGUUUGCCCUCCCAUUUCCAUGCUCUCCCCAUGCCUAUGUGGUCACAGUUAAACCACGUCAAUAUUUUAUAUUAAUUUUUUAUAAAAAUAAUAAAACAAAAAGUAAUAAGAAUAUAAAAUAUUGACGUGGCUUAACGUGGUCCGUGAUCACAGUAGGCAUGGAAAUGGUCCGCGACUUUCUCCCUUUUCGCCAGCCCCUCUUUUGCUCUCAAAUCCUUGCUCUUUCUUUUGCAAAAUAGUCUCAGAAGAGAUCCUGGGUUUAUCGAAUCCUUUGUUGUUCGGCGUUUUGUUCUCAUCUUGUGAUCGUCGGGUCAGCAGCUUUAAGGUAAGUUUGUUUUUAAUGAUUUAUCCUCAUUUUACGAUGUCUGGGCUAACAAAUUUAAGAUCUUUAUUUUUCUUUUUGCUGCGGAUCUGCAGGUUUUGACAAGUUUUUUGUGAAAUUGGUGCUGUCAGUGGGUGUUAACAUCAGGUACCCAUGUUCAGUUUUUCGUUUUGAUUUGAAGGAAUUUCUUGCGCAGAAGUGCUAGGGUUUCUUGGUGAGUUCUUCGGGUUGUGCAUAUGGGUAAUUUUCUUUUCGGUUUAACCCGCUGCUUCUGCUGCUCUCUCUCUUUCUCUCAUCCCUGCCUGCUCCUCUCCAAUUGUUUGCUGUUCUUAAAUAUUGUGUUCAUUGCCUGAUACAAGGAGCUGCAGCAAUCUGUUUUAUCCUACACGGGACAACGAGGCAAUGGCGUGACAACAGGUGAGCUUGGAUAUCCAAAGAAAGAGAACAGUUGGUUCAUCUGCUGGAGUCUGAAGCUCAGAGAAGUGGAGGAAAAUUGCAGGUGUGCGAGAAAUUUUAUUUUGCUGAUAGGACUCCUUAUUUACGGAUGCAUUUUGAAAUAAUUGAAAAGUUGGAUUUGAGUUAACAGCUAUAAAAAUGUAGACAUGAUUGCUGAGAUUAUGCUAUGAAAGUGGAAUAAAAAAAUGGUAGUUUAUAAUAUUGCGUACCAAUUUUUUUCUCUCUUUUUUACCAAAUGAUAAGGGUGGUGGCUCAGGCCGCCCCCCCUACGCGUCCCCACUCUUCGACAAGUUGAAAUCAUGGUGAUAGUUUAUGGGCUGUGGUCUUGGGAUUCUGCAAAUAGAUUAAAAAACAGACACUUAACUAUCUUGUUAUUAAACAUUUCUGCAUCAUUCAGUUGCUCUUGAUUUUCGUCUUUUAAGCGAUCUUAUUUCUGCGAUCUGACUUGAGGAGGGUUUUUAGACCUAUGGUUGUGGGUGUUUUGUCUGACCCCAUUAAAUUGGUUUCCGAGAUUUGUAGACUUGCGAUCGGCAGUCAAACAUUUUGUGAUUCUUGCUUUUUUUCCGACUGGGAUUGACGAAUUUUGGCCGAAUCUGUUUCCUGUUUUCUUCUCUGUUUGAGCGGCCGCUGCCUUUCGGUCGUUGAGCGCCGGCAGUCUUUAGAUCUUUGGCAAAUCAAUUUAAUACAACCGAGGUAUGUUUUAUAACUGCUGUCUUUCAAUUUUUGUUCUGUAUUUUUGUUAAUUUGGAUGAAGCUCUAAUAAUUUUGUUUUGGAUCAGUUGUGGUCCUCUGUUAGGAUUUUCCUGGCUAAGAGGGUAUUUGCGUUUUUGUUGCUUGGUUGGUCGAUCACAGAUUUACGAACAGCUGUGGUGGUCCUGUUAUUUUUUUGGUAUGUUUUUUCUCCUUUUUGGUUUUUUCCCGGUUUGAGCACCCAUUCAUGAAGAAUUAAAAUGUGUUUAUAGUUUUUCAGGAGAGAUUAGAAAAGUGAUUUCAAUUUGGGAAAAUUUAAUGUUGGUUAAAAUUUGUCUAUAAUUUUUGGGAAGGAAUGAGAGGACCCAUUGAAGUAUGUGUUGUGAUUAUUUUUUAUUCAUAUUUUUAACAAAUUGGGCAUGAAUUGGUAGGUUAACUGUGUGUGUUUAUUAUUUGAAUCGGCCAUGUUUGUCUUUCUAUGGUUCUAAAAAAUUUGUAAAGGCUGUUAACUUGGAAGAAAAUGGGAUCGAGGGUGAGGGGAAAACGGCAGAGAAAGCAUGGAAGAGAGAUUUGGGAUUAGGGGUAGGAAAACAGAUGAAAAGAAUAUGAUAGAGGAAUGAGUUCAGUUCAUUUUCACUAUUUUUUUUAACUGAUUUGGAUUUUGUUUGGGUUUGAGGCCAUCAUUGGCGUUAAGACGUUUAUUAUCAGAUCGUGUGUGUUUUUUGCUAACUUUUAUUGGUCAUUUUUAUGUUGUUCUUAUGAUUUUGUGUGGUAGGGUUUCUGAAUUUUAUCGUUAUUCAUUUGGUUUUUUGUGUGUGUUGGUUUGUUUAUUUUGCAGGUUGUGUUUGUGCUGGGACAACAUUUUCCACCUUCUGUUUGCACUGGGAUGAUUGCGUUUUAAAACUGUUGGGGUGAGAUUUACAUAUGGAAUCAUUCCAUUUUUUUUCUUCCAAAUAUGUGCAUUUAGUUCUUUUUAUUUUAAAUUUUAAAAAUUAAAUCGUUAUUUGAGUAAAAUGUUUUAUUAAUUUAUGUUAUGUGUUGUGAUCAGGAAUUCUGUUGGAUUUGCAAAUUUUGGUUUGAUGAGAGAGAUGAGGAGUUUUUUUUGUUUGAAUUUUUUAUUGGACCGAUUUUCAAUUGGAUUGCAUUCUGCCUUUUUGCACCAUUCUUAUGCAAGCAAUUCAUUGUUUUAAAUACAAUUUGAAGAGAGCUGGGUUGCGGGUUGGAUAUAAAAUGUUAAGGUGAGAUAAAAUCGAGAUACCAAGGGUGGAAGAAUGAUUCAGAAUUGGGGGAGGAAAACAGAGGGAAGAUGGAAGAGUAUAAGAGAAGGAUAGGGUUGACCUCAUUUAGAGUUUUUAUUUACUUUUUUUUUUAUUAUUUAUAAAUUGAUUCAGGACUAGCAUAUCAUUUCUAAAUUUCUAACAUUUUUGUUUAAUUUGACUCCAGUUGAUGGAAAACAGAGCUCUUACUCCUAUCAAUCAGUUGGUCCCGUACAUAAAUGCAGAAAAAUCAAGGUUCGAGUUUGCAGAGUAUGCAGACCAAGGUUUCCUGAAACUACUGGUGCUGUCACGCCCCAAUCCCGACCUAUGUCCAGGAUCGACACGUGACGUUAACAAAUACCCAUAUCUCUAACAUACCCCGCCUCCGGAAUAUGGGCAAAGCACAACUGCGUAAUAAUUUUUCGUAUACUUUAUGGCUGCAUCUAACAUCCUCGUUAGAUUAUCAUACCUUAUGGCUACAUCUAACAUCCUUGUUAGACUGCCUACGUACUCUCAAAAGGGAUCAAACCAUUCGUAGUUCACCACACUCCAAUCCACAAAAAUUUGCACAUGCACUGAUUAUAAAAUGGAACUGCACCUAUAGAAACCUAAUCAUAACCCGUGGGCGAUUUGCUCCCACAUAAGAAAGACGUCCACAGUACCAUGAAAUACUUCCACAUCUUUCCUUCCCAUUUACACAAUAUUUUAUUUCACCUCCCUGAUAAAUAUAGCAUUUACAUUACAUGUGGCAGACAAAUUUGCAUAUUCAACUAUAAUAAAAUACAAUCUUAGUAGGAAAAACCUACAAGACCACCACUCGUUUGAGCCAAACUUUAGCUUAGCACUCAACUGGUGCUCACACCAUGUGAGUGCACGAUCCUUUAAGAUGGAUGCGAUGGUUCUCUUUUGAGAUUAAUUUUGUUACAGGUAUAACAUAGUUGGCAACCGUUUAGAAAUAGAUGCCUCAUGUUCAAAACUCUCAUUACCAAAUGUUCUAACAAGUUAGUAGAGAAGGUAAAAGAACCCAAAUGGCGAGAAAUAGUGUCCUGAUGAAACAAAAGAUGUAACCCUCAUUCAAGCACGAACAUCAUUUCCUUGAGAAUCUGCGAUUUCUUCCCUCAUUUGGUCAAUAUAGCUUGUAUUCCAACUGCAACUUACUAAUAGCAUUUGUUCUCUCCUCGAAUGAAACCAUAACCAGCCAUUUUAAAUAAAGCUGAACAGUUUCACGUUGGGAAAAUAAAGAUUAUAACAUACAGGUUUUGGAUUAGAUUCCCAAACCAACAGAAAAUUAAGAUAGGAAUCUAUUUUGGGUUAACUGAGGUAUGAGUGGUAUACAAAUGAGAAAUUCCCUACAAAAGUCAAUAAAACCAGUUACAUAACAUGUUGAAUAUAAUACAACAUGAAAUAAGAAGCACCACUUGUUUAUCUGACUUUUUAUACAUGUAUUUUCCUAAGGGAUAAAAACGUGCGGGUUUUGGGAUCAAUCUGAAGAGGGCUUCACCACGAAUACAUAGCCUUUGACCGUGCAUGAUUUCGUUGCCGUAUGAGAAAGUUAUCAUUUUUUUUUUUUGUGAAGAAGAAUUAAGGGGGAGAAGAACAGCUGCCCCCUCUGUUUCUGCAUCUGCCCAGCGGGGAAAGAAAAAGAAGAGAAGCCCUUGGCUUCUAGAAUACUCCCUCCCCAAAAUUACAAUUUUGCUCUCUAACUUUGAUUGUUUAUAUCUUAUUCGUUAUAACUCUGUUUCACGAACAGCUUUUGCUUACAUGCUCACAUAGUCGUCAUCUAUUUAAAUAUAUCAAGAAAUACAAUAAAAUACAUCCUCGUAUAAGUAUGUUAACCAAUUAGGGCACUUUCGUCAUUUCCACUUAUCGAUAGAUUUUAACACGUUAAUUAUAAUAAUGUCCGGAAACAGCUUUAAAAUUUCCAAAUUCUAUUUCCAUAACCAUAAAUCGAUUUAUUAAUUUUUCAGGGUAUCACAGGUGCAUAUUCAGGCUUGCAUUGUAUAUUACUUUCCUAUUAAAAAUUUGUUUGGAAUUUGCUUUUCCCACAAAGGAGAAGAGCUGACAGUUACGCUGUGGGCAGAUGUUGCUCGAAGUAUUGCUUCUUUAUCCAUUGAAUCAUUGUCUCUGCCGAUCUUUGCGGUUUUCACAAGUUUAAAGGUCAAGCUGUACCUAGGUGUUUGACUUAAUUAAAAACUAAUCUAUUUAUUUCGGAGGCGGAGCAAAAUGCUAUCUGUCUUACCCCUCUUGGUGAUCUUAGUCGGAAAGAUCGGCUAGUUUGGGAUGUGAGUAAGAAUGGGCAGUACUCGGUUCGAUCGGGCUAUCAUUGGCUGCAAUCUAGGUCUGUUGGGUUCAGGGAUCAACGCCAGCUUGGUGCUUGCUUAGUUCCGAGGCAUUUGUGGCGCAUGGUUUGGUAGUUGAGUGGGCCUCAUAAGCUCCGUCAUUUCUUUUGGUUAUCUUUGCAUAAUGCAUUACCGUCAUUUCUUUUGGUCCGUGACCAGGCAUGAGGAGAGCAUGGAAAUGAGAGGGCAGACAAUCCACCUCCGCGACUUUCUCCCUUUUCGCCAGCCCCUCUUUUGCUCUCAAAUCCUUGCUCUUUCUUUUGCAAAAUAGUCUCAGAAGAGAUCCUGGGUUUAUCGAAUCCUUUGUUGUUCGGCGUUUUGUUCUCAUCUUGCGAUCGUCGGGGUAGCAGCUUUAAGGUAAGUUUGUUUUUAAUGAUUUAUCCUCAUUUUACUAAACUAUUUAUGGUAACUUAGUAUGGUAACUUAACUAAGUAAGUUUGCUUUUAGCCCAAGGGUUGGAGAUGGUCUUAGUAUGGUAACUUAACUAUUUAAUUCCAUCUCAUUAAACUAAAAAAAACAAUUACAUAAAAAUAAGGGAAACCUUGUCCAGAGAGACCUGAGAAAGUCCACCCCUAAGGACUUUGCGCCAGCACCCAGCGUAUUUAUCUACUCAAGUGAACAGUAAUAGACUGGAGUGAACAGUAAUAGGCCAAGGCAUCUCCACCCCUAAAAAAAUGCGCUGGCACCCAGUGCAUUUAUUUGGUGUGUUUUUUUUUUAAAGUUUAUUUCAGAUAAGAUUUUUAACCAAUUUCGGAUAAAAUUUCAAAUAAACUUAAAAAAAAACACUCUAAAAUAAAAUUACAUACUCAUCAAAUAAACUUAAAAAAACACACUAAAAUAAAAUUACAUAAACUCAUCAAAUAAAUUAAGGAUGAGCUUUUUGGUAUUUUUUUUUCACACAAAAAGUAUAUGAAAGCUUUGGUAGAAGGUCUAGAAAAUAUUGAAAUGUGGUGUAAGGUGGAAGAUGAGGGUUAGGUAUUUAUAGAAAAAAAAUAAUAACUUUUUUAAAAUUUUACUGUAUUUUAAAAAAAAAUCUGUAUUUUUUUAUAUUUUUAAUUAAUUUUAAUGUAGUUAAUUAAUUUGGACCGUUGGAUUUGAAAAAUAUUCAAAUCCAAUAGCCCAGGAUCGGCCACGUGGCCAACGCCAGCAAAUGGCCCAGCUUCUUGGUCAGCCUGUUUUGUGCUGGCCCAGAGACCAGUUUGGGCUGGGUGCCAGUCUGUUUUGUGGGCUGGAGUGAAUGGACAGGGUCCCAGCCUGUUUUUUGUGCUGAGUGCUGGCCUAAUCCACCACCGGUGGACUUGCUCUGAGAGAAAGUGACGACUUCUCCUCUCAUUCCACUCCAUACUUGAUCUCUAAAGUCCAUUUGGCAUGUAAUUGAUGUUCAAUUUCAAAUUUAGUGGUAGCAAUUAGCAAAGCUAAUGAAAGAAUCAAAUAAAAUGAAAGAAAAAGCAUCAUGAAAUAAAUCAAGAUGAAGAAUGAAAUUUUGGCAACUCGCCAUUCUCUUCUUUUAUAUAAAAGAUACAUCCUAUUUGUAGUGAAAACAGGUCCCGACAAACCCAGUUAUCCUCAAGAAGUAUUUUGUAUGACUUUAAAAACAUAAUCCGUGAAAUUAUCUCUUGGCUGAGAACAACAACAAAUCUUCAUGCAUAGCUUGUACAGAAAGACAUCAGGCAUACAAAAGAACACGCAAGCAUAAAAUAAACGACGCAGGGAAAACCAAAAAUACUAUAGAACACGUCGCUGUCAAAAGAACAUGAAUAAAUGAAAAUUACAAAACAAAGAAGUGAUGAGAAACCAAAGUACCCAUUUCAUAAUCUAGUUGCUUUUUAGUUUGCUUGCCAUUUUUAGUUCUUCAAUUUAGAGAGAAACGAUAAUUCAGCACAUGAAUAAAGUGAAAACGUAAAAGAUAUGUGGGAUAAGCUGACAGCCAUCCCUGAGUAAUGCAUUCACUUAUGAACCCCAAACACAACGAAACAAAAAUUCACACAUGAACUACAGCUCCGCUAUGUAACAAGAAUUAAAAGCAUCUCAAGACAAAAUGGCAAACUAUAAGAGCACUGUAAAAGUAAAAUUGCAAGAAAUCUAAUACUUGGAGGGCAAGUACUACUCAGACGAAAAUGAAAGAUUGAACUACCUCGCGUGGAACUGUGCCUUGGUUUUUUCCCAUGCUUACAGGAAGCUUUGCACUGAGCUCUUAUAGCCCAAAUUUUCUCUGAAAGAAAAAAACACAAUUUUGAAAUAAGAUUUUCAUAUUAUACCUUAAAGAGAAGAAUUAGAAAACAAAAAAGAGAACAAUGAGUACUAUUCAUCAUAUAUUGUUAGAGUGUGUGGUCCUUUGGUCCAAUGGUCCUGCAGCCAUAUUUACUUUAUAACUCUUUCUUUUAGUCUAAAAAACAUCUUGGAUCUCAAAUUAAUAUGAAUACGGAUUCAUACGCAUGCAUUGCAUUACAACCACAAUGCAAUAUCUCAUUAGAAAUCCCCACACAAAAUUUUUUUAUUUCUACUUUGAUUUUAGUUUAUAUUUUUUCUAAAGCACGAGGGAGCUAAUUUUUUUUUAAAUUUUUUUUAUUCCAAUAAUGUUAUAGGGUUGAAAGGAUAUUAUCAAUUUAAUUGAUUGUAUUUGAUUGGUGGAACUUCUAUAUCUAUAUUUCAGUUUUUCAAAUUCAGCACUGGGAGAGUCAUUCAUAAAAUGUUUGACAGUGAGAUUACCUCCAUGGAUUAUGCUCACAAUGGACAGCUCAUUUUCCGCAGUGAUGGGACAAUAUAUUUCAGUCAUUCGCCAUUCAAUCAAUUCAAACCGAGGAACAAGCAACAUCAAGAAGAGGAUCUGCCAUGUCAGGAUCACUGUCGUCCAAUUAAUACAAAAAAUCUAGAUAAAAACGAUCAAUUUACAUAAAAGCCUUUCAUUUUCUCAGCAACCAAGCAAAAGAAAAUACCUAUCCGUUAACACUCGAUUUGGGAGUAAAUGUUGCUGAAACUGGACUUCAAUCCCCUCAACCGCAACAACCGAAUCGAGGUGUGCAAGUCAUUGAAAAACUCACCCAAGAUUUCAAAAUCUGCAUAAAUAAAUAAAUAAGCACAUAAAUUAGCCAACCCUGUUAUGAUCCCACAUCGGGUACACAAGAAAUUGUGUAGUGGUACUUAAGUGCAAGGGGUCCUCCCACCUAUUGGACUAGUUUUUUGGAUUGGGCUCUUCCCUUGGGCUUGAGUACCUAACAUUGGUAUCAGAGCCUAGGUUCCCGACGCUGCGGGACUUGGCGAGUGGUGCAGCCUCGUGGUGCCGCCUUGAGAGUAUGGGCUCCUAAGGGUCUUGGCGACGGGCAAGGUAUGAAAUGCCGAUAUUAUCGCGAUAUUUCGCCGAUAAUAUCGGUUUUUUGAGUUACCGAUAUUUUAAUACUUAUCCACUGAGUUUUCGUCAAAAUAUCGCGAUAAUAUCAACAAUAUCGCGAUAUUACCGAUAAUAUCGCGAUAUUUUGGAGAUGUGCGAAUCGGAGAAGAACGCCGGAGCUUUUACAGCUCCGGCCGACUGUAAAAGAGCACCCUAGACUCCGAUCUAGGUAUCAAAAUGAAAUACAAGAUGAGAGGAAUGUUUUUAUAACUUCCGUUUGCCGUGAAACGGUCGAAGGUGUUCGGAAAGUUCGUCGACACCCACGGCCUCGCCAGAGAUGGGUGUGCCUAUUCCCGAGCCGAUUUCGUCCCAAAAACCUUGCAAAAACACGAGAUAGAACUUAAAUUUCACGUCUAAGCUUCAAUCUAGAAUAGAAUGAGGUAAACCCGAAGCUUACCUAACCGGAGAAAUUCAAGAAACUCGUCGGAGGGUUCCUGCGUCGCCGAGUUGCAGAGACGAGAAGGAGAGGGAGAAAGACGAGGUUGCUGAUGACGAUGGGUGUCUUCCUCAAGCAAGUGCGAUGGUGUGCGUGUGUGUAUGUGGGUCUCGGUGCAGAGAGAAAGGAGAGAGAUGAGAGUUUCGAGAGAGAGACGGCACCGACGAGAGCUAUUUGUUUUUUUUUAUCUUAAAAAGAGAGAGGUCUAAGAGAAAUGGGAAGAGAGGGCCGAGUGAAAUGAAAGGAGGUCCUUGAAUUAUUGAGAGAUAUCUCUGAGAGAGGCCUAGGAUUUCUAAAAGGUAAUCAUAAAUGGGAAAAAUGGGGCACAUCUUAGCCUUUAUUUUGGAAUCCUAAGAAGUUCACCACAUGGAUGCAUGACAUGUGUGCAUGCCAUGUUUGUUGAAUGGGAAAAGUCUGACACGGAAAGACAAAGAGUCGUUUGGGGCUCUGGGCUCGAGGCAAGACAGAAAGUGCUAGGGUUUUUUUCUGAAAUGAACAUAAGCUGCUAAAUUCGCAUAUAUUAUAGUUGUUGCUAAAGAUUGUCACUAGUGUGGACUUGGACGUGUUGGUCAACAUGUCCUCACAAUCCCCAAGUUCUCUGGUUCGAACCCUUGCGCCCAUCAAAUUUUCUUUCUUUUUGAUGCGCUUUUCCCAUGGCUCUAGGUCUUGAUUUCGAAUCCAAGUGAGCCCUUUCCUUUUUCUUUUUUGUUCUUUUUGUUUUAUUAUUUGUUUAUUUUAAUUUAUUUGUUUCUUUUAUGUUUUUCUUUUCUUUUAGUUUCUUUGUCUUAGGCGUUCGUUUUUAUUAAAGUAGGAUGUAAAAUCAAUUAUCUUAAAAUUAUGUGUUUUUAAAUUUUGGACUUGUUUGUUGGAUACUUUUUUUUCAUUUUAUCAUUCUUUUAUUAUGAAAAUAUGCUAAAAUAUGCUAAAAUAUCACUUAUGUUUUUGUGAAAAUAUGCUAAAAUAUUUAUAUAUAUGAUUUUGUUUUGAAUUCUUUUUGUACUAAUUCAUUAUAUAUAAAUGAUUAUGGUGUGUUUAAACUUCUUUAAUUAAUUACUACAUAUUUUCUAUACUCACAAUGUUUGCCAGCUCGCUAUAUAAUCAACUUAAAUCAGUUAAAUCCAUCAUGCAAUGCAUUUCCUUCCAAUUUUUUGUGAUAAACUUGUGAACACGGAAAAUUCCUGAAACGAAAGAGACAAGAACGAACGUGCACAAACAAAUAUUAUGUAUUUGAUGAUUUUGGGUUACAAUCUCUCUCUAUUUGAUCCUCUGAUUCAAUCUCCGUAAGGUGUGUAUUUGUGGAUGUGUGAUUGAUCCAAAGGGCCGUUGGGCUUGAUCUAAUGAUGAACGUUCUUCAAGGGCCGUGGACUUGAUCUUGAAGGUGGAUUUGAGCGGAUCUUCAAAGGGGCUUUUGGGCUUGAUCUUGAAGAACGGUUGGAUGUGUGGAUUUGUCGAAGUUGUUGAUCCAAAGGGCCGUUGGGGCUUGAUCUUGGAUGAACGGAUGAUGAACGAUGGUGCUUUCUUCAAGGGUCGUCGGGGCUUGAUCUUGAAUUGGUGGAUGGUUGAUCCAAGGGCCGUCGGGGCUUGAUCUUGGAAGAACGAUGAACGAAGAACGAAGAACACUUUCUUCAAGGGCCGUCGGGGCUUGAUCUUGAAUUGGUGGAUGAUUGUUGAUCCAAAGGGCCGUUGGGGCUUGAUCUUGGAAGAACGAUGAACGAAGAACAAAGAACGCUUUCUUCAAGGGCCGUCGGGGCUUGAUCUUGAAGGUGGAUGAUUGUUGAUCCAAAGGCUGUCGAGGCUUGAUCUUGGAAGAACGAUGAACGAAGAACACUUUCUUGAUUCUUCGGGAACCUGGACGCUUGAGAGCUUCGGAGUUUCAGAGCUUCAGAGCUUCAAGGUGUAAUAUGAAUUGGUCCCCCCUAAAUGAAUGAAAUGGGCUUGUAUUUAUAGAAUUUUCCAAGGCCUAAUUUUGAAUAUAAUAUCUCAGAUGAAAUAAGUCGUUUCUGCCAGGUGUUAACACGUGUCCUAUUUGAUGACUUUUCCAACUCAUUUCAAUUUUCGUUUAGUCACACGCUACGUGUAAAAUUUAUGUAAUACAUGAGCGUUGACACUUUGAUUUAUCGGUCAACAUUUAUUUACCGAAAUUUCGAUGUCUACAAAUGCCCCCACUUCAAGGCACGUCGUAUACCUGUGCUUGUCACGUGUAGGAGAUGCGUUUUGAAGUCCCUUACCGUAGAUGCCGAUUCAAGGGCCGUUGAAGCUUGAUCUUGAAUUGGGCUUGAGAUUUCUUCAAGGGCCGUUGAGGCUUGAUCUUGAAUUUUUGUUUGAAAUUUCUUCAGGGGCCGUCGAGGCUUGAUCUUGAAGGUUGAAAUUGGGCCACAAGGAGCUUCAUGUGGUAGAUGAUCUUUGGCUUUGGUAGUGGAUGAAUCGGCACGUAUUUUAUUGCGCUUGUUGACUUUCCACAGCUUUGAUCUUGAACUGGGUUGGAGGAUUUUCUGGAUUCCUCCAAUUGUUGAUUUUCCACAGCUUAUUCUUGAACUAGGUUUUGAUUCAAGGGUGGUAGACACUUGAUCUUGAAUCGGACUUGUGAUUUCCUCGAUGGCCGUCGAGGCUUGAUCUUGAAUUUGGUUGGAAACUUCUUCAAGGGCCGUCGAGGCUUGAUUCUUGAAGGUUGACUCGAACAUAUGGCAAGCAGGCACGAGGUGAAGGUGACGACUUGUUGCUUUGUUCAAUCUUUCUAAUUCACACCUGAGCAGUUUGGUCAACGGUAUGAUCCUCAAGAUUGAUGGGCUCUUCUUCCAGUUGGUGACUUGAUCUUUAAGGAUUUGAUUCAAGGGUGGUGAAUCGGCACGUGCAGCCCACAACGCCUAGUAAGCCGACCCAAGAAUUUGAGGGUCAAAACGGAUUCACCGUCAGAGUGAUUGCAACUUUGAUGAUAUGAGAUACUCUUGCUUUUGAAGAAGUAGUGGAUGAAUCAGCACGUGCUUUGUUGCGCUUGUCUCCACAUGCUUCAAGGUAUCAUCUUUAUUUCCUUUAUCUAUUCCUCAGGCAGAUGUGGCAUCUUCUCGAGUUCUUCAUCUCAGACUCUUUCUGCUGAGUUGACUGUUCAUGCUGCAUUCUUCUCUGCUUGUUCAUUCUGCACGUUGUCUCCACAUGCUGCAAGGUAUCAUUUUCACUUGCCUUAUCUGUUCUCCGGGCAAAUGUGGCAGCUUCUUUGAAAGUACAGUAGCAGCGGGAGGCGAGUACUCGAGAGCAGUGCUAGGUAGGCAAUCAGGGAAGGGUUCCAAGCAGUCGGUUCCUUACCCGAGUUUGAGUGGAAGUUCCGGCAUAUUGUUUUUUUUAUCCUUGUCUUUGUAGGUAAGAACAAGGACAAAGGAAAGGACAGGGAGAACGCAUGAUAUGAGAUACUCUUGCUUUCUACCCUGGUGAUAUGAGAUACUUUUGCUUUGGAGUCAUUGGCUUGCAGAGGUACCCCAAGGAAUAAGGAACACUGAAUGACUCGAGAGGCUUCGUUGGGAAAACAUCUUUGGAGAUGAAGAAAGACUUUGUGUGUCUGCCUUGCUAUGGAAGGCGAAGGUAGACAAUUAUAGGAAGUUCUUUGAUACCUGUAGAUGUACUAUUCUUUCACUCGUGUCGGCAACCAAUGCGUGAUUGAUCUAUAUGGCUUCACGUGCUUCCUUCUUUAUCAGAAAUCUUCGACAAACUGUCCGUAAUUUCCGCCAAGCUGAGUGUGCAUGUGAUAGGUGUUGACGCGGCUGAAAAAGACUGGCGCUUAUUCGAUAACUGGGAUCUGCGCUUCGACAAAUUACCCGUGAUUUCCGCAAAGCUGAGUUUGCGUGUGAUGGGUGCUGACGUGUCUGGAAAAGACUGGCGUCUCUUCGAUGUCUGGGAUCGGCACUUCGACAAAUUGCCCGUGAUUUUCGCAAAGCUGAGCUUGCGUGUGACGGGUGCUGACGCGUCUGGAAAAGCAAGAUGCUUCUUCGAUUUCUGAGCUUGCCUCUUCGAUUUUUGAAUGGCCUCUUCGAAUUCUGAGCUCGCCUCUUCGAUCUCUGAAAUCCCGUCGAGUGUUGAUUUUUUAUAGAGGCAUGCUGUUCGUUUCAAAGCACACUUGAAUUUUACUUGUGAAAACUCCCUUCUUGCACUUCUAAGAUCUUGAUUCGUCUGACCUCUUCUUCCUUCAACACUUUGAAAAUGUCUGGACCCUCCGACCGUCGUUUUGAUUUGAACUUUGGUGAAGAUGUAGUCCCGUCUUCUCCAGAUAACAUAUGGCGCCCAUCCUUCAUAUCCCCUACUGGUCCUCUUACUGUUGGGGAUUCGGUGGUGAAGAAUGAUAUGACCGCUGCGGUGGUGGCCCGAAACCUUGUCACUCCCAGAGAUAACAGACUACUUUCCAAACGGUCUGAUGAGUUGGCUGUUAAGGAUUCUCUGGCUCUCAGUGUGCAGUGUGCGGGUUCUGUGUCCAACAUGGCCCAACGCCUAUUUGCUCGAACCCGUCAAGUUGAAUCGUUGGCGGCUGAAGUGAUGAGUCUUAAACAGGAGAUUAGAGGGCUCAAGCAUGAGAAUAAACAGUUGCACAAGCUUGCACACAACUAUGCCACAAACAUGAAGAUGAAGAUUGACCAGAUGCAGGAAUCUGAUGGUCAGAUUUUACUUGAUCAUCAGCGGUUUGUGGGUUCGUUCCAACAGCAUUUGCCUUUGUCUUCUGGGGCUGUACCGCGUAGUGAAGCUCCUCAUGAUCAACCUCCAGCCCCUCUUCUUUCUGGAGUUCCACCGAGUGGUGUGACUUCAAACAGUCAACCUCCGACGUCUCUUUUCCCUAGAGCUCCACCGAGCACUGAGACACCACCUGAGCAAUAAAGACUCCCUCCCGUUUGUUUGCACAUUUGUAAAUUUUUUUUUUUUUUUUUUUUUUUUUUUUUUUUGGUAUGUAGAAUGCAAUUUUAUGUAAAAUUUCCAGAAAAAAUAAAUAAAAUGGAUUUUUAUUUCUCUUAAUGCUUUUUUUUUUUUUUUUUUUUUUGCUGUAUAUAUUAUACACACACAUUUAUACAUACAUAUAUACAUACAUAUAUAUAUAUUUUCACGUGGAGUGAUCCACCAUCCCAAAACCCAUUUUCCCUUUGUUUUUUUUUGCAUGGUGCUAGCCACCAAGAAUUCACCUUUUUUUUUUUUUUAAUUAAUUAAUUAAUUUAUUUAUUUAUUAAUUUAUUAUUAUUAUUUCUUUUUCGUCUGCUUUCACAUGGUGCUUGAUCCACCACUCUCUUUUCUUUUUUCACGUGGUGCCAGAUGCACGCCCCUUUUUUUUUCACGUGGUGACAGCACCACUCUGCUUUGCUCUACCACAUUUUUUUUUUUUUUGUAUAAAUUAGGAUGCUUGGCUGAGGGAUUUUGUAGGGAAGGACGAAGACGGACGGAGAGCCGGAGUUUGAGGAAGAGCUUCUCGGCCGGCUAGUCGUUUGACAGCGGUCUUUGAAGUUGGUGGCAGCUGCGAGGCAAGAGACGGAGGAGGACAGGGCAGCUGUGACGGACAGAGACGCCAUGGCAGGACCUCGAGGAGUUUUAAGAUACUGGUGCAGGUACUGGCGAGGUGAUUUUGACGAGAAAAGCAUGAAGAGGGCGUCGAGCACCAUGGGCCUGCAAUCCUUAAGGUUGAUCUCGUAGUCCUUGAGCUCUUGUUCAGGCAUGACGGGAUCCGCUGCGGUCUUUUUUAUCGGCAAUAAAGUUCUUUGCCUCAUAAAACAGCCCAGAACGCGAUAGAAGAGUUACGAACAAAGCACAAUGUGCAACUGUAGGUGUCUUGAUGCAGUUGAAGUAAAACUUCCCUUCCUCGACCAUGCGUGCUGCAACGCAAGCAUGAAGGACAGCAGCAUAGGUGAUUUCAUCGAUCUGUGUACUCGUUUCCUUCUCCAUUUGGCAGAAUAAAUCUACUCCGAUCUUUCCUUGUCCGUGUAAGCUGUACCCAGUUAUCAUCACUGUCCACGAAACAAGAUCUCUUGUACUUCGACCCUGGCAAAAACUUUUGCAGCUGAUUUGAUAAAUCCCGACUUGACAUACAUGUCCAUAAGAGCAUUCAGAACGGUGAGAUUCAUUCGAAUACCAUGUCGCAGCAAGAAUCCAUGAGUCUCUUUUGCCAUGUUUACCUGCAGACAUUCUUGCGCAUGCUGGGAGAACACUAGAGACCGAGAGCGGAUCAGGUUUCACCCCGUCUCCAACCAUCUGCCUAAACAGCUUAAGACCCUCAUUGAAGCAUCCCCUCUUCACAUUGGCAUGAAUCAUUUCUGUCCAAGAAAUGACAUCUUUCUCCGGUAUUUGGUUGAAAACUGCCCAAGCUUCGUCGACACAGCCACAGUCCAUGUAUAUUUUCAAGAUGGUAUUGCUCACCAACACAUCAUACUCCAAUCCACGUUCCUUGGCAACCCUGUGGACUUUUGUUCCAUCAAUCAACGAUCUCAACAUGCCACAGGCACCAGCCGCCGUCGCCACAGCCACAGAAUCUAUCUGUGCUCCGGACUCCACCAUUCUCUCAAACACAUGAACCGCCUUGCCGGGUUUACCUUCCGCAAUGUACAGCCUGGCCAGCAUUGUCCAUGAAACAGAGUCCGUAACCAGGGACUUGUCAAACAGCCCUUUCGCGGAGUCCGCGCUGUCGAGGCGACCGUACAACUCAAUGAGAGCAGCAACCACGUACCGGUCACCAGAGCAGCCGAGCUUGUGAGCGUGGGCAUGGAGUUGCUUGCCGAGGGAGAGAUCAACCGAAAGGCGAGAGGCAGACAAGACGCGAGGAAGAGUGUGUCUGUCGGGCGACGAACGCGCGGAUGAGCAUUUGGUGGUAAGUGGCGAGGGCGUGGUGGAAGUCGGCAUUGGCGAUAUGGGUCUGGAUAAGUCUGUUCCAUGCAAAGGUAUCUGAGUGGGGCAUUUUGUCGAACACCUUGUGGGUGACGGCCACCUUCGUGGUGGGUUUAGCAUUUCGGGAGUGCUUGUAGUGGGCUGUGUUGAUUGGGUUCUCGGUGACGAUCAAGCGCUGGAUUUGGGCGGAUGGAAGGGCUUCCAUUUCAGUUCAGUCGCACCCAAUUCAGCAUUGCCCGUACGGAUUCGAGCGCAGUUAUCGAGGAGGAGUUUCCUUAAGAAUAGAACCAAUCACCGACUCCUCAAACCCAUCCGGAUAUGCGAUUUUCAUGAGGUGCAAACAAGAACCCUCUGCCAUAAGUGGCAUGAUCACCCAAAGGUUUCUUUCAACGACAAAUGAACAAAACGCCCUCACGACAUUGGGAUGAUCUAUUAAUCUCAUCGUCUGCGCCUCCCUCCGGAUAUCCUCGAAAUUGCUAUUGCACCGAUCGAGAUCCAAGCACUUGACGGCGACGACUUCAUUGAAAGGGAGAUAGAUCGCUCUGUAAACCGUUGCGCUGGCGCCAUAUCCGACCUCUUCCAGAAGCUUGUAGUCGUUCGGAUUCGCCGAGUGAAGCCUCGAAUUGCUACCCAUCCUCCCCAUCUGUUCGAGGACUUGUGCUUCAGAUAUGUCGUUUUGAGGCUACGGGCUCUGCGUUUGGGCUGUGUGCCAGUUUGGGCUUAGUGUUGCUUUGGAGAGAUCUAGGUUUGGUUGAAGAGGUACGGUGAAGCCAUGGGCAAGGGAGAUGACGAAUUGGGCUUGGAGGCUGACACUUGGGCCUGGAUGGCCUCCUUUUGAGAGGCUUGCUGCUGAUGGAUAUACAUAUAUAUAUUUGUAUGUAUAUGUAUGUAAAAGAAAUCUUUUUUUUUUUUUUUAAUUUUUUAAUUUUUUUUUUUAUGUGACUGAACUCGAAAAAAUUGAACAUUCGAGCUGCCUACGUACCCCUCCAAAGAAGAGAUCAAGUCGCAACGUAGUUCAAAUACAUUUUUGGUAUUUUCUUUUUGUGUCGUUUGCAGUUUUAACUCAUGCAGGCAAGGAGUGUUGGUGUCGUUUGCAGUUCCAACUCUUGCAUACAAGGAGCGUUGGUGUUGCCUUUUAUGCUCGUGUAGGCCAGGAGCGUUGGUUCGUGCAGUUUAGGCUCGUGCAGGCGAGGAGCCUUUGGUGUCGUUCGCAGUUUCAACUCGUGCAAACAAGGAGCAUUUGGUGUCGUUCGCAGUUUCAACUCGUGCAGACAAGGAGCAUUUGAUGCCGUGUUGCAGUUUAGGCUCAUGCAGGCGAGGAGCGUUGGUGUCUUGUAGUUUAGGCUCUUACAGACAAGGAGCUUUGGUUCGUGCAGUUUAGGCUCGUGCGAACAAGGAGCAUUGUUGGUUCGUCAAGCGAUCCGAGAGAGUUGUUCCUCACAAUCUUCAUAGCAAGGAGCCUUGACCGCGUGAUUGAAGAAGUCUUCGGGUAAAAAGUCGCGCAUCGUGAUGGCAACAGACAAUCUUUGUGUCGUAGUUUCAUCAUCUUCAACACGUUCACGUUGCUUUGAAGGUUGACAAUAGCUGCUUUGCCCCCUUUUCAAUUGGCGGACUUGUGGAGGAGACGUAUGCUUCUUGUGCAAUUUCUUAGGAGUGACUUGAGUCCAUCCUUCAAUUUUGCUUGUCUUGGACGAUGCCCCCAGCGGUUGAGGUGAAAACUUUGAGUCGGAAGAGCCAGAAGUGAAGGUGGUAUAGUUUGACUUUGCCACUUCGUCAAGAUCUAGCUCGAUGAUUCCUUUCUGAGCCAGCUUCAUGAUGAGAUCUUUCAGCACGAAACAUUUUUCUGUCGGAUGACUGAUGAAGCGGUGGAAUUUACAGUACUUUGGACUGUCGGUGCGAUUCAUCUCUUCUGGCCGUUUGCACUCAGGCAAACCAAUCACCUUCUUUUCCAACAGGUCAUCCAGUAUGGCAACCACAUCAGAGUCGGGGAAUGGAUAAGUCUUCUCCUCAAGCUCCUUUAAAGUGCGUCUACGCAUUUCUUGAUCACGAAAAGCUUCGGUUUGAAUCGCCUUGCCUCGUGUGGAUAUUUUGACGGGAGAUGUGUUGACCGUCAUCGCUUCCUUGGUGGGUUUCCAUGCAGCCUUUUCCACCUUUGUCCCAAGAACUUUGUCGUUCUUGUAGUCGGCGAUUGGUUCUUUCUUCCCAUGAUGGGCGAUGCUCAACUCCAUGUCAUGGGCGCGAGUGGCCAAUUCCUCGAAGGUCCGCGGUUUAAUGCCUUGAAGGAUGUAUUGCAAACCCCAUUGCAUGCCUUGGAUGCACAUCUCGAUUGAAGAGGUUUCCGAGAGCCUGUCUUUACAGUCGAGGCUUAGAGUGCGCCAUCUGUUGAUGUAGUCAAUGACUGGCUCGUCCUUCCACUGCUUUGUGCUUGUUAGCUCUAGCAUGCUCACAGUGCGGCGAGUGCUGUAGAAGCGGUUGAGGAAUUCCCGCUCCAAUUGCUCCCAGUUGUUGAUGGACUCAGGCUCUAGGUCAGUGUACCACUCAAAGGCGUUUCCUUUUAGUGAGCGCACAAACUGCUUGGCGAGGUAGUCCCCUUCGGUCCCUGCGUUGUUGCAAGUUUCAACAAAGUGGGCAAUGUGUUGUUUCGGGUUUCCCUUUCCAUCAAAUUGCAUGAACUUUGGCGGUUGAUAACCCUUCGGCAUCCUUAAGGCGUCGAUUUUCUUUGAAUACGGCUUCGAGUACAACCCGGAGGUAUUUGAGCUCCCUUCGUACUGUGCCUUGAUGGUGUUGGUGAUCAUCUAUUGCAGCUGCUGGAUAGAAAGAGAUCCCAUGAGUGCCGCUGCUUGGUCUGGCUCCGGCUUUGCAUCGUUUUUCUCCACCUGAGGCUCAUCUUCUUCGUCAUCUCUUCUCUUUAGUGGAUCAUUCUCUGGGUCGGGUUUAUCGCCGUCCUGCGCCUUUAGUCGAUUGACGAGUGCUGCAAUUUGCAAGUCUUUUUUCUUCCACCGUUCGGGUCAGCCUUGCGAUUGCUUCAUUCAUCUGAGCCAGUUGUUCUUCAACGGAGGUAACGCCGAUAGUCAUGACUUGUGCGACCAAUAUACGUGACUUUCCUUUAGACAUCCAGGAUGCUGAUGAAGAACGUCGUUGGCUGCUUUGGGAUGUCAUCUUAUGUGCCUCAGCAUCAUGCUUCGGUGCCCCCAGCGAGGUCAGGUUGAUGACAGACUCGCACCUUGGAUGCUCCCCUUGCUCUUUUAGCGGCACCAAUUUUGAAGUAGCAUGUUGGGGAGCGGUUGUGGCGCCAAUGGAUUGUCUGUUUGCGGCAGAAGUGCUUAGGAUCCUUCCCUCAGUGGUUGCGAGAAUGGCUUGUCCUUUGCUUGAUGCCAUUGACUUUGAGGUGUGCUUGGAUUCCUUGAACGAAGAAAGAGAUGAGAGGUAGAGAUUGUCCCACCGGGCGUGCCAAUUUGUGAACACGGAAAAUUCCUGAAACGAAAGAGACAAGAACGAACGUGCACAAACAAAUAUUAUGUAUUUGAUGAUUUUGGGUUACAAUCUCUCUCUAUUUGAUCCUCUGAUUCAAUCUCCGUAAGGUGUGUAUUUGUGGAUGUGUGAUUGAUCCAAAGGGCCGUUGGGCUUGAUCUAAGGAUGAACGUUCUUCAAGGGCCGUGGACUUGAUCUUGAAGGUGGAUUUGAGCGGAUCUUUAAAGGGGCUUUUGGGCUUGAUCUUGAAGAACGGUUGGAUGUGUGGAUUUGUCGAAGUUGUUGAUCCAAAGGGCCGUUGGGGCUUGAUCUUGGAUGAACGGAUGAUGAACGAUGGUGCUUUCUUCAAGGGCCGUCGGGGCUUGAUCUUGAAUUGGUGGAUGGUUGAUCCAAGGGCCGUCGGGGCUUGAUCUUGGAAGAACGAUGAACGAAGAACGAAGAACACUUUCUUCAAGGGCCGUCGGGGCUUGAUCUUGAAUUGGUGGAUGAUUGUUGAUCCAAAGGGCCGUUGGGGCUUGAUCUUGGAAGAACGAUGAACGAAGAACAAAGAACGCUUUCUUCAAGGGCCGUCGGGGCUUGAUCUUGAAGGUGGAUGAUUGUUGAUCCAAGGGCUGUCGAGGCUUGAUCUUGGAAGAACGAUGAACGAAGAACACUUUCUUGAUUCUUCGGGAACCUGGACGCUUGAGAGCUUCGGAGUUUCAGAGCUUCAGAGCUUCAAGGUGUAAUAUGAAUUGGUCCCCCCUAAAUGAAUGAAAUGGGCUUGUAUUUAUAGAAUUUUCCAAGGCCUAAUUUUGAAUAUAAUAUCCCAGAUGAAAUAAGUCGUUUCUGCCAGGUGUUGACACGUGUCCUAUUUGAUGACUUUUCCAACUCAUUUCAAUUUUCGUUUAGUCACACGCUACGUGUAAAAUUUAUGUAAUACAUGAGCGUUGACACUUUGAUUUAUCGGUCAACAUUUAUUUACCGAAAUUUCGAUGUCUACAAAACUAAUAGAUAAUUGACUAAAUAAACAUCCUGCAAAGUUUCAAUAAAAAUUUCCAAGUUUUUCUUACAAUUUCUGUGGUUUCCAUAUUAUUUUUAUCGAUAUCGAUAAUAUCCCGAUAUUUCAAUCGAUAUUUCCGUGUUUUUGGACUACCGAUAUUUCCGAUAUCAUCGAUAUUUUAUACCUUGGCGACGGGGGACUUGCCGACUGGUGCCACCGUGGACGUUGGGUCUUUCGAAAUGUGGUGUAAUGUUAUGAUCCCACAUCGGCUACACAAGAAAUUGUGUAGUGGUACUUAAGUGCAAGGGGUCCUCCCACCUAUUGGACUAGUCUUUUGAGUUGGGCUCUUCCCUUAGGCUUGAGUACCUAACAAACCCAUAAAUCAAAGAAAUCAAAAUCCACCCAGAAUCAAAGAAAUCAAAAUCCAUCCAGAACCAAAGAAAUCAAAAUCACACACAGAUAUACAAGGUGUACAGUACUGACAUGCCUUAAAUGAUAUUAUUCACAAGAUUUAUAAAGCUCAUGUCGUAAUACUUGUGCAGAAUCUAUCAUUCACGGCGUCACUUUUGUGCAAGUUGUAAAUAAAAUUAUUCACAAUUUAAACAUUGUGUGUCGUAUUUGACAAUUUAUACUACGCACUUUCUUUUUCUUUUAAAGCUUUGCGUUAUGUCGUGAAGUUGACUUUCUAUAUAUUUGGGUUGUACCUUUUAUGGCGCAAAUAACACGUCGUAAAUAAUGGCUUUUAGCACAGAAGUUUUGUGGUAAAGAAGCCCGCGCACUAAUUCAUUCUCGCGCCUUCUCUUUUUUAUUUAGCCGCUUCUUUUUUUAUUUUUUAUUUUUUUUGUUAAAUUCCCCUCAAAUGUUAAAAGAAAAAUUAAUGAAAUAUUUGAAAACUUUGAGUUUUAACGAUAAGGAUAAAAUAAAAGGUAAAAUGAAUAGUACCAAAAUUGACUUUUUAGUGUUAAAAUAUGAUUUUUCGUUAAAGUGAACAGUGCCGAAAGUUUUUCGUUAAAGUUCAAUGUUAAAAGGUUUGUAUUUUCUUGGUAAACUUGAAAGACAAACAUUGCAAUUGCAUUUUCAUUUACCCAAUAUUAAUUGUCGAGAGCCCACCCCCUUCCCUUCUCACUGACAUCGUAACUCUCUCCUCUCCAUCGAUCUCGCUCCAUCUGCUCGCCGUCGCUCUAUAUGCUCGUCAUCACCGUCGAUUCGUCUGCUCGUCGUCACCGUCGCCCAUCUGCUUUCCGUCACCGUCGAAGUGCCCCGCCAUUCAAGAUCUGAAAUCCCCAAUACAGGGUGCUUUGCGGCAUUUCGUUCUCCAAAACUUUAGGUAUGCUCUCAAUCUGUAUCAACCCUAUCCUGUCCCCUCUAGAUUUUUGUUUAGUCUCAACUUUAUGGUGCUUUUCUUAGAUUUGUUCUAUCACUGUAAUUUUAAGGGAUUUUAGGUAAUAAAUUUGGUUGAGAAUCUCAGUUAGGUUUGUAAUUGUUUUCUUGGUUGCCUGGGUUUGAGGAUGAUUAAUCCACUUUCUGAAGUUUAAUUACUUUGAACUUUGAUUUGUGGGAAACUGCAAUCAAAAUGUUGCUAUGGCUUUAUAGUUAGAAUCGAUUGUGAGUCUUUGCACCACAUCAAGCAAUACCCCGGUGUUGUAAUUCCGAGGUUUGUAAUUGCCGCUGUUAAUGAUGGUUUGGUCCAUCCUUUUUAGGGAGAUGACUUCAAUGAUUGAAACUAGUUUAUCAUUAUUUCAGAACUCUGUAAUACGAGACAUGAUAUUCCAAAAAAUAUUUGCAUGAAUAUAUGUGCAUUGACUGACUAUUUUUCAGUCUUUGAUAGUGGAGAUAACUCUUUCAGGUCAUAUGUAGUUCUUACAGAAAUUGUAUGGUAUUUUGGUUGGUUUUGUGUUCUGGUUGUAGCAAACUGGUGGAUGCCCUGAGAUGAGUAGUUAUCUACAAAGUGGAUGGAUCCUGAAGAGUACAAAGUCUAAGGCAUUUUAUGUAAAGGUAAAUCCUGUUACUUUUAAUUACUUAUAUGUGAAUGCCUGCCAUUUGAAGUAAAAAUUCUUUUAGCCAUUACAUUCUUCAUAAAGAUCUUUAUAUGCUCAAAAGAAGGAUUUUUUUUAGAUGCCAUGUAACUGGUGGUGGCUAGCCUCUUCUUUUUAAGACUCUAGUGUGUUUCAAUUACACUAGUCAAUCGUUCUUAUGUGUAUUAUGUUUUGUUGAUAAGAUGGCCAAGACAAAGUUGUAGAGCCCUAGUAGCAGGGUGCUGUUGGCAUUUAUAUUUUUCUUUUGAAGGGGUGUUUAUUGCUUUUAUACUUUCAUUGUUUACUCUCAUACAUACAAUACUGAAAAAUAAGCAUGUAUUGACGCGUAAUUUUAGAUCCAUAUUUAUACAUAAUUUUGAUUACAUGUCCAAAUUACCCAAGAUUCUUUUUCCUUUACAAAUUUGUGGAGUGCAUUACAUGGAUAUGAUUCAUGUAUGAAAUACACAUGACUCUCACUAAUUUAAGGGCAGCAUCAUUGACUGUACAGUUUUCAAUUCUUUAUAAUCAUGAGUAUAGACAUUUUUUAAUUCUUUAUAAUCAUGAGUACAACAAUAGUUUCUAUAACAAAAUUCUGUUAAAUAUGUAAUAUCAGUAUUUGUUUUCCAGGUUCAUUAGUUGAGGAUGAUUUUUCCAAGAAAGAAAAGAUCGCGGCUUUCAGGCCGAUCUAAAGAACAUUAUGUUGAUAUUGCACCUGAGAUCUUACAAGAAGAGGACGAAGAAGUACCAGAUGACCUAUUUACAGAGGAGUCGAAUCAAACUAAAAGAAAGAGGGGUCCUACUAGAAUGAAGACAAUUUCCACAAAUGAUGGUCAACGAAUUGAGAUUGAAUGGAAUGAAAACGGCCAGUUUAUUGGUGACGGAUCUAUUGACUUAUCUUCUUACAUGGGUUCUUUGGUCCGAGAGGUUGUCCCUAUAACAUUUGAUACUUGGAAGGAUGUUCCUAAGAAAACAAAGGACAUCCUAAUCAAGGUAAUAUGCAGAUAAGUCAAUUCUGAUCCCUCUACUUCAAGGUGAACAAUUUAUAGUUUAUAAAUUUUACUUGUGUUAAUAUAUAUUUUUUGGUAAAUGUUAUGGAUAUUUUAUCAAAUCAGAGAGUAAAUUCGUAUUAAGUGAAGAUUGGCAAAGAACAUAUUGUUUUGAAAGGAUGAAUAAUGUUUGCAGAUCACAUAUAUCAGUAGUUGUGAAGUCCAUAAGAGAAGCAAGAAAUUGGAAAGCAAGGCUUCGUCUAAAACCAAAUAAUGUCAAAUUAAUUCAAGAUUGGAAGACUUCCCUUGCAAAGUGUAAGCUCAUUUUCCUUUUCUUUUAUUUCUAAGAUUAGUUAUCUUCUUUUGAGUUCAAAAUUGGGUCAGAGAAAUCAAACUGAUAGUAGUUAAAAGUCUAUUUCAACACCAAGCCUUGUCUACACAAGAAUUUGGUGUUAGUUAAACAUGUGUAUGAUUCUAUCUUGAUUGCAUGUUAAUUUAGUUUGAAGAUAGAUUUGGUACAUGCUAGCUAAUUGAUACGUGAUAUGAAUCUUUGGUUUCCUUUUGAUAGGACAAAAGCGAAACAUUCAGAGAGAUGAAGUCUAAGCAACUCCGCACACAUGUAGUCGCAAGGGAUAUGGUAGGUUGGCGGAGGAUUUGGUAAUUACAUUUCAUUCUAGUGCCUUCUUUUCUACAGGACAAGAACAAUUUACUAAUUUUAUUCUGUGUUCUACUGUGUGUUUACUACAUUUAUGUUUCUAUUUUGUAGAAAAGAAAAAGUGUAGACCCUUCUCUAGUUUCUAGAGGUGAUGUUUGGAUUGCAGCACAUACUAAAAAGGGUGGUGGACCAUCCAAUUUGCUUGCUGCAGAGACUAUUGUAAGUAAUUUUUAACCAUUUAUUUCUUCUUGUUUGUUGAUAUGCAAUGAUGAAUGAGGUCUUAACUUUGAUGUGCAACGUUAGGAAAAAAAUUAAGCAAUAUGGAAAUGGAUCAUCAUCUGGUUUUCGAGGUGACGUUCUUUCCAAAGUUUUUGGUGCUGAGCGACAUGGUCGUGCAAGAGGAGUUGGAGGUGGUGUUCCUCCUACAAAGCUUGGAAUAUUUUCACAACAAAAAUUGCGUAAUCACCAAAUGGAUGAAAAGGUGCACAAUUUAACUAAUCAGGUCAGAGCACUGACAGAAUUGGUGUAUCUUUUUAUGAAAAAUCAGGUUAGUGAUUUAAUAACAUUGGUAUCAUAUUGAAUAUUUGUGAAAUCAGUUUUAGUGACACAUCAAAUCACAGGGUAAUGAUCUACCAAGUGAGGCAUCUCCUGACACACAGGUUGCAGCUCCUGAGGCACAUGUUGAUACUGUCGCAAGAACUGAAACUUGUCUUUCCCAUUGCGCAACAAAUGAAUCGUGGUGGCGAGGUUGAUACACUUUUUCAAUGAGCCUUCUAACUAUUAAUGCUCAUUGACUCUGUUAAAAGCUCUGCCAUUUUCAAUCUAACUAGACACUAGAAAUGAUCAUUGACUCUGUUAAAAGUUAUGAUGUUUUGGUCCUUCUCCAUAGUUGCGCAUCUACUGAUGUCUAUUUUUUUUCAAAUACUGCAGGUUAUUUCUGAAAACAUUGAAACAUCGUGGUGUACCAGAUGGUUUGAUUAUAAGACACCUUCCUUUUGGUCCACCAACUUAUUUAUAACUGCUAAAUGGUACGUAGUGUGAUAAUUUUCAAAUAUUUUGAUAUUAAGACAGGUGUAGGACAACAUAGAAAUUCUUAGGGCCUUCAGCAACAAAAUUAUGAAAAAGUGAGUGAGAUACAAUUAAAAAAAUGAAAGAGAAGGAUCAUGAUUCAUGAUCUAAAGGUUUGAAUAGGGUAGAAAGGAUUUAGUUUCGUUGUUAAAAUCGAUUGUGAGUCUAUUGUUAUUGUAUUGUCAAUUUGUUUAUUUACUUGAACUUCCUAGUAUCAAUUUGGUUCGAUAUAUCUAGCACCACCAUAGAUAUAUCUAGUAUCAAUUUGGUUAGAUAUUGUCAAUUUGUUAUUGUAUUGUCAACUAUAGAAUGUGCAUCAGUUGUAAAAGGAACAAAACAAUUCAGAUUUUUUGUUUAUGUCCAAACUUAGAAUUGUAUUGUAAUUGACAAUUUCUACUAAUUAAUUUAAAGUAUUUGGAGUUUAAUAUGUUUAUGAUCAAUAUUGUUAUCCUUCUAUUGUAUCAGUUUAGAUGUUAUGAAGUGAGGUCUGUCUAAAAAUGAUAUGCUAAAUAUAGAUGUAAAUUACGGCAUCUAAAAUCAGCAAUAAUUGUUGAUGGUAGUCUUUUUUUACGAUGCACGAUGUAUGCCGUAAUCACCUUCACAAUAUUACGACACUCAACAAAUGCUGUAUCAAAUAUAAAUUACUGCACACAAGUAUGUCGUAAUUGUUUUUCAGUAUUACGACACCCUAUUAACGCUGUAACUAAUACCAAUUAAGGCGCGUAGGACAUGCCUUAAGAACAUUUAUGGCGUGUUUUACUUAAAUUAUUCACUACUAUUAGAGUACGUCGUAUUUGUCAAAACAUCUUUUACAACAGGGGCUUUUACUGCUUGGAGGCUCACGUCGUGAAUUUCCAUUUACGGCACCCUUUGUGCGCCGUAAAAGGCCAAUUCUAUUGUAGUGAUCCAUGGGUACAUUUUUAAUCUACAUGUUUCGUUUUAAUAUAUCUAUUGCUAUAAUAUGUUUUGGUUGGUUCAAAUUCGUUUUACAUAAAUAUAUGGGUACAAAGUUUUUGGAGAAUAUUAUGUAAAAUGGUUUUUAAGGUUGUUGCAUUUUAUGUACCCACAUAUGCAUGUCUAUAAAACAAUGUGGUAUGAUGUACAUUCUUUUCCUUGAGUUUUUAAAUGUACCCAUGAGUUUUCUUGUAAAUUCAGUAUGUAUCCAUAUGCUAUUUAUGUUAUGGGUACAUAAAUUAUUUUUGGUCUAAGUUGGUGGGUACAUUGCUUUUGUAUGUAUGAAUUCAUUGGGUACAUUAUUUCCCUUAAUACUACUCAAUAAAAUUCACAAAAAUAUGUGCAGUGUGCAUGAAUUUUUAUUGUAGAAAUUGUUUUUUUUUAAUUUUUAAUUUUUAAGUCUCAUAAUUCGUGAAUUUUGUACAUAUUGAUCCCAUAAAUUUUUGAAUUUUAUUAAAUUUCUUUUAGACUUGAUCGAUUGAUUGAAUCUCAUAAUAAUCCCUUAAAUGUUCCAAUCAAUAUUUUAAAUUACAGCUUUUUAUUUAAGAUUUCAAAAAGAUGACAUGAAAAUAUAGUAAUACUAAAAUUUUAUUUUAAAUUACAUUUGUGUAACAAUCAAUGGUAUGUUAAAACUGGGCAAAAAAAAAAGGUAUAUUAAAAAAUUAUAAUUUAUUCUUUUUUUCAUAACUGUCUUCUGCUUAGAUUAAAUUUUUACCAAUUUGGGGGAAUUAGUUCUUACCAAUAUAUAUGCACAGUAUUUGCUUUUUACCUGGGCUUAACACAUGAUUAAUUACUUUCCUACCUGCUAACGCGUUGAUUUGCGCAUCCAAAGUAUUAUCAAAGUCACUGCCACCAAAAAGGUGCCCACUCCACAACCUUUGGUUGAACCAAAGAACAUCACAACAAUAAGGAAAUCGUUAAAUCUAUCUCCGCAACAUUUUUAUUAAUCAUUAGAUAGAUUAAACGAUUCCCCUGUUCAUAUUGUGUUCUUUUGUUGAACCAAACCAUGUCAACAAAAUAUAUCUAUGGUUAAGCAUCUAGAUUCAUGCUUUUGGAUGUGCAUCUUAAACCCCUCAAUGAAUAGCCAAGCAAUUUAUCAUGUGUUUACAGUAGGUCAAAAGAAGAAAGUGUUUGUCUAUAUAUUGGUAGGAACCAAUUCCUCUGAAGAGGAGAGAUGGAAGUGAUGAUAAUACUUUAAAUAAUCAAAGCCCAAACAUUUUAUCAAAUUUCAUCUCUGUACUCCACGGAGACACUAAAUGAGACAUAUCUGGUCCAUCUCUGAACAUCUUUUCUUACCGUUCUUACAAUAGAAAGGGCACAAAAUUGACUUACACAGUCUUGCACAAUACUCACUUUGCUUCAACCCAUAUUUCACUUUGUCAAAUCAUACACGUUCCUGCAAUAGGUGAACUCAUAUGUAUCUACCACUUCUUGCUAAUUUUAAUUUUUCCAUUCCCAUUUUUGCUACAAGUUUCACAUAAAUUUUUUAUUGCACUUGUCAAUUCUUUAUACUUUUUUAUUGUAUUUUUUUUUUGUCUUUUUUUUGUAUUAAACAAUUACAUGUCCUCCAAAAGUUUUGCUUAUUGCCCUAUUUCAUCAAGCUCGGUAUAAAUAGAUCUUAAUUUUUUACUACAGUUAAAUACAUGGACAUGCCUCCACAAAUACAAAUUAGUUCUUGCUUAAAUACUUUGUGUGUUUACAUAGAAAAUGUUCCCAUCGUCUACCAAAAUCCUCCACACAUGAAAACAAAAAUUCUUACUCAAAAAUACAUAUUACAAUACCACCAUAUCUGUUGUUUUUUAUUAAAUUAACACACUGUUUUCAAUUUUAUCUUUAACACAAAAGAAAAUGCUCUUACACAAUAUGCUUGUUUACAUUUUAUAACUUAUCUACCACAUGUUAAUCGCAAUUAUAUAAAUAGGAAAACACGUGUCAAUAGAAGUGUGAUGCAUGCUACUUCGUUAACAAUAGUGGCAACUAAACAAUUAAAUAAUUUGUUUCAAUUAGUUAGUACAUUUUAUAAAUUUCUUAAUUAGAACUGUUUCAGUAUAUUCAAUACAUUUUUAAACAACUUUCCAGUUAGUUGCCCAAACUAAUUAUUCCAGCUUAUUCAUAGUAUAAUACCAACAAUUUAACAACCAAUGAUACUUCGUUUAACAUAAACUUCAUUUGGAAAAAACAAAAAAAUAUCUUUUUCUCUGCUGAAAAAUCCAACAGAGUUAUUGAUGCAGAUCAGUUAUACCAACAAAUUACCAUAGUUUACCCAAUGCUAUACAGGUUUGACUUUUGUUUAUAUUCUUGGAUCUGUUGCUUGGUUGUAUAAUUUGGUUGUGUGUUUUGUUUCAGGACAAUUUGUUCUUCGUUUCUUGAGGCUUUUGUGUGUAGAUUUGAAACCGUUUAGCUUUCAAGCCGUGUAUACUCAAGGUAAAUAAUUUCGUUUUUUUCUUUGUAACCUUUUUUGUAAGAAAUUUUUAUUUAAUGUUGUGAGAGUUGUGUUUUCUAGAGUAUGAAAAUUGAAUCUUUGUGAUCUUAUAUCCUUAGAUAUGUUUCUUGGUUAUAUGAUUUGGCUGUGUGCAUUGUUUCAGGACAAUUUGUUCUUCGUUUUUUGGGGCUUCGGUGUGUAGCUUUGAAGCCUUUUGUAGUCAACAUAAAUAAUUUUAUUUUUCUUUGUUUCUAGUCUUCUUUGAAAGAAUUUCUUAGUUAAUAUUCUGAGAAUUAUGUUUACUAUAGUAUGAAAAUUGAAUCUUUGUGAUCUUGUAAGUGAUGUAACGUCAUUGCAACAUGUAUGACUGCCAUUAUCGAACAUGAAGAGCUUUUUGAUUUUUGUACUCCGUCCUUUCAUACGAUCUGACUCAAAAAUUGUUUCAUCACAGGUUCUAACAUGAUUUUUGCGACGUCUUAUGAAAAUACAAUGUCACUUCUGGUAUUCCAACUUAAACAAAUUACAAGGGAUGUCUAGUUUUAAACCUGCAGUUAGUAUAUACUAAAACGACGGUUUUGGCCCUGCUCUCGACUUCUUCAGAAACCUCGAGAAACUUCAAACUGAGAAAGCUUCUCCCUUCCAUCUCUGCUACGCGAUCUCUGCUUUGCGAUCUCUGCUUCCUCCGUGAUUUCUUCCCUCCUGAUCGACAUCUAUUCGAAUUGAAAACCUUCUGGAGCUCUCUUCCCCAAAUUUCAGCAGCAACUUUGCUCCAGAUCUUUCCAAUUGAAAUUCCUCUCCUUCACAUUUUGCAUAUUGAAUUUCGCAUCAUUAUCAUCUCCCUAGAACCUAGGAGUUUGGUUCGGUUUCGAGUUUUCCGACGGAAAUCCGGCGACAGCGGCCAUCGAGGUUGGUCUGAAACUAUUCCUCAUCACCACAAGUACUUUCUACACCUAUUACACUUUAGAAAAAAUUUCAUGAUUUGGUGGAAUCCAAUUUAAUGAUUAGAAAAAUUUUCAUUAAUUUUCUGGGUUCGUGGGUUGGAGGUGGAUUAGAAAUUUUUUCAUUAUUUUUCUGGGUUUGUGGUUUUUUUCCAAAACGUUUUUCCUUUCUACUAAUCCAAGUUCCUUCACAUCAAUCUCUCUGUUUCGUUCUUGAUCUUCCGCGAGUAGAAUACCUCUCCUUGCUCUCGAGCGCGUGGGCAGUCGCUCCAAGGCAGCCCAUGACGUCAUUUUCCGAUUCGACUCGGAGGAGGUUGGCUGCUCUUCUUGGCUGAGCUUCAUGGCUGGCCGAAUUCCCCUAUUCCCUUCCUCUUAUACUCUUUUGUAUUCGUUCACCAAAACAAUAGGAAAACGUCUCCGUCUGUUUGAUUGACGGCGAAGAAAAAAAGACGGAGAUAAAAGCCUGACGGAAGCUGAAAGCUUGGACUCUGUUUGUAUUUUUAAUGGAUUUUCAGAACACAGGUCAAGAAUACUGCGAUUUGAGAAAGAAAGAAAGAACCACGUUGACAUAAUAUAUUCACAAUAGGCGUACAUAAAGCUUUACUGUGGUUCCAUUUUUUUGCAUAUUUCAAAGGCUCUGAAUUGUUAAGGGAAUUAGCCUUUUGUUUUAGGAAGAACUUGGAACCCCCUCCGUCCAUUCUAUUCCCGAUGGAAUUAACACUUAGAUAGUACUAUGACAAUGUGUCAUUAAUUGAUGCAUACCUGUAUAAAUUUAGGCCAAGUGUUUUAUACACAAAUUGAUACAGAUUAAGCUUCUGGGUCGAAAUCAUAUACCGGUGAGCUAACUACACAAUGAUACAUUCUUAUCUGUUAAUUAUCUUUGGUUACCAGCUAUCCAUGUUGCUGACAUAUUAAACUACACAACAUCUAUUGUAAUUUAUGUCUUAUUAGUAUCAUCACUUUUGUUCUUUAUUUCAAUGUCUAACAUAAUGAUCUGGUUUCAAUUUGCUACAGGCAUUAUUUCCAGACAAUAGCUAUGGUUUUGAUUGUAGCGGUGACUGAAAAAUUAUUCCGAAACUAACAUUUGAGGAAUUCAAGGUUUGUUAGUUAAUUUGUACAUCAGAAUACCAUGACAAACUAUGAAGUUGUAAUUGUUGACCUUACAAUGUAUCUUUUUUGGUUUGGAGCAUUAGACUUAUAUGUGUUGCUUUCACUUCAUGAAGGCUAACUCUUUAUUUUAGGCCUUAGAAUAUAAUUUUUUGGAGAAUCUACAUUGUUGAUAAUUUUUUGAACAAUAUUAUCCCCAAAAUUUCUCCGCAUGUUACCCUCAACGUAGACAUCAUAUAACCAUCAUUGAACUUCUGAACCAAAAAUUUGAGUUUUAUGAUUAUAACUAAACGUCUAUAAACACAUGAUACAGAUUGAGACGAAUGUCAAAUUUAAAAUGGCAUUAAUCAGGACAGCUGCAAACUCUGAUUUGCGGCCUUUGAAAUGGAGCAGUUACUUCUUGCUUCACUUCAACAGCAUAGUCCAGCUUCUAAAUUCAGUUCUCAGGUAUGAGGUUUCUCAGUUACCUCUUUUUUGUAAUAAAACAUUUGAUCAGUACUUGCCAGGAUAUCCAAUUAAUUAGGUCAGUUUUUGUUAGCGGUAAUAAUUUGUUUUUGUAGCUUUAUAUGUGUCUCUGUCUCCAAAUAUGAUGAUCUCUUAAUUUGCUUCUAUAGCUUUUGUAAUAUAAUGAUCUCUUAAUUUGCUUUUGCAUAUCUUCUUUGCUUCCUCUGCUAGCUCUAUAUGAGAUUCCAUCUCCAAAUAAUUAUUCCUUAUUUCCUAUUUUUACAGGAAGCAAAUCAUUGAAUACACAUGGAAAAUUAAAAGGGUUUUAGUUUUUGGAGUAGUUUAAAUUUUUUGUUUGUUAUUGCUUGUAUUGCUGUUAAAUAUUUGAUGGGUAGUUUGAAAUGGGGAACUUGGUUGAUUGAGUAUUAACUUUUAUUAAAUUAAUAUUCUUAUUCAAUAUUGAAUUAAGACUCCUCUUAUUAAAUUAAGACUCUUAGAGUGCGUUUGUUGCGCCAGACUGUCUCGGACUGGACUAGCUGCCGGGACUAAGCUGGACUGGCUUAGACUGGACUAAGCUAGACUAACUUAGUGAAGCGUUUGGUGUAAUGUCGGACUAAGAAGCAGGAUAAGAAAAACAGUACUGUUCACCAGAUUUGUGUUUGCUUAGACUAGGAUUACAAAUUUUUGCCAUUGUGUAAUAGAGUAAUGCUACAAAUCUCAUGAUAUGGGUUAAUUGGAGCAUAUUUUUGCCAUGUAUAUUAUGAAUCUUAAAAAAAAUUGACAAUUGUUUUGUUUCUAUUACCUGCUAAUAGAAUUGGGUUUAAUUUGCAAAUGUAGCUUAGUUUAAACUCUAUCACCCAACAGAAGAAAAAUAAUAGUGCCCAAUACAUGCAACUUCAACAAAUACAAGUACAUAAGAAGAUCUCCAUAAUUUAGAAAAUCCUAGUUAACAUUAGUUAACAUUAGCCAAAAUAGAUCUCCAUAAUUUACAAAAUGGCUAGUUAACAUAAGCCAAAAUACUAGUGCAAAGCUAAGUUAUAAGCCAUAACAUAAGAUUGUAUGAUUAAUAAAAUACAUCCAUGUUAACAUUAAUAAAAUACAUCCAUGUUAACAUUAGCCAAAAUCCUCAUCCGCUUGCGUUGUCGCUUAAAAGCCUUUGGACGAACACUUUCUUGAGUUCCGGUUUGAUUGCCCUGAACACUCCCACAUUUUUUGGUUUAUCCAAAAUAAGAGACAAUGCAUCAAUUUGAUCCAUAGGAGAGAGACCCAUUACUUCAAGUUCAUUAGCUAUGUCAGUAUGAUCUGCAAUACCUUGAACUAAAGCUUCAGUUACCAUUUGCAUCCUCUUCCCACUUUCAACAUAAAAAUCUUUCAGUCCACUGAUAAUUGCCUCGGUUCCAUCACUUGAAUUUCCCACAGCUCUUUUCCUCUUUCUUUGGCUAUUUUCAGAUGGGGUGCUUUGUUGGCUUUGUUGGUUCAUUGAAGAAACAAAAUUUUCACCUCCAAUAUCACUUUCACCAACAUGAUCAUGACUUUGUUCCUCCACCAUUUGAGCAGGGGUUUCGGCUACAUUACCCGUAGCCCGAUCUUUUCCAAAUAUAUAUGCAAAUCUAUCAAACAGUGGAAAAGGUUUGCUUCUCCAUCCAUCGGCUUCUUUAUUUCUCUAAGAUUAUAUCAACAUAGCAAAACUAAAAUUUAGCAUGCGUAACAAAUAUAGCAGCAAGAAUAUAACUAAUGUAUAAAUAAAAUAGGAUAUGAACCUGCACAUAAGUUUGCCAUGAGUCAUCACUGUCAACUUCAACGCACUUUUUGACAUCAUUUCAUGCAAAUCCACUUGUGUUUAUCAUGUCAACGACCAUACUAUAUGUUUUUUUCCAUUUCUUCAACUUGGACUCAAUAUGUGGAUUUGCCUUUAUAUUUGAAUGAGGACAUAAAACAUUGACAACUUUUGCUAUUUCAACCAAAGUACCUUGUUUGAAAGCACCGGUGUCACACCGUUGCUUCCGAGCAACAAAAUCCUCAAGAACUCCUAGUAAUACUUCUUCCUCAAAUGCUUCCCAUUUACGCCUUCUUCCUUUUGGCUCUUGAGUAGCAUUCAAAAUAUUUUCGUUAUCCAUACCUAAACAAAAAAUAUUUUAAUGAAGGAAAAUACCAUACAAAUAAUCAAUUUGCAUAAUAUCCAAUCAACUUGCAUAAUAUCCAAUUAAUUUGCAUACCAUCCAAUCUUUGUGCUAAUAUCUAACAAAUGCAUGAUAAAAAGGAAUACUAAAAUAAAAUGUUAUCAUUAACACAUAUAGCUAGUUCGGUUGCUGGUUCCUAAUUGCUCUCCAUUCAUUAUACAUUUCCUGAGCCAUGUCAUUCCUCUUUGCAGUCCACUGGUCAGAUGUUUGAACACUACCAACAUAUUCACCUUCUUCUGUAUUUUGUCCAUCUUCUAUUAUUGGAAAAUUCUCCAUUGGAUCUACAGACAUCUCUUGCCUAAUAAGAUUGUGUAGUAGGCAACAAGCGGUAAUUAUUCGACCUUGUGUCCUUAUCGGAUAGAAAGAUGGACUCCUUAGUAUCGACCACCUUCCUUUUAGCAAGCCAAAACAGCGUUCAAUUACAUUCCUUGCCUUAGAAUGCUUCAUGUUAAAAUAUUCUUCCUUAUUAGAAGGUGUUCGUCCCUCCCAUUCAGAUAAAUGAUAAGGUAUUCCUCUAUAGGGUGCAAGGAAUCCUUCACCAUUUGUAUAACCACCAUCUACAAGGUAAUAAUAACCUAAUGAAAAAAAAAACAGACCUUAUUAGUGUUUUGUAGUUGACAAACAGAACUAGACCUAACUUACAAAGUUGAGACUAAGUAAUAGUCUUACCCGCUGGUACCUUAAAACCAUUAGGCCUAGUAAUUGCAUCAUGUAGCACUCUAGAGUCUGAUGCAGAACCCUCCCACCCCGUAAACACAUAUAUGAACUGCAUAUCUCCUGAACACACACCUAACACAUUAGUUGCGACUCGACCCUUUCUUGUUCGGUAUCUUGGUUUGUCAAUUUCAGGUACAUGCACAUCAAUGUGUGUUCCAUCCAAUGCUCCCAAGCAAUUCUUAAAAAAAAAAAAAAAAGUUUUUGUUAAUUUAUACAAAGGGAAUGAAGAGUUAAAGCUUAGGGAAAAUGAAAAAAAAUUCUCAUCAUACCUUAAAACAUCGCCACCUAGGAUCUGUAGAAUCAAUAGGCACAGGCUGAGGGACUUUUAGUAGGAUACCUUGUAAUCGCAAAAUUCCUUGCAAUACGAUAUUGAAAUACCUACUUAUAGUCUCUCCCGACCUAUAAAAUCUACCGCCAACACUACGAUUCUUAGUAUGAUGUGCUAAUAUUUGUAAAGUCAUACACACAUGCUCCUCUACAGACACCAAACCAUCAGUUUUUACCCUCCCAUCUUGACGAAGUAAGUCACAUAAUAUGCCAAAAGUCCUUCUAUCCAUUCUCAAUUCGUUGACACAUUCAGUAUCAGUAUUCCCUAUUAUACCAUUCAGAUAACACAAACUAAUCUCUCGUCUAAUAAGUGAACGGUUAGUCAAUGUGGGUCGUUCAACAUGUCUCUGUUUGCCACGUAGCAUCAUCAACACAAGAAUCGUACAAAUGCAAAUUGUCUCCAAAUAAGACAUCUCUAACAAUAAGAUCAAUAAAAGCUUCCUUCGAUCCAUAUCUAUCCAAACAAAAAAAAACAAAAAACAAAUUAAGGACAUUAUAUAUGUAAUAUUUACUGUUAUUAAGGGUUAUGGAAAUGAAGUGAUUAUGAUACGAAAUGAACUAGAUCAAAGUAACUAGCGAAGUCACAAUCCGAGGCAUCAAAUAUACGGGUGGUGUUGGAAAAAAAAAAGUUAUCAUUAACCCGAGGCAACAAAUAUACAGGUCAGAUGCACACACUGCAUACACACUCACACACAUACUCACACGGACAUACACACUAUCACACACGGACAUACACUCACACACACCCUACAUACAUACAUACAUACACACACACACUGCAUACAUACACACACACACACACUGCAUAUAUACACACACACACACACUGCAUACAUACACACACACACACACACUGCAUACAUACACACACACACACACACACACACACUGCAUACAUACACACACACACACGACAUACAUACACACACACACACACACACUGGUCAGAUGCACUGCACUCACACGGACAUACACACUCUCACACACUGACAUACAUACACACACACCCUGCAUACAUACACACACACACACUACAUACACACACACACACACACACACACACACUGCAUACAUACAUACACACGCACACACACUGCAUACACACACACACACACAUUGCUUUAUGAAAACCCCAAAUUCCAAAUUUGAAACCCCAAAUUCCAAAUUUCUAAUCUCAAUUUCAAACCCCAAAUUCCAAAUUUCUACUACAUACUUACAUACACACACACUGCUUUAUGAAAACCCCAAAUUCCAAAUUUCAAACCCCAAAUUCCAAAUUUCUAAUCUCAAUUUCAAACCCCAAAUUCCAAGCUUUAUGAAAACCCCAAUUUCUAAUCUCAAUUUCACCCAAAUAUCAAAACCCUAAAAUUUGUUCAACUGCAGAAUCAAAUAAAGCUCAAACCCAAAACAAAUCCGCCCAAAUCGACGAAAAAAAUCCACCCAAAUCGACGAAAAAAAUCGAACAAUCGAAGCUUACCAGACAACUGGAGGCAGAUGAGGGCGAGCAGAUCUGUUACGUGAAGACGAGGGAGUGGACGACGAGAGGAACAGAUGAGGAGCAUGAUGCAGAUGAGGGCGACCAGGAUGCAGCUGACGGCAAGCAGGAUGCAAAGAUAAGGAUGAGGAGGACGACGUGAGGGAGGAGGACGUCGACGACACUCUCUCCUAGGAUGAUCGAGGUUCUUUCUCGCAAGAGCGCAAUCGGAUGAGGAGGACGACGUGAGGGAGGAGGUUUUAUGAAUCUGGACGUUUUUGGGGUGGUUCGCUAAGAACUCCUAGCGAGGGUUUAAUCCGUGCGAGUCAGAUCUAAUCCCAUUAAACCUAAUCCUUGCCCCUACCAAACAUCAGACUACAAUACCAAUUAGUGGAGUCCAGAACAGUCCCCCCUAAGAAGGUCAAACAAACACGCCCUUAAGGCUCUAAUCUAAUGUUCAUGCUCAACAUCUCCUCUAUCUUUCUACGAUUGGUAAAACUUUUGUAUUAUUAUUCCAAUUUUGGUUACUGGGUUGUGGAAUUUUCCAUUUUUUUUCUCGGUAAUCAAUACUAUAUAUAUGCAUGACAAGUAUAAACAAUAUUUUGGGGCAAAUUUAGUUGUUUAAUUUUUAAUUUUUAUGUGACAGUGAGAUUAUGGUAGGAUUUCGUUUAGAUUCUGCGGCCCAAUGGGAGUCUCUGCUUUGAUAAGAUUGGGGUUGAUGCCAAGAAAGCCAAUAAGCCUACUGUGGACGCCGUAGCCGCCUGGCGCUGUUUUCCAAAAUCCUCUCUCACUUGGUUAAGCAAUUAAGACUUUUUGGUUCAGUUUUUAUUAUGCCCAAUUUUGUAUUUAAACCUUAAAAAAAUUUAAACUGAUUUGGGGAUACUGAAAUAGGCUGCAGAGCUGCCAUCCCUGAAUCAGAAGAUGUUCAGAAGGAAGAAGAAGAAGAAGAAGAAGAAAGUCGUGGAAUAUCAAAAGCUUUUAGCUUUGUGAAAGUAUGCUUUUUCCCAACUCACCUCUUGCUUUUGUUGCACUGAAUUGGUAGAUUGGGUUCAAAAAUAUAUAUAUGUGAUUUUUCGUGUAACUAUUUCUUUACAUAAUUACCAAUUGGAGGUGAUUUUAGAUCAUGUAACAUUUCCUCGCUAGAACCAAAGAUUGUCGUCGCUCAGAGCUGCGUUUCAUGAAACAAGUUCAUCUCCUGCCAAAUUUGUGUACCCACCUUUUAUUCAUGAGGGUUGGUGCUUGCUUGCAACACAAUUUGGUGUUAUUAAGUUUUGCGGUUUUACAAUUUGUUCAUGCUUAAACCUCUUUCAAAUUUUCAUUUCUGUGUAAAUCUUGCAGGUAGGACGACACACCUAUCUUGGCAAUGUCGGGAUGUCUAGGCUUGGUGGAGACGUGGUCUUAUGGAAGAGGUGAAGUAGCUUAGCUCGAUCUCAUUAGCUCUUAUCUGUUCUAUUAUGUUAAGAUCAAUAGUAAAAAGUUCUAUUGAUUUUAUAAUCAAAGAUACAUAUAUUAUAGAAAUAGAGGGUAUAUCAUUAAUUUCUUGAUGUAAACAAUCAUAACUUGAGGAACCAUUUAAAGUAUUUUGGUAAUCAACAUACUUAAACUUAAAUGUGAUAUAUCCAUUUAGUAUUUUUUUUAUACAAUGAUAAUACUUAAGUAUAAUUUACAUCAUAUAUCUUUUGAAGUACAUGAAACUAUGAAGAAAAUGAUAAACCAAAUCCCAUUCCAUCUCUGUUUGCUACUGCACAAUCACAAUCCAAUUCCAACAUGGAAUCCUCAGACGACAUGCCUACUGCAGAACAAGUUUCAUACUGACUUAACUUAUAUUUAGUCCACGUCCUGUUUAGAUUGUAAUCCUAGUUCUACGUGUGUUUGUAUAGUACUCCUAUAAAUAUCAAUGAACAUCGCUCACUCUAAUUAAGAGUUGAGAUUUUGCAAAUCAUAUUUACUAUCUUUCAUGGUAUCACGAGCCAGCGUCUAACGACAACGGUUCCUAUUAUAAUUUUUUUCUCUUUUGCAGAUCCUAAACUAUGGCAUCUUCUUCCUCCUCCGCUGCUCCCUCCAUCACAAAUUUUCUUACGAUCAAGCUCGACCGCAACAACUACCCUCUCUGGCAUGCUCAGUUUCUUCCCUUGCUGCGCAGCCGCAACUUACUCUCUUAUGUUACUGGCGAAACUCAAUGCCCCUCUGCCUUUCUUCUUGAUGACAAUGGUAAAUUCACCGACAAAGUCAUUCCAUUAUAUAAUGAAUGGAUCCAGACUGACCAGAUGAUCCUAUCUUGGAUUACGAGUUCUCUUACUCCCAAGGUUCUUGCUACGAUCGUCAACAAAAUUGAUUCGGCCUCUGCUUGGUCGUCAAACCCGAAUUAAUCUAAUUGUGGGGGUUUUGUUUUAUAUCAAUAUAUUGCAACAGAAGUCACACUUUGAAGAGUUCAUGCUGCACAGAAAGAUGAUGAAAUGUUACCCGUUGAGUCUAUCAUUGCUCCAUUGGAGACAGAGCUGAAGCUUACUGCAGGAGUUAUACAGUUGUUAUGCAAUAUGACCCCUUUAAUUUUAUUUUAAAACUGAUACAAAAUACUACAAAAAUUUAUGUAGUAUUUUUGUAUUAGUUUUGAGUGUCUAUUUUGGCUUCCAUAUAUCGUCUGUACAUGUGAGAGGUAUAGUGUUCAAUAUGUAUUUGGUUUCUAUAUUGUUAAUGGAUCCUUUUUUUUUUAAUUUAAUUUAAUUUUAUUAAGGUAACCAAGUUGCAGGAUGACAUCAGAACACUUGAUCUGCAGGUAAACCUUCAAUUUCCAUAUGAAGUUUGCAUGUUCGUUGUUUCUGGAAUUUGAGUUUUUAUUAUUUCUCAAUUCUAUCACAUAGAUUAUGAUUUCACAUAUGGGAUUAUUAAUGGCAAUUAUAUGAUAGAAGAAUUGGGAUUAGAAGAAGAUAUUGAGUUGUUUUAUUUAUGGGGAUUAGAAAAUGAUUAUCAUACGAGUGAUAUUUAUUUUUGUGUGGAUUGUUAAUAUAUAAAACUAUAAGCUUUUGAGAUUGGGAGAUAAAACCCACAAAUUCAAAUCAGACAAAAUAAAUAAAAAAUUUAACUGACUUAAAGAUCAAACUCCAAAAGGGUAUUAAAAACAAGGCUUAUUUGAUCCAUUGAGUGUGAAAGUUUUGAGCUUUGAAGAAGCAUAGGAGGAGAGUUGUUAACCAAGCUGCAUUAUCCAUGUAUUAGGAUGUUGAGGGUAGGCAGGAAAAAUACUUUUUGACGCCAUAUCCAGAGGAGCAUAACGACAGGCCUGCAUUUUUGCAGCAAGGACCAAAACAAGUAGAAGUGAAGGCUUGACUAUUUGGGUAUUAAUCCUAAACCUAAUUAUUCUUAUUUAGGUUUAGGAUAAAUGAUUGAGUGUGUCUCGAUGAUUGUAUUACCAUGUUUGAUGAAUGACUUGAGGAGUUGGAAAUGCUUUAUUGCUUAUGUUUUUCUUAGGUGUGUACUUUGGUUAUUUCCGAGCUUUUCACGACUCUUGAUACCUAAUAGAGAAUAUGGAAACCCCAACUUUAAUUUUAUGAAUUGGUUUUGGUGCCUAAAAUGAAAUCUAGCAUAGUGAAAUCUUGCAUAAUGAAAUUAUGACAAAUUUCCCUUCAUCUUUAGAUUUUCAUUUAGUUCAAUUUGUAUGCAAUUUAGGGUUAUUCAAUUCAUGAGUGAUCAAAUUAUGUUUUUAAUUCCUUCUUCUUUUGAUUUACAGUUCAGCAUUGUCGUACAAAAUGAAAAAGGUGCCAGUAACAGAGUUAUGGAUUUGGAUGCCUUUAGUGGAAUAAAACUGAAUUUUUUAACUUUGUAUAGUUGUAAACAUAAAAUACUCCAUCAGAUAGACUCAUAGCAUUUGAAAACAAUCCUUGAGGAUGGCAUAACAACAUCUCCAACUUUUGUCAUGUAAUGUAUGAAUGUAAAUAGCACUUUGUAAACAUAUGGAUGUAAUAUAUGUAUAUAAACAGUCUUUAGCAUGUAUAUUUUUCAAAACUUUCUACAUCUUCAACAAUGUUUCAAUGAUUUCUUGAUGUAAACAAUGAUAAUUUGAAGAACCAUUUAAAGUAUUUCGGUAAUCAGCAUACUUAAGCUUAAAUGUGAUAUAUCCGUUUAGUAUUUUUUAUACAGUGAUAAUACUCAAGUAUAAUUUACAUCAUAUAUCUUGUGAAGUACAUGAAACUAUGAAGAAAAAACCCUAAUUAAUCUGAUUAUGGGGGUUUUGUUUUAUAUCAAAAUAUUGCAGCAGAAGUCACACUUUGAAGAGUUCACGCUGCACAGAAAGACGAUGAAAUGCUAUCUGUUGAGUCCAUCAUUGCUCCAUUGGAGACAAAGCUGAAGCACACUCCAGGUGGUAUACUUUUGUUCUGCAAUAUGACCACUUUAAUUUUAUUUUAAGACAGAUAGGGUUGAAAAGAAUUUAUGUAGUAUUUUUGUAUCAGUUUUGAGUGUCUAUUUGGACUUCCAUAUUUGGUCCGUACAUGUGAGGUAUAGAGUGUUCAAUAUGUAUUUGGUUUCUAUAUUGUUAAUGGAUCUUUUUUUUUGUUUUAUAGGUAACCAAGUUGCAAGAUGAAAACAGAACACUUGAUCAGCAGGUAAACCUUCAAUUUCCGUAUGAAGUUUGCAUUUUUGUUGUUUCUGGAAUUUGAGUUUUUUGCAGGAUGAAAACAGAACACUUAAUCUGCAGGUAAACACUUGAUUGGUUAUUUCCAAGCUUUUCACGACUUUCGAUACCCAAUAGAGAAUAUGGAAACCCCAACUUUAAUUUUAUGAAUUUGUUUUGGUGCCUAAAAUGAAAUCUAGCAUAGUGAAAUCUUGCAUAAUGAAAUUAUGACAAAUUUCCCUUCAUCUUUACAUUUUCAUUUAGUUCAAAUCGUAUGGUUUAGGGUUAUUCAAUUCAUGAGUGAUCAAAUUAGGUUUUUAAUUCCUUCUUCUUUUGAUUUUCAGUUCAGCAUUGUCGUAUUUUGGAUGCCUUUAGUGGAAUAAAACUGAUUUUUUUUUAACUUUGUAUAGUUGUAAACAUAAAAUACUCCAUGAGAUAGACUCAUAACUUUUGAAAACAAUCUUUGAGGAUGGCAUAACAACAUCUCCAACUUUUGUCAUGUAAUGUAUGAAUGUAAAUAGCACUUUGUAAACAUAUGUAUGUAAUAUAUGUAUAUAAACACCACUCUUUAGCAUAUAUAUUUUUCAAAACUUUCUACAUCUUCAACAAUGUUUCAAGCCCCGCAGCAACGGGCGGGUACACUUGAUAGUAUACAUCUAAAAUUAUAAGACUAAAUCCUUUAGUUCUUGGAUUCAUCUAAGAACUACUUAUUCCAGCAGAUGCUAUGCUUGCACUACUAGAAUUUAUGGCUUGCCCUGUCAACUAUUGCGCGACAGAAGAUUUCGUCGGUUUCACUUUUUUUAACCGACAUAAUAUAAGUUUAGUAGGGCAAAAUCAGUCAACAAACUGGGUUGACUGAAUAAAUUUACAGGAUGGCUAGAGUUCGUAGGUUAAGACAUCAGUCGUUGGGCAAACAUUUGGAGCGAAGAUGUGAGUGUUUUAACUGACGAAUAAGCUGGUCGUCAUGUAGAUCUUCUUUCCCGACUGACGGUUCAACAUGUAGCUCUUUGGAUAAUAAUUCAUCUUCAAGGGGAACAGGUUGCCCCUCAGAUGAAUGGUUAGAGGCAAUUGUGAGACUAUAAUUUUCUAGG